rnacentral:lncRNA from 1 species
AAAGUUUUAGAUAGCGCGCUAAGCCUCUUAGCGUCGGCCUGACCAAGAGCUAUGAAACGCUAUAGCGCAGCUAUAGCGUGCUAAGCCCCAUUUAGCGUUUCAGUAUAAAUCAAUAAAAAAAUGAAAAAAUAAACAUAGAAUCAGUCAUCAACUUGACAUAUAUAUACUUGAAAAUGGACAUAUAUCAACUACCAUACAGCCAAGUUAAUAGAAAAAUGAUACUGUAUUAUGUAGUUCCUACCAUACUCAUGCAAACAGCCACAUAACAUAGUAUUAUGUAGUUCCUACCAUACAUAAUAAGGACAUAUAUCAGGAGAUGGUUCAAUUCAUUACAUAACAGAGCAAAGUUUGGCAUAGCAACUAGCAACAUACCACCAGCACACUUUGAAUAACAAAAGUGGUACAUAAACAACAUGAGAUGGUCCGGUUUAUAAGUUCAGCCAACUAACUUGACAUAGCAACAUAACAACAUACCACCAGCACACUUUGAAACAACAAAAGUGGUACACCCAACCAUGCAAUUAAUCCGAGUCAGCAAAGGCCGAGGGAGACUCAUCUUCUGAUUCCGACGAAGAAGAAUUGGAAGAGGCAGAAAGUAUAGCUUCCUCAUCGACACUAUUAAGGAGAGAUUGCAAGCUCUUCUUCCUCUUCUUUCUAGGAGGCGCAGUAGGCCUCUUCUUCUUUUUCCCUUGUUCUUGUGAUGUUGAAGCUCUCUCUUGUUGAGUUUGAUCUUCAUCACCAACAUGUUCAACAACAUUAUCAUUUCCAACAAUGCCAGUGAUGAACUCGUUAUCCUCGUCCUCAAGAACAUCAACGAUUGUCUUCUCUAUUGGGUCUCUACUCUUGUUAUCUCUCUUAUGCUUCAUCCUAGAGUUGAACUUGAUAAAUACAAGAUCACUCAUCCUAUCAUGGAGUAGCCUGCUGCAUUUCUUUGUAUGAACCUGUGUAAGUGAACAAAAUCAAGUAUGGAACACAUGGCCUCAAUGUGAGAAGUGCAAGGAACUAUAUUUUGUACUUGUGAACCUUGUAAUUGUCUUUCUUACUUGUUCAAAUGCUGACCAAUUUCUCUCACAAGCUGAGGAGCUACAUGUCAAACUCAAAAUCUUCAUUGCCAAGUCCUUCAACAGGGGUGCACAUGUGCCAUAAUUCAGCCACCAUUUUGCUGCAUUAAGACAUUGAAACAUUAUAUUAGUUAGGCAAGUACAAAGAGGGGAGACAGAGGAAGUGUUAUGAAAUAACAUCACAAGAUUUCAGCAAACACUCACCUGGAGAAAAGUUUUUCCUUUUUCUCUGUCAUACAGCAAUGUCCAUUCCAAAGGAAUCUUCCUCCGUCUCGUAUUUGUCAAGUUCAUCAAUAAGCUCAUCUUGAGUUUUUUGAGCUUCAAUCAUCCUUGUGAGGCAAUGGACCACGGCUGCUCUAAAUGAUCCAUCCCUCUCUAUCACAACCUUGUUUGGAUAAUAAUAGUAGGGGUUCAGAAAGUACCCAGCCAAAUGUAAUGGCGACUUGAGUUUGCUGUCCCAUCUCUUGUCAAUGAUAUCAAUAACACAUUUGAAGCGACUCUCGUCAUUAUCAAAACUUGCAGCAAUUUCCUUUUUUGCAUCCAACAUACAACCAUAUAAGAAUCCCAUUGCGGGCACAUCACUAUCCAUUCUUCUUAGCACAUUAGCCAUUGGCUCAAAGUAGUUGACAGCAACGCCAACACCUUUCCAGAAGGCUUCUGGUUGCACCGUUUUGUGAGCCAUCUUCCCCUUGUCCUUCUCUAAGUAACCCAUUUCAUGUAGCUCAUCCAAUCUGAAUAGUUUAAGCAUUUCCUUCUUGUUGUCUUGCAAGCUUUUAAGAUUGAGAUAAGCCGUGGCAAACCUAGUAAUACCUGACCGUACCAAGUCUUUCCCAAGUGUUUUCCUCAUCAGAGAUAACACCCUUGUGUGAGCAUACAAGAACACCGUUACUUGUCUUGCUUGGGUAAUUAUUUUGUCAACCGAUCCAAGCUUCCCUAUGUCCUCCAACAUGAGAUCAAUACAAUGGGCUGCACAUCCAUUCCAAAAAAUGGAAGGUCGCUUUGCUUUCAUUAGACUUGCUGCUGCUACAUUGACACUAGCAUUGUCGGUCACCACUUGAACGACUUUGUCUGCCCCUAUAUAUUCAAUGCAAUUAUCAACGAGGUCAAAGAUGUAUUUGCCAUUUUUUUGGACAGAUGAACAAUCAACUGAAUUCAAGAAUAUGACUCCUUGAGAACUAUGCACAACUAGGUUCAUUACCCCCCUGCCCUUUUUAUCUGUCCAUGCAUCUGUCAUUACGGUACAACCUGUGUGCUCCCAUGCUUGCUUAUGUGGUUUGAAUGAAUCUAACACUUUCUUCUUCCUUUUCUGCAAGAAUGGUCCACUCAUCUCAUAUGCAGUAGGCCCAUCGAAGUUUGUGCCAACAUCUCCAAUGGCCUGAAGCAUACAUGCAAAGCUAGGAAGUGUGACAGUGUUAUGUGGGAUGCUAGCUUCAUAGAAAAAUUGACAUAUAUAUCCACAAGCUCUAUCCCUCCUCUGUUGUCUUUCCCGAGUUGACAACUUCGACUGAACCUUUUCGGAUUCACAAUUUCUUUUUUGCUUCCUCUUGACAGUUUCUUCUAUACUAGGCUUGCAGAAUUUGUCCAUAGGGCCACCCAUUGAGCUGCUUGUGCCUGGUUUUGACCUCAAAAUCACAACCUGAUUGCCAUCUUCUUCAUCAGUUCCUUGUUCUCCAUCGGAGUGAUCUAAGUCAACACUAGAUCUGAGCGCCUCCAAUCCCUCGAUCUUUUUUUCCUUCAGCUCAGCACUCUUUAGGAGCAAAGCUAUCAUCUCCAGCCUGACAUCACUAGGAACCUUCUUGCAUGGUAAGACACCACAAUUUGUUAUUUGUGAAAGGUGAAACUUUAUCCUUGUAAUGCCAGCUGUGCAUAUCUUGCCACAAAAGUUGCAUCGCUGCCAAUGCUUCUUGUUCACAUCUGGAAGAGUGCAAUACUUCCACGCAGGGUCAUCCGAAUCAACUUGAGGGAGUGCAGGUGCUGCUACUGAGGCAGUGCUUGAGCCACCAGCACCUAUGCAGAUUAAGGCAAUCCAAAGUACGUGAUAGAAAAUGGUACAUCAGUAGCAAAUAAACUUUCAAUGUAUCUGUAUUCUGUAUAUAACUGAAAACUUCAGCAGAUUCCUAUAGUAGUACAAGCAUCCACAAGAAGAGAUAACAAAGGAUAGAUGAGCUUACCUGCUGACGGGAUUUGCUGGCUCAUGGUCGCCUGGUGGACACCGUCGCCGCGGGGUGCUCCGUCGCCUUGUGGAUGCGGUCGUCGCCGUCAGCAGAGGAAGUGGCCAGGAGGGAGCAGCCGAGAGGAAAUGUCCGGGAGCUGCGCCGCCUGGUGGAAGGAAUACCCCGUCGCUGGAGGGAGUGGCGAGGAAGGUCAGUCGCCGGAGUGGCAGCUCGAGGCCGUCGCCAUGGUUGGUCGUUGGUCGGCCGCCGCCAUGAUCCUGUUUGAGAUGAGGACGGGAGUGGGGAUAGGGUUUCGCUCGAGAGGAGGGUUGGGGGCAUAGUAUUCGACUAUUGGUAGGCUUGGGCUUUGGCCCGCGUAGCGAUUUCAUUUUGGGCCGAAAAUUUUAGGUCAAAGACGCGGGACGCUAACGCUAGAGGCCCAAUUUUCAGCGCUAAAUGACAUCUAGCGUGCUAUUAGCAUGCUAACUCUUCGUACGUGAAAUCGAGCUUCGCGUAGCGCACCACAGUCAGGAUGCGUGUAGCGCCGCUAUAGCGCCGCUAUAGUGCGCUAUCUAAAACUUUGAUCAAUACCAAUUGAUUCAUUAUUGAAUGUACUUUCACAUGAUAUAUAUUUGUUAUAGUAAAUGUUUAUAUUCUUUUCUAUAAACUUGGUUAAACUUAACAAAAGUUUGACUUUAGUCAAAUCUAAUAUGCAUAGUAAAUAAAAAUGGAAGGAAUACAUUAGUAAAAUUGAUGACCCAGAGACAUGCGCAGGACCUAUAAACCGAAAAAGAGUAAUUAUAGUGAUCCGGGGACAUUUAGAAGUAGAAUCAGUUUUUUUUAGAAUCUCACAAAGCUUUAUUACUGAAUCAGAAUGUUCAUAGGUACAAAAAGAAGAUCGCCGGGUUGUCCUAGCCAGGUGUGUCGGCCAAACCCUAAAGAUAAAGCAUGCUUUGUGAGAUUAUGGGCCUCCGUGUUGGAGGUCCUAUACUCAUGAUUAGACGAACAUGAAAUAAAGGUAGUUGCUCUAGCCUUGAUCUCUUGGACAAUUGCUCCAAAGUAUGCUGAGCUUCCUUGCAUGAUUGCAUCUACCACCACCUUACAAUCCGGGGCCACCAGUAUUUGGUUGAUGUAGAGAUCUUAUGAAAGUGCUAGUGCCUCCCGAACAGCUAGUGCUUCUAGCACCUGGGGGCUGCGGAGUCCCCUAAAAACGAGGGCUGAAGCUCCCAUGAACAAACCCCUCUCAUCCCUGCAAAUCACACCAACUGCGCCAAACAUGCCCGAGCGUGACACAACAGCGUCCACAUUGAGCUUGUACUGAUCUGUGGGUGGCGGAAUCCACCUACGUGGUCGUGGUACUUCCAUCCCCUAUGCGUUCUCCUUCUUCUUCAAGAACUCUAUGUCUGACAAGUAAGCUUUGAUGAAGUUGUCAGUGGCAAAUGGAGUCUGGUAGAUCUCUUCAUGUAUAGCUUUCCGCCUUGCACUCCAAUUCGCCCACAAAGUAACGAUCAUCAACUUAAAUUGCUCCGGUGGAAGAGACUCAUUCAUAGCAAAGCCAUAACAUUGCGUCAGGUUCCGAUGUUGCCAACAUGUGCUCGACUAGCUCGGCUUCUGAAAGUUCCCACACACACCUAGACACAUUACAAUCCAGCAAGGAAUGUCGCCAGCUAUCCUUCCCACCAAAAAGUGAGCAAGCACUCGUAGUGGCCAUGUGACGAUGGCUUAGGACAUCUCCCGUGGGGAGCGAGUGUUGCGCCAAUCGCCAAGUGAAAAAGCGCAGCUUCGUUGGCACUAACAUCUUCCAUAGCGAGUUCCAUCCCCUCAUCUCAUGCUCAGAGUUGGAAGGAUCCUCCCUUUCCUCCAGCCAUGCCUCGCGCCCAAUCUUGAUUUUGACAAUCAUCUUAUAAGCUGACCGUACAAGAAGCGUCCCCUUGGAUCAUCAUUCCAUGCCCAGAAAUCUUCCACAUGCCGCGUACAUAGCGGGAUUUGCAAGAUAGCCUCCGCGUCAAUAGGUAUGAAAACCUGUCUGAGCAGGUCCUCUCGUCACUCAGCUCUAGUAUGGUCGAUCAUCUUUAAAACCAGUUGCAGUGGAUCAGCAACUAAAGAGGCAACCGUCUUCAUCAUUCCGUUCUGUGGGAUCCAAUUGAGUUGCCAUAUGUUCAUGGUCGCUCCAUCCCCAAUUCACCGGAUCGCUCCUUGGUGAUAAUAUUGUUGGGGAAUGUUGCAGAAAAUUAAAAAUUUUCCUAUGGUUUCACCAAGAUCCAUCUAUGAGUUCAUCUAAGCAACGAGUCAAGGGAGUGAGUUUGCAUCUACAUACCACUUGUAGAUCGCAUGCGGAAGCGUUCGAGGGAACGGUGAUGAUGGAGUCGUACUCGACGUGAUUCAGAUCACCGAUGACCAAGUGCCGAACGGACAGCACCUCCGCGUUCAACACACGUACGGAACGGACGACGUCUCCUCCGUCUUGAUCCAGCAAGGAGGAAGGAGAGGUUGAGGAAGACAACUCCAACGGCAGCACGACGGCGUGGUGUUGUUGGUGCAGCAGUACUCCGACAGGGCUUCGCCAAGCACGUACGGAGGAGGAGAGGUGUUGGGGAGGGGAGGGGCUGCGCCUUGGUUGUGUGUUGCAGCCCUCCCUCAUCCCUCUAUUUAUAGGGGAAGGGGCAAGGGGGGCCGGCCCCUCUAGAUGGGAUCUAGAGGGGGGGCGGCGGCCAGGGAGGGGGGACUUGCCCCCCAAGCAAGGGGGGCGCCCCCUCUAGGGUUCCCCCCCAACCCUAGGCGCAUGGGCCCAAGGGGGGGAGGCGUGCCCAGCCCUCCAGGGGCUGGCUCCUGCCCCACGCAGCCCAUGUGCCCCCCCGGGAGGGGUGGCCCCUCCCGGUGGACCCCCGGAGCCCUUCCGGUGGCCCCGGUACAAUACCGAUAUGCCCCCGAAACCUUCCGGUGUCCGUAUGACAACUUCCCAUAUAUAAAUCUUUACCUCCGGACCAUUCCAGAACUCCUCGUGACGUCUGGGAUCUCAUUUGGGACUCCGAACAACUUUCGGUAAUCACAUACAAGUCUUCCUAAUAACCCUAGCGUCGCCGAACCUUAAGUGUGUAGACCCUACGGGUUCGGGAGACACGCAGACAUGACCGAGAUGGUUCUCCGGUCAAUAACCAACAGCGGGAUCUGGAUACCCAUGUUGGCUCCCACAUGCUCCUCGAUGAUGUCAUCGGAUGAACCAUGAUGUCGAGGAUUCACUCAACCCCGUAUGCAAUUCCCUUUGUCAAUCGGUAUGUUACUUGCCCGAGACUCGAUCGUCAGUAUCCCAAUACCUCGUUCAGUCUCGUUACCGGCAAGUCACUUUACUCGUACCGUAAUGCAUGAUCCCGUGAUCAAACACUUGGUCACUUUGAGCUCAUUAUGAUGAUGCACUACCGAGUGGGCCCAGUGAUACCUCUCCGUCAUACAGAGUGACAAAUCCCAGUCUCGAUCUGUGUCAACCCAACAGACACUUUCGGAGAUACCUGUAGUGCACCUUUAUAGUCACCUAGUUACAUUGUGACGUUUGGUACACCCAAAGCACUCCUACGGUAUCCUGGAGUUACACGAUCUCAUGGUCUAAGGAAGAGAUACUUGACAUUGGAAAAGCUCUAGCAAAAAGAACUACACGAUCUUGUGCUAUGCUUAGGAUUGGGUCUUGUCCAUCACGUCAUUCUCCUAAUGACAUGAUCCCGUAGUCAAUGACAUCUAAUGUCCAUAGUCAGGAAACCAUGACUAUCUGUUGACCAACGAGCUAGUCAACUAGAGGCUUACUAGGGACAUAUUUUGGUCUAUGUAUUCACACGUGUAUUACGAUUUCCAGAUAAUACAAUUAUAGCAUGAAUAAAAGACAAUUAUCAUGAAUAAGGAAAUAUAAUAAUAAUGCUUUUAUUAUUGCCUCUAGGGCAUAUUUCCAACAGUCUCCCACUUGCACUAGAGUCAAUAAUCUAGUUACAUUGUGAUGAAUCGAACACCCAUAGAGUUCUGGUGUUGAUCAUGUUUUACUCGCGAGAGAGGUUUAGUCAACGGAUCUGCGACAUUCAGAUCCGUAUGUACUUUGCAAAUAUCUAUGUAUCCAUCUUGAACAUUUUCACGGAUGGAGUUGAAACGACGCUUGAUGUGCCUGGUCUUCUUGUGAAACCUGGGCUCCUUGGCAAGGGCAAUAGCUCCAGUGUUGUCACAGAAGAGUUUGAUCGGCCCCGACGCAUUGGGUAUGACUCCUAGGUCGGUGAUGAACUCCUUCACCCAAAUAGCUUCAUGCGCUGCCUCCGAGGCUGCCAUGUACUCCGCUUCACAUGUAGAUCCCGCCACGACGCUCUGCUUGCAGCUGCACCAGCUUACUGCUCCACCAUUCAACAUAUACACGUAUCCGGUUUGUGACUUAGAGUCAUCCAGAUCUGUGUCGAAGCUAGCGUCGACGUAACCCUUUACGACGAGCUCUUCGUCACCUCCAUAAACGAGAAACAUGUCCUUCGUCCUUGUACUUUAGGAUAUUCUUGACCGCUGUCCAGUGUUCCUUGCCGGGAUUACUUUGGUACCUUCCUACCAAACUUACGGCAAGGUUUACAUCAGGUCUGGUACACAGCAUGACAUACAUAAUAGAUCCUAUGGCUGAGGCAUAGGGGAUGACGCUCAUCUCUUCUUUAUCUUUUGCCGUGGUCGGGCAUUGAGCCGAGCUCAAUCUCACACCUUGCAGUACAGGCAAGAACCCUUUCUUGGACUGAUCCAUUUUGAACUUCUUCAAAAUCUUAUCAAGGUAUGUGCUUUGUGAAAGACCUAUGAGGCGUCUCGAUCUAUCCCUAUAGAUCUUGAUGCCUAACAUAUAUGCAGCUUCUCCAAGGUCCUUCAUUGAAAAACACUUAUUCAAGUAGGCCUUAAUGCUGUCCAAGAAUUCUAUAUCAUUUCCCAUCAAAAGUAUGUCAUCUACAUAUAAUAUGAGAAAUGCUACAGAGCUCCCACUCACUUUCUUGUAAACGCAGGCUUCUCCAUAAGUCUGCAUAAACCCAAACGCUUUGAUCAUCUCAUCAAAGCGAAUGUUCCAACUCUGAGAUGCUUGACCAGCCCAUAAAUGGAUCGCUGGAGCUUGCAUACUUUGUUAGCGUUCUCAGGAUCGACAAAACCUUCCGGCUGCAUCAUAUACAGCUCUUCCUUAAGAUAACCGUUAAGGAAUGCCGUUUUGACAUCCAUCUGCCAUAUCUCAUAAUCAUAGUAUGCGGCAAUUGCUAACAUGAUUCGGACGGACUUAAGCUUCGCUACGGGAGAGAAAGUCUCAUCGUAGUCAAUCCCUUGAACUUGCCGAUAACCCUUAGCGACAAGUCGAGCUUUAUAGAUGGUGACAUUACCAUCCGCGUCCGUCUUCUUCUUAAAGAUCCAUUUGUUUUCUAUCGCUCGCCGAUCAUCGGGCAAGUCAGUCAAAGUCCAUACUUUGUUUUCAUACAUGGAUUCUAUCUCGGAUUUCAUGGCUUCUAGCCAUUUGUUGGAAUCUGGGCCCGCCAUUGCUUCUUCAUAGUUCGAAGGUUCACCAUUGUCCAACAACAUGAUUUCCAGGACAGGGUUGCCGUACCACUCUGGUGCGGAACGUGUCCUUGUGGACCUAUGAAGUUCAGUAGCAACUUGAUCCGAAGUACCUUGAUCAUCAUCAUUGUUUUCCUCUUCAGUUGGUGUAGGCAUCACAGGAACAUUUUCCUGAGCUGCACUACUAUCCUGUUCAAGAGGUAGUACUUCAUCGAGUUCUACUUUCCUCCCACUUAGUUCUUUCGAGAGAAACUCUUUUUCCAGAAAGGAUCCGUUCUUGGCAACAAAGAUCUUGCCCUCGGAUCUUAAGUAGAAGGUAUACCCAAUGGUUUCUUUAGGGUAUCCUAUGAAGACGCAUUUUUCCGACUUGGGUUCGAGCUUUUCAGGUUGAAGUUUCUUGACAUAAGCAUCGCAUCCCCAACUUUUAGAAACGACAGCUUAGGUUUCUUCCCAAACCAUAAUUCAUAUGGUGUCGUCUCAACGGAUUUAGACGGCGCCCUAUUUAAAGUGAAUGUAGCUGUCUCUAGAGCGUAUCCCCAAAAUGAUAGCGGUAAAUCGGUAAGAGACAUCAUAGACCGCACCAUAUCCAAUAGAGUGCGAUUACGACGUUCGGACACACCGUUUCGCUGAGGUGUUCCAGGCGGCGUGAGUUGUGAAACGAUUCCACAUUUUCUUAAGUGUGUACCAAAUUCGUGACUUAAAUAUUCUCCUCCACGAUCCGAUCGUAAGAAUUUUAUCUUUCAGUCACGUUGAUUCUCUACUUCAUUCUGAAAUUCCUUGAACUUUUCAAAGGUCUCAGACUUGUGUUUUAUCAAGUAGACAUACCCAUAUCUACUCAAGUCAUCAGUGAGAGUGAGAACAUAACGAUAUCCUCCGCGAGCCUCAACACUCAUUGGACCGCACACAUCGGUAUGUAUGAUUUCCAACAAGUUGGUUGCUCGCUCCAUUGUUCCGGAGAACGGAGUCUUGGUCAUUUUGCCCAUGAGGCAUGGUUCGCAUGUGUCAAAUGAUUCAUAAUCGAGAGACUCUAAAAGUCCAUCAGCAUGGAGCUUCUUCAUGCGCUUGACACCAAUGUGACCAAGGCGGCAGUGCCACAAGUAUGUGGGACUAUCAUUAUCAACUUUACAUCUUUUGGUAUUCACGCUAUGAAUAUGUGUAACAUUACGUUCGAGAUUCAUCAAGAAUAAACCAUUGACCAUCGGGGCAUGACCAUAAAACACAUCUCUCAUAUAAAUAGAACAACCAUUAUUCUCGGAUUUAAAUGAGUAGCCAUCUCGUAUUAAACGAGAUCCAGAUACAAUGUCCAUGCUCAAACUUGGCACUAAAUAACAAUUAUUGAGGUUUAAAACUAAUCCCGUAGGUAAAUGUAGAGGUAGCGUGCCGGCGGCGAUCACAUCGACCUUGGAACCAUUCCCGACGCGCAUCGUCACCUCGUCCUUCGCCAGUCUCCGCUUAUUCCGCAGCUCCUGCUGCGAGUUACAAAUGUGAGCAACGACACCGGUAUCAAAUACCCAGGAGUUACUACGAGUACUGGUAAGGUACACAUCAAUUACAUGUAUAUCAAAUAUACCUUUAGUGUUGCCGGCCUUCUUGUCCGCUAAGUAUUUGGGGCAGUUCCGCUUCCAGUGACCCUUCCCCUUGCAAUAAAAGCACUCAGUUUCAGGCUUGGGUCCAUUCUUUGACUUCUUCCCGGCAACUGGCUUACCGGGCGCGGCAACAUCUUUGCCGUCCUUCUUGAAGUUCUUCUUACCCUUGCCCUUCUUGAACUUAGUGGUCUUAUUGACCAUCAACACUUGAUGUUCUUUCUUGAUUUCAACCUCUGCUGACUUCAACAUUGAAAAUACUUCAGGAAUGGUCUUCACCAUCCCCUGCAUAUUGUAGUUCAUCACAAAGCUCUUGUAGCUUGGUGGGAGCGACUGAAGGAUUCUGUCAAUGACCGCCUCGUCCGGGAGGUUAAUGUCCAGCUGGGACAGGCGGUUGUGCAACCCAGACAUUUUGAGUAUAUGCUCACUGACAGAACUAUUUUCCUCCAUCUUACAACCAUAGAACUUGUCGGAGACUUCAUAUCUCUUGACCCGGGCAUGAGCUUGGAAAACUAGUUUCAGCUCCUCGAACAUCUCAUAUGCUCCGUGUUGCUCAAAAUGCUUUUGGAGCCCCGGUUCUAAGCUGUAAAGCAUGCCACACUGAACGAGGGAGUAAUCAUCAGCACGUGUCUGCCAAACGUUCAAAUCGUCUUGCAGUGCUGGGAGAGCGGGUGGGUCAGCUAACGGUGCUUCAAGGACAUACGCUUUCUUGGCAGCUAUGAGGAUGAUCCUCAGGUUCCGGACCCAGUCCGUAUAGUUGCUGCCAUCAUCUUUCAGCUUGGUUUUCUCUAGGAACGCAUUGAAGUUCAUGUUGACAUGAGCAUUGGCCAUUUGAUCUACAAGACAUAUUUUGCAAAAAGUUUUAGACUAAGUUCAUGAUAAUUAAGUUCAUCUAAUCAAAUUAUUUUAAUGAACUCCCACUCAGAUUAGACAUCCCUCUAGUCAUCUAAGUGUUACACGAUCCGAGUCGACUAGGCCGUGUCCGAUCAUCACGUGAGACGGACUAGCCACCAUCGGUGAACAUCUCUAUGUUGAUCGUAUCUCCCAUAUGACUCAUGUUCGACCUUUCGGUCUCUUGUGUUCCGAGGCCAUGUCUGUAUAUGCUAGGCUCGUCAAGUUAACCCUAAGUGUUUCGCAUGUGUAAAUCUGGCUUACACCCGUUGUAUGUGAACGUAAGAAUCUAUCACACCCGAUCAUCACGUGGUGCUUCGAAACGACGAACUUUCGCAACGGUGCAUAGUUAGGGGGAACACUUUCUUGAAAUUUUAAUGAGGGAUAAUCUUAUUUACUACCGUCGUUCUAAGUAAACAAGAUGCAUAAACAUAAUAAACAUCACAUGCAAUUAUAUAGUAGUGACAUGAUAUGGCCAAUAUCAUAUAGCUCCUUCGAUCUUCAUCUUCGGGGAUCCAUGAUCAUCUUGUAACCGGCAUGACACCAUGAUCUCCAUCAUCAUGAUCUCCAUCAUUGUGUCUUCAUGAAGUUGUCACGCCAACGACUACUUCUACUUCUAUGGCUAACACGUUUAGCAACAAAGUAAAGUAAUUUACAUGGCGUUCUUCAAUGACACGCAGGUCAUACAAAAUAAAGACAACUCCUAUGGCUCCUGCCGGUUGUCAUACUCAUCGACAUGCAAGUCGUGAUUCCUAUUACAAGAACAUGAUCUCAUACAUCACAAUAUAUCAUUCAUCAUUCAUCACAACUUCUGGCCAUAUCACAUCACAUGACAAUUGCUGCAAAAACAAGUUAGACGUCCUCUAAUUGUUGUUGCAUCUUUUACGUGGCUGCAAUUGGGUUCUAGCAAGAACGUUUUCUUACCUACGAAUAACCACAACGUGAUUUUGUCAACUUCUAUUUACCCUUCAUAAGGACCCUUUUCAUUGAAUCUGCUUCAACUAAAGUGGAAGAGACAGACACCCGCCAGCCACCUUAUGCAACUAGUGCAUGUCAGUCGGUGGAACCGGUCUCACGUAAGCGUACGUGUAAGGUUGGUCCGGGCCGCUUCAUCCCAUAAUACCGCUGAAGCAAGAUAAGACUAGUAGCGGCAAGCAAGUUGACAAGAUCUACGCCCACAACAAAAUUAUGUUUUACUCGUGCAAUAGAGAACUACGCAUAGACCUAGCUCAUGAUGCCACUGUUGGGGAACGUUGCAGAAAAUUAAAAUUUUUCCUACGGUUUCACCAAGAUCCAUCUAUGAGUUCAUCUAAGCAACGAGUCAAGGGAGUGAGUUUGCAUCUACAUACCACUUGUAGAUCGCGUGCGGAAGCGUUCGAGGGAACGGUGAUGAUGGAGUCGUACUCGACGUGAUUCAGAUCACCGAUGACCAAGUGCCGAACGGACAGCACCUCCGCGUUCAACACACGUACGGAACGGACGACAUCUCCUCCGUCUUGAUCCAGCAAGGAGGAAGGAGAGGUUGAGGAAGAUAGCUCCAACGGCAGCACGACGGCGUGGUGUUGUUGGUGCAGCAGUACUCCGACAGGGCUUCACCAAGCACGUACGGAGGAGGAGAGGUGUUGGGAAGGGGAGGGGCUGCGCCUUGGUUGUGUGUUGCAACCCUCCCCUCAUCCCUCUAUUUAUAGGGGAAGGGGCAAGGGGGGCCGGCCCCUCUAGAUGGGAUCUAGAGGGGGGCGGCGGCCAGGGAGGGGGGACUUGCCCCCCAAGCAAGGGGGGCGCCCCCUCUAGGGUUCCCCCCCCCAACCCUAGGCGCAUGGGCCCAAGGGGGGGAGGCGCGCCCAGCCCUCCAGGGGCUGGCUCCUGCCCCACACAGCCCAUGUUCCCCCCGGGAGGGGUGGCCCCUCCCGGUGGACCCCCGGAACCCUUCCGGUGGCCCCGGUACAAUACCGAUAUGCCCCCGAAACCUUCCGGUAUCCGUAUGACAACUUCCCAUAUAUAAAUCUUUACCUCCGAACCAUUUCGGAACUCCUCGUGACGUCAGGGAUCUCAUCCGGGACUCCGAACAACUUUCGUUAAUCACAUACAAGUCUUCCUAAUAACCCUAGCGUCGCCGAACCUUAAGUGUGUAGACCCUACGGGUUCGGGAGACACGCAGACAUGACCGAGACGGUUCUCCGGUCAAUAACCAACAGCGGGAUCUGGAUACCCAUGUUGGCUCCCACAUGGUCCUCGAUGAUGUCAUCGGAUGAACCACGAUGUCGAGGAUUCAAUCAACCCCGUAUGCAAUUCCCUUUGUCAAUCGGUAUGUUACUUGCCCGAGACUCGAUCGUCAGUAUCCCAAUACCUCGUUCAGUCUCGUUACCGGCAAGUCACUUUACUCGUACCGUAAUGCAUGAUCCCGUGAUCAAACACUUGGUCACUUUGAGCUCAUUAUGAUGAUGCACUACCGAGUGGGCCCAAUGAUACCUCUUCGUCAUACGGAGUGACAAAUCCCAGUCUCGAUCUGUGUCAACCCAACAGACACUUUCGGAGAUACCUGUAGUGCACCUUUAUAGUCACCCAGUUACGUUGUGACGUUUGGUACACCCAAAGCACUCCUACGGUAUCCGGGAGUUACACGAUCUCAUGUUCUAAGGAAGAGAUACUUGACAUUGGAAAAGCUCUAGCAAAACGAACUACACAAUCUUGUGCUAUGCUUAGGAUUGGGUCUUGUCCAUCACGUCAUUCUCCUAAUGACGUGAUCCCGUUGUCAAUGACAUCUAAUGUCCAUAAUCAGGAAACCAUGACUAUCUGUUGACCAACGAGCUAGUCAACUAGAGGCUUACUAGGGACGUAUUUUGGUCUAUGUAUUCACACGUGUAUUACGAUUUCCGGAUAAUACAAUUAUAGCAUGAAUAAAAGACAAUUAUCAUGAACAAGGAAAUAUAAUAAUAAUGCUUUUAUUAUUGCCUCUAGGGCAUAUUUCCAACAAAUAUCUCUCCCAUCAAGGAUAGAUUGCCACACCUGAGAAGGAUGUGGGCCUAGUUGAGCUUCUAGAACUGAACAUUGUGGGAAAUAUGACGCUUUAAGGAUUUGUGCACUAAGAGAGGAGGGAUCAUUCAUUAAUCUCCAAACUUGCUGAGACAAAAGUGCCAAGUUGAAGAUCUCUAUAUCCCGAAAACCAAGUCCUUCCAAACUUUUUGGUCGGGUCAUCAAAUCCCAAGCUACCCAACAUGGUUUUCUCUUGCCUCUCUUGCUCCCCCACCAAAACUGACGAAUGAGUGACGUAAUACUUUCACAAAGGCCUCGAGGUAAUCUGAAACAUGACAUCGAAAAAACUGGUAAAGCUUGAGCCACAGAUUUUAUUAGAAUCUCCUUUCCUGCCACUGAUAAAAGUUUCUCCGUCCAUCCCUUUGUCCUUUCCCAAACUUUGUCUUGUAAAUAUUUGAAGGUGCCAUUUUUGGACUGUCCUACAUCGGUCGGCAGACCCAAGUACUUUUCACUCAGAGAUUCAUUCUUCACAUUGAGUAUAUUCUUUAUCUCCACUCUAAGGGUCUCCGGACAUCCCUUAGUGAAGAAGAUGGACGAUUUAUCAUAGUUUACCCUUUGGCCUGAAGCCAAGCAAUAUGAAUCAAGUAGGUUUGAAACCUCAUUUGCCCCCUGGACACUAGACCUGAAAAGCAGCAGUCUGUCAUAUGCAAACAAAAGGUGGUUCACUGCCGGAGCCGUGGGCGCCACCUUUAUGCCACCGAGCACUAAUGACUAAGAACUGUGUUUUAAAAGGCACGAAAGGCCCUCUGCUGCAAUCAAGAAUAAGUAAGGGGAAAUAUGAUCUCCCUACCUGAUACCUCUGGAAGGUGAGAAGCUCUCCAAUCUUUCUCCAUUAAACAAGACCGAGAACGAAAUAGAAGUGAUCAUGCUCAUAAAUGUAUGGAUCCAAUCUGGUGCAAAGCCAAGCUUAAGUCUGUCAUAUGCCUUCAUCAUAUCAAGCUUGAGUGCACAAAGGCUGUUUGUCUUGGAUCUGUUUCUCUUCAUGAAGUGCAAACAUUCAUACGCACAUAUGAUAUUAUCCGUGAUUAACCUCCCGAGGACAAAGGCUGAUUGCUCCUUCGAGAUAAUAUCUGGCAAUAUUAGCUUUAAUCUAUUCGCUACCACUUUAGAAGAAAUUUUAUAAAUCACAUUGCAAAGGCUGAUAGGCUAAACUGGGUAAGAAGAGUGGGGUUUUGUACCUUAGGUAUCAACACGAGUACCGUAUCAUUAAUACUUGCAGCAGUCUCCUCUCCACGGACAAUCUGAAGCACCACAUUAGUUAUUUCAUCCCCACAAAUGUCCCAGUGGCGCUGAUAGAAGUGUGCAGGGAAACCAUAUGGGCCUGGUGCCUUCGUGGGAAACAUCUGAAACAGGGCCUGCUUCACCUUCUCAUUUGUGUAAGGGGCGCAAAGAGAAGCAUUCAUCUUUGGUGUUACUUUCCAAGGCACAUGCUGUAACACGUCAUCUACCUCCUGCACACCUUCCGUCGUGUACAAAGUUUUAUAGAAUUCUGUCACGAGUUGUUUCAUCUCAGCCUUGUCGUCUACACGUAUACCCAGCGCAUUGUAUAGAGCUCGGAUCAUGUUCUUCCUUCUCCGCAUGUUUGCUCUCAUGUGAAUUUUUUUUGUGUUGCGAUCACCCGCAGACAACCACUGUAUUCGAGAUCUUUGUCUCCACAUAAUCUCCUCCCUAUGAUAAAGCUCUACCAGUCGUUCAUUCAGCUUUUGCUCAAGGUGAUUUGGAGAAGUCCUGGAUGGAAUACUCCAGAGCCUUUCUAGCUCCUCUUUUGCCUUCUUGAUCUCCUUUCUAACACUCCCAAAGGUUUCAUCAUUCCAUGCCGAGAGGUUCUUUGACAAAAGCUCUAGUUUUCUGCGAAUUCCCUCAACUCCUUGACCACCUUGAUGUUUGCUCCAUCCUGAGCUAAUGGUGUCACGCCAGGAUUCGUGUGACUCCCACAUCACUUCGUAACGGAAGCUCGGUUUAGGACGUGGUAAAGUCUCUUCAAACUGCACGAAUAUGGGUCCAUGAUCUGAGGAGGUCGAUGUUAAGUUUGUAACAUUGGCCAUAGGGUAUAGCACCGCCCAAUCUGCUGUGGCCAUCGCUCUGUCUAGCCUCACGCUGGUGUAAGAUCCCCCGGCCACCUUCUUCUCAAAAGUCCAAAAUCUGCCCUGAUAGCCCAAGUCCAUCAACAUGCAAACAUCAACCGCAUCCCGAAAACCUUGUAUUUGUGCAUUACUCCGAUUAGCAACUCCCUCAUGUUCAUCUGGACGUAACACUUCGUUAAAAUCACCCAUACACAGCCAAGGGAGGUUGCUGAAAGUCGCCAACCCCUUUAGAAGAUCCCAUGUUUGGUGUCUCAGUUGUGUCUGGGCCUCGCCAUACACGCAUGUCAACCUCCAUGGGUCUUUCCCAUCCUCUACAACCUUCACAUCAAUAUGAUAAACAAAAUCACCCAAGAUCUCAAUAUUUAUUGUAUUAUUCCAAAAAAUUCCUAUUCCUCCACUUCUUCCUUGACUAUCUAUCGCAUAGGCAUUAUCAUAGCCCAAAGUAUUAGCUAAAGCUUCUACACGUGCACCUUUUAAUUGUGUUUCAACAAUACACAACACGGUAGGGGUAAAUUUCUUCGCAAAAUCGUGAAGCUCAUGAACUGUCGCGGCUUUACCCGCACCGCGACAGUUCCAACAGAAUGAACUCAUUAUGCCCGGCGGCACUCCUCGAAGGAGCCCGCCGAUCCUGCAUCUUGGUCCUUGCCUUCUUCCACUCCAUCUGUCACCAUACUCGGUGUCCCUGCAUCAGACAGCUCCUUAAACAGGGCUCCUUUAUUUCCAACAUCUUUCUUCGGUCGUUUCACCUCUUUCCUUGGAGAAACAUAUACAUGCGGCAUCGGGGGAACCUCGACAGGCUUUCCAGAAAUUACAAGAGUUGUAGUGCUCAUUGGAGCCACAGCCCCAUCUCUCCCAUCGCUCGGCUGAGCUGUCCCUGGGUGUUUGUUGUCAGAGGAUUGUCUCUUGUUACUUCCCACCACUACCCCCAGCGCUGCAGCUCGGUGCCUCGAUCAUCACAUGGGGCUCGCUUGCCCUGAUGCAUCUGUGGUCAUUGCAAUAUCUGCCCUUCCAUCCUGCCGCCCAGCCUCACUGCGGGGUUCAUUCUGAUAUGCAUUGAAGCGCUAGCUUUGAUUGGGUUUAUAUUGAUCUCGCCCCCUACCUCUUCCUCCUCAUUCCUUGGGCCGCCUCGACCCCUCUGAUUACCAAAACCACCUCUACCCAGUUGCCUGAAGCGAAUAUUGUCAGCCAGAACAAAGUCACCCCACUCAAACUUAGUCUCAUCAUGAACACCAUCGCCACACUCCUCAUGCCAAUGCCCGCAUUCACCACAGUUAAAGCAAAACACUGGUAAUUUCUCAUACUUUACUUGGUAUCUAACUCGUUCAUGCCCCUUCUUUCUAGUGACAAACCUCUUAAUUUUUGCAUUGAUAUCGAUCUUCACCCUCACCCGGACAAAUUCACCAAAAAAACCUGCCGGUAGCUUGAGCUGAACUUCCUCCACCUUCGUGAUGCCAUCCCCCUGACUGCGGGCUCAAUUAAAAAGUUGUCAGGUAACCGAUGGAUUUGUGCCCAAACCGCCAGCUUAUCCAACUUGAUGCUAUCAGGGUUUUUGAACCCAUCAUACUCCACCAUGAUCACUGCCUGUUCUCUGAAAAGCCACGCCCCCUUUAGCAUGGCCUUAUACCAAUCCCCUAGACAACCAAACUGAGCUGUGAACAAGUUGUCCUUAAUCUUCCUCCAAACCACCAUCUUCGCCGGGUUCCAUGCUGCACGCAUAUCCCCAUACAGAGCAUUAGGGCUGAAAGUCCUUGUAGUGUGCACCCUGGCUAUGGCUAGCCACUUCGCCAGCGCCCCCAGAUCCGGCAGUUCCUCUUCCCACACAAACUCAUCAUCUUCCUCCUCUUGCAGAUUCAUCCUGGCAAGCAGUUCCUCCGUCGUCUCCUUGCCCUGCCGCCCCUGCGAGCUUGAUCCCGCUGCCAUGAAUAGACCAAUCUAGUCGUCACCAACGAAAACCCUAGGCCGAUCUGCCGGAGAAAACCACAAGAACCAAGGCCAGGUAAGGUCACGAGGGACUUCCCUUGAUCAGUCCGAGUCCAGGGGAUCACCAGCAAAAGAUCUACAAGGGAAAAGUAGGUAAAAACCGGCCGCGGCGCCGGAGUACGUCGAAACCCUAGGUUGUCGCCGUCGGGGAAAAAAGCUCUAAAAGUAGAAUCAGCUACCUAGACAUCAACACAGCAAACACAGGGGCGUGUUUCAAAGCACGGUCUGAACACUGUUUGAAAAAAAAAUCAUCGACCCAAUGGGUCUCUCCAGACCGCCGCCAUAUGUCCAGAUCGUUAGAGCAACCGAAAGGGCGCAGGAACAGGCAGCGGAUUUGUAGCGCGAAAAGCGUCCAAAUUUUUUGUUCCGCUGAGGAUUCGAGCUCGCACCAACUAGUUACAAUGCACAAAACCUUACCACUCGAGCUACAAGGAGCUAGUGAAAGAAUACAGCGUGAAAUAUUUAAAAUGUAGCCGUGCUAUUUCUUGCACAUAUAUUUCAGAAAAAAAUUGUUAUAUUCCAGGAAAAAAUCGAACAAAAUUUAAAAAAAUCACGAAUUAGGAAAAAGUUCAUCGAAUUAUUAAAAAGUUCAUAAAAUUUGAAAUAAAACUCAUCCAAUUUGAAAAAAGUUCGUUGAACUUGAAGAAAAGUUCAACAAAUUAUAAAAAAAGUUCAUCAAAUUUGAAAAAAGUUCAACGAAUAUGAGAAAAGUUCAUCGAAGUUCGAAAAAAGUUCAUCGAAUUUCCAAAAAAGUUCAUUGAACUUGAAGAAAAGUUCAUCAAAUUUUUAAAAAGUUCAUCAAAUUUGAAAAAAGUUCAACAAAUUUGAAAAAAGAUCAUCGAAGUUUGAAAAAAGUUCAUCGAAUUCAAAACAAAUCAUCAAAUUCGGAAAAGGUUCAUCGAUAUUGAAACAAGUUCAUCGAUUUUGUUAGAAGUUCAUCCAUUUUGAAAAAGUUCAUUCAAUUGUGCAAAAGAGAAGAAGAAAAAGAAAAAGUUCAUCUAUUUGAAAAAAAGGUCAUAGAAAUUGAAAAAAAGUUCAAUUUAAAAAUAAUUGAUAUAAUUUGAAAAAUAGUUCAUAAAAUUUUAAAAAGUUCAUGCAAUUCGAAAAAUAAUUCACUGGUUGAAGAAAUAGUUCAUUGAAUUUAAAAAGUUUGUGCAUUUUUGAAAAAUAUAAAAGAAAAAUAAAAUAAAUAGAAAAAGAGCAACAAAAUUGAAAAUAGAAACAAGAAAAAGGAAAAAAAAGAAACAACAAAAAGGGGGAACGAUAGCAAGUGAACACACGACGUAUUCUGUCCCAGCUGGCUUGUGGAGCUCGUUGCUACCGAAGGGAUAUGGGUUCGAAUCUAUAUCAACCAAAAUCUAGUCUAAAUAUGGGGAGGCUGUCCAAACAUGUCCCCGGGGGAUAAUCGCACGCCGCCCGCCUCCCUCUCACCCGCUCUAUCCCUGGCCACCACAGACGGGUGCUACAGCGGCAACAAUGGCUAUCGUGAGUCCGCGGCAUGGAUUGGAUCCACCGACGACUCAUCUGGGUCUUCUCCCGUGCAGGUUGUCGGACUCCGACGAGGACCUGGUGGUCUGCGGGAUCAAGUUCUGAUCUUUUGGUCACUAACGAGUCGAAUGCUCGUCGUUGUCACCGCAAGAAUGCCAAGUUGCUGCGAGAGGGCAUCGAGGCUUCAUGGAUUGAAGCUGAGCCCUCGCUGAGGAGCAAACAUGUGCCACACGCACCCUCACCAACAUGCAGGAGGACUCCAACGUCCCCGAUGGCCCCGUCAACGACCCUUACACCAUAUUCGACCUCUACUACCGAGGAUGGAAGGGGAAGAGGAACCUCGCCGGGAUUUCUUCUUUAUUUGAUGUAUGUUAGUAUUGUCCUAGAUUGAACUAGUUUUAUUUCGUCGUAUGUUGAACUACCGUUGUAUGUUGCUUCUAUCAAAUGUAUCCUAUGUUACAUGGAUUUGGGGAGGGGAAAUUUAUGUGGGGGCAGGCGGGUGCGUUGUAGGGGCGGACAAAUGGGGCUCGACCCCGUGCUGUCCGCGGACAUGCCUGCAUACAAAUGGGGGUGGGGAGCAAAUUCGCCACUUUCCCUUGAAGAUGCUCUUAAACGUUUCAGUUCAGACUACAAUUUAAUUAGCCUCUCCGCUUUGCACUCUGUUUUGAGCUAAAUACUGAAGUAACCCUCAUAGCUAGUUAGUGGCAGCGAUCUUGAAUGAGGAGGAAUUCUAGCUAAUUGUCACUGGCUGCAGCCGUGGUCUUUUUUUUUUCGAACCAUACAGGAGAGAUGUAUGUACUAUAUAUUAAGUGCUCGUUUGGUAGCAAGGGGUCCCUCGGGAUCCCUGCUCAUUUCCUGGGUGGAAACCCCCUGUCGAACAUCAGCCCUGGACCAGGUGCAUGGACAUUUGGAUGCUCGAACCCACGAGGUUUUCUCGGCCCGAUCCCCUCAAUUUCCCCGGGAUAGGAUCCACACCUCGCGACAUCGGAGAAGAUUCCCCCGUCUCAUUCACUUGCGACGCCUCUCUGACCCUCCUCGUGUGGCACACCGUGACGUUCCAAUGCAAUGUUGCCUAUCCUCUCGGUCUCCGCAUGCGCCUUUGCAUCCUCCGUCCUCGCCGGUGGCCGCCAUAACUGCAGUGGUACACCCUCCACUAGUUAGGCCAACUCCACCGCAAGACCCCAUCCAGACGUCCGUUUUGUCCUGUUUUCGUCCGUUUGGGAAGGCAAUGGGGUUGCUCAUGUCCGUUUUGGGUCGUCGCCGUGUCAGUGUGCCCAACGCGCGAGCGCACCCCAUAUUAUGUCCGGGGUGACAUAUCCGCCUGGCAUUUUGUCAAACACGUAGGUGGCAGGGAAGGUCGCAGCGGCUGGGCGCGGAGAGGCGAGGCCGACGUCUGCGGGAGCACUGGCCGGAUACGGGUGCAGGCGCGAGACGAGACCGGCGGUCAGGGCCGGUCCUGAGAUUUUGGGGGCCCGGGGCGAAACCAAAAUUGAGGGCCCUUAGUAUAAACAACAUAGUAAUAAUAAUGGAUAUAUGCAUAUAUGAAAUGUUACAAAUAAACACUUAAAUGCAUCAAAAACAAUAUACAUACGAAAUAAUCAUAUAUGUUACCUUAAAAAAACUCAAUCGUUGACGCAAAGUACAUCAUAUGAUGAAGUGAAUUUAUAAUCUUUAAUUCAGAAAAAAAAACAGGAUGUAGAUUGUGCAUGUGCACUUCUUGAAAUACUUACUAUCAGGGCCACUUACAUUUUUAUCACCUAUUUGAUGUCAACAGCUUCCUCUUGUUAAGAUUCAGAAUGCCCAUCAGUUUGAUUCUCUUCCUCCACAAAAUCGCCAAUUCAUCAUUUGGAAUCAACGAAGUAUAUUACUCUUGAUAAUUUUACAAAGAGCGCCUCUCUCAUGUAUCAACUCAUGCACAUAUUCUAUCUUUUUCCACCAUGCUGGAAAUAAAUAAAUAAUGGCAUCAAAGGCUGAUCGGUGCCAGCUAUGCACGAUGUAUGCAAAGGAGAAAUUACUUAAUUUAGUACUAAACCUAUAGGGGAAUAUAAUAUAAUAUAUCUUUGGAUGGAUUGGAUAGUUCAGCGAUGAGCCUAUGCCACGACGUGAACUCGCGUCUGGCUCUAGCACUAGCGCUAGUCGAAUCGGCGAUGUCUGUGUGCGUGUCAUCGCGACAGCGCCUGAAGGCGGGAAAAAGCGGCGGCGUAUACUGAGUAUUGACUGCAUCUCGCGAUCGGGGCACCCGGGAACCGAGAUCGCAUCGGCGAGACGGCGAACUCGCGAUCGAUUAGGAAGGAAAUUAUAAGAGAGAAGGAGCGUAAUGGCGUGCUCAUUAUCUCGGAAAAGACGGCGUAUGAUCUCGGGAUUGCUAGGUGAAGGAAUAGGAAUAAUCGCCAUGUUCGCCUGCAUCCACGCCUGAUUACCUCGCUUAAGCCACGGCCCAUAUAGAGUUUAGGAGCUACGUAAACACAUCUGAGGAGGGGCCCCUGGAUUGUGGGGGCCCGGGGCGGCCGCCCCCCCGCCCCCCUCAGGGCCGGGCCUGCCGGCGGUCGAGCUCGAACUCCACGCCGGCGAGACGCAGCAGGGCGAGCGCGGCGAGCACGGCGAUGCGUCAUGGCUGAGCGCGGCGUGCGCCUCGGCCUCGCCCUGCGCCUCCUCGCCCCGAACUCGCUAUGCCGCCUCGCGCCGCGCCGGGCUGGCCUGCGCCCGCGCCCACGCGUGCCNNNNNNNNNNNNNNNNNNNNNNNNNNNNNNNNNNNNNNNNNNNNNNNNNNNNNNNNNNNNNNNNNNNNNNNNNNNNNNNNNNNNNNNNNNNNNNNNNNNNNNNNNNNNNNNNNNNNNNNNNNNNNNNNNNNNNNNNNNNNNNNNNNNNNNNNNNNNNNNNNNNNNNNNNNNNNNNNNNNNNNNNNNNNNNNNNNNNNNNNNNNNNNNNNNNNNNNNNNNNNNNNNNNNNNNNNNNNNNNNNNNNNNNNNNNNNNNNNNNNNNNNNNNNNNNNNNNNNNNNNNNNNNNNNNNNNNNNNNNNNNNNNNNNNNNNNNNNNNNNNNNNNNNNNNNNNNNNNNNNNNNNNNNNNNNNNNNNNNNNNNNNNNNNNNNNNNNNNNNNNNNNNNNNNNNNNNNNNNNNNNNNNNNNNNNNNNNNNNNNNNNNNNNNNNNNNNNNNNNNNNNNNNNNNNNNNNNNNNNNNNNNNNNNNNNNNNNNNNNNNNNNNNNNNNNNNNNNNNNNNNNNNNNNNNNNNNNNNNNNNNNNNNNNNNNNNNNNNNNNNNNNNNNNNNNNNNNNNNNUGCGCCCCCGCGCCGGGCUGGCCGGGCCCGCGCUGGCCAGGCCGCGUCGCGCCCGCCAGGCCAGGCCGCGCCGCGCCGGCCAGGCCCGCGCCUGCCUGGUCGCGCUGCCGCGCCCACGCUGGCCACAGCGCCGGCCUGCGACAGUUUUCUUCGGAGCUGGAGUCCGCCGUCGCCCGCUGCAGCUCGCCCGCACGCCGAGCCAGCCGCUCGUGCGCACGCCGCCCUCGCACCUGCCGCGCCCGCGACGCUUGAGCUCGCCCCUGGCAGCCUCCGCGCGUGCCCGCUACGCUCCCGGCGCUCCCCCGCGCGUCCGCCUCUCGCCCCCGGCCACCACCGCCUCGUCGUGCUCGACGUCGCCCCGUCGCGCCGCGCUCGCGCCCCGCCCUCUCGCCCGGCCGCCGCGGCGCACCCGCGCCCACUGCGGCAUGUCAUGGCCGCCCCGCCGUGGACUCGCCCCAUCUUUUUCGUCUCUGUUGGUCUCGUGUGGAGAGAGAGGAUGGUAGGUGGGCAUGGUGGGCCACGUGAGAGAGAAGAGGAGAGCAGAUGACAGGCGGGCCAGGGUCACAUGCAAAAGGGACAAGGCCGGACGGGGACCACCCAGAAUGCGUCCGCUUGUGUCCGCUUUGGAUGCAAACCCAGCUCAAACUUGCGCCCAGAAUGGGGCAAAACGGACAAAAAACCGACGCUUUUUACAGAUGGGGUCGUGCGCUGGGCCGUCUCAUAUGUUCAUUUAACUCCAAACGGACAGACCCGGACGAUUUAGGGUCUUGCGGUGGAGUUGGCCUUAAAGCUGGCUAGACAGGCGACCACAGUAGAGUUCUUCGUCCUGCCCACUAGGCCGCGUCACAAGGGGGACCACCGGCGACCGCGACGGCGGGUGGUAGUGGGCGUGAAGACAACAAUAAUGGAGGGGCUGCAUGUCCAUGGGGGACUCACCAGGAGCAAGAUCUGGAUGUAGCUGCCUCAGAAGUCAGAACUAGGAACAUCCAUGGGUGGUGGUGCGCCUAGCUAUGGCAUGGAGCCUGAUAUGAUGGGGGAGGGCGUUGCUUCGGUUCAUCGUGUUUUGAUUGUGGAUUGUCCCUUUGAGCCAAAUGGCAAUGCCAGUUUUCCACGGGUCUUCUAGUUGGCCAAGAAAAUUCCACUGAGGUUGUCCAAGCCUCCAACUUUGCCACUUUUAUUCACGGGUGCAGAUGGAGCUCUUCGUGGCGGACCAUGUGCAAGUGCACAUGACGAAGGGAUAAAAGUUGGGGAAACUAAAAGAAAAGAAAAAACAUUGUAACCCAUUGACAAGCAGUCCCGUAUGACGGGAGAAAUAUUAAGAUUGUGUUCUAGGGUUUCUCAAAUUUGCUCUUGGGGCAUUUUUCAAAAAAUUACAGUGCGCUCGAGUAAGUUUAGUAAAGUUGCUCUCGGUGGGCGUACUUGCUCCCCGUUGAUUCUUACUUUUUUUUCCUGUUUUGAACCUCACAUGCAUUUGCUAUCAAGAUAUCCAUUUCACAUAUAAAAAGAAAAUAAUUCAUUUAGUGUGUUACAAACGCUGAUGUGUGGGGCCUGACUCGAUAGAAAUUUUUUUGGAUGAACCCUGGGGUAGGCAUCGGGUCUUGUCUCCUUCCUUCAUUCAUUACCAUUAUCGAGACUUUUUCCAGUGGAUAGUAUGUCAGAUCUCACCAUUGAACGUUGGCUGUCACAAUUGGACACCGACUACUUCUUAAACCGGAUAAACACAUGAUAUUAUAAUUACAUAUCACUCAAUUUAAUCAUCGACGAAGAUAACUCAACUCAUGAUGUGGUCCGUCUUCUGCCUUAUGGCUCACCCAUUAGAGCAAUAGUUGGUGUCAUUUUUUAUAUCAAAAUUUUAUACUUAUUUAAUCUUAUUUUUAUCCUAGAACAAUACUAAGGAAUAUAAUUUUAUUAGUUAGUUAGUAUACUUAACCAUAUAAUUUAGUUGGUAGGGUUAAACUAUUGUUUUUUAUCAAUUGUAACAUGUAUCACAGAAAAUUUUCUUUAUGUGAAUUUUAGUUAUAUCAUGGAAAAAAGUUAUCUUUAACUUAUUUUUUACAAUCUCACAAUUUAUACAUACAUAUUUGUAAAUAUUUCAAUUUCAUUCCAUGAAAUAUCACAGCAAAGAUCUAUAAAGAACUUAAUUGUGGUUUCUAGUGUCUUAUUAGGUUAUCAUGUUUAUAGAACCUUGUAGAGUAUAAAUUGUAUCGCUUGCAAAUGUGUUGGAGGUUAGAUUUGAUAAUAAGUUCAUAUGCAUGGUACUGAAAUAACAUUGACUAUCGACAAAUGUAAACAUAUGGCUGCACUCUCUUGUUUAAAAUGUCCAUUUCAAACAAAUCUUUAAUUGCUUACCUACAAAUAGCAAUUUGAACAAAAACACAAUCAUCUUCCAUACAUGAAUACAAGAGAAAUCCCACAAGGUAAUCACACACAACAUCUAAUUGUUAGUGCAUCUUCAAUGGCAACCCGCAAAAAAGCUCCCGCAUCCGUCCGCGGAUAGGAGGGACCAGUCCGCGGACAUGGACGCGGGAGGCAGCCAUCCAACGCUAGCCUCAUACAUUUUCAUAACAAGUCAAACCAACCGGAUGACAUUCAUGCAAACACGACCGAAUUUCAUGGAAAGUCGAUCGGAUUUCAUACAAACAUGACGGAUUUCAUACAAACUAGAUGCAAACGGUUACACUCUGGAAAUAUUUUAACUAAAAAGUUAAAACUAUGUGCACGUAUGGUCACGCAGAGCUCCACUCCCAUGACACGGAUACGCUACACUAGUCUAUGGUCGGCCCCCGCGGAUCCCUUCAUCACCGGACUACCGGGAGUCCCGAAGGAAUUCUUCCCCCGUAUCUUCCCUCGCUCGUAUCCUCCGGGCUCGGUGGGCCACCAUAUCGGCUUUUAUGUGGGAGAAUUCCUCUUCCUGCCCGUUGGAUGCCAUCAAAAUAUUGGAGAAAAUCGUGAAGGAGGAGAUGGGGGAGCGGCAGAGGGGUAUGAUUCUUGCCCGACGCAUGCCAUCAUUCCUGAAUGCGGCGAGGAGGGCAGAGGGGAGGAGCUCGGCCGGCAUGGUGUUUAAUACCGGCCCGCUCCUGAACGGACGUGUGGAUGGAGUAGGUUUCUCGGCUUCCACGCAGGGGUUAAUGGGGUGUAUGAAUGCGGCGAGGAGGCGUGUUCAGCCAGACGUGCAGCCGGCGGCGCCCUCGGCCAGCGCGCCACUUCAAUGACAUAGGCGGUGAGAGGUCGCGCCCUCCCUGAGCCGUCUUUAAUGCAGAGCGGCGCGCUCUACAGCGGCAUGGAUGCGGGCAGGUGGCGCCGGGCGAGAGCGCGCGGGAGGGUGAGGGGUAUUUUGGCGGGCCAGGGCACUCAGAAGCGGGCUUGGAAGCGGUCCGGACUCCCGCAAACCUCCCUCACUUUAUUCUCCGGUUUACGGGAGAAAUCACGUCCGGACUGCUCCGCAGACCGAUACAGGUCGGUGUUGGAUGGCUUCCACGGUCUGGACAACCCGAUCCAAACGAUUGCGGGAGGUUUGCGGAUCUGCCUUGGAGAUCCCCUUAUGUGCUAAUGUGGCGAGUGUCGACCAUGUUAGCAUGAAGCAAUCACUUGUGUGGCAAUUUCAUGCAAAAGUAUCGUCACAAAAUUCACAAUCAACAAAAGAAGAUGAUGAAUAUAAACAAUGAAAAACUUACUUGUGGUGUGUCAUCAGCAUGUCACCGCCGCUAAGAACAUGGUUAAUAGUAGAACUAGCUGAUGGUUAUAUGACGUUGCCAUGUAAUCUAUAGCCAAUGUUAUACCCGGCAUGUAUAAUAGUUAGAUAUAAAGAUGUGCUACUUUAUCAAUGCAUGACUCACGUUCCACUCUUACAUAGUGCCUAGGAGCACGUGUUUGCAGGUGACUCCUUUUCUUUCCUCUCCAUAUCAGUAGAAAUAUAAUAUUUUAACUCUUAUAGCCCGCUUACGUAAGUUUAUGGCUGUAAGAAAGUCGCCGCCCGCCGCGGCCUUGUCGCCUAGGGUAGUUAGAAGCGAAGAAGUUCAUUGGUUAAUCAAGAGAUUAAGGAGGUGAUAGAUACAACUGAAAAAAUUCAAUCAUUAGCAUCGCUUAAGGCCCGUCCUCCUUAGGUCUUGGUUUAAUUGGGAAUAAAGAAGAUUGAACAAAAUGAUCAAAAAAAAUAAUAAAAAAAUGAUAAAAAAAAGAAGAUUGAACAAGGAAAAAGAGCCGGUGGCGCUAAGCGGCAAAGAACAAAAUAAUUAGGACUUCAUCUCGUGCGCCCCCGGAUCCUUUGUUCUCAAGAGCAUGGAUAAUACUAUAGCCAACCGAUGGCUGCAUACAACUGUCAUGUUAUUAUUGGGGAACGUUGCAUGGAAAAAAUUUUCUAUGCACAUGCAAAAUCUAUCCAUGUAGAUGCAUAACUACGAGAGAGUGAGAGCAUCUUCACACCCUUGAAGAUCGCUAAACGGAAGCGUUUAUCAACUCGGUUGAUGUAGUCGUACACUUUCAUGAUCCGUUCUGAUCAAGUACCGAAUGUACGGCACCUCCGCGUGCAGCACACGUUCAAUUCGAUGACGUCCUCGCCUUCUCGAUCCAGCAAGAGAGGCUAAGUAGUAGAUGAAUUCCGGUAGCACGACGGUGUGGUGACGGUGAUGGUGAAGAACAAUCUCCACAAGGCUUCGCCAAGCACAAUAGAAAUAAUGAUGGAGGAUAAACUAGAGGGGGCGGGGUUGCCGACACACGGCUUGAUCUGUUCCGGGUGCUAGCCCUACCCCUCUAUUUAUAUGUUGAGCCCUGGGGUCGUUUCUUGGAGAAAGAGCCUCCUCAAAGUCAGUUUAGCCCGCAAGUCAAGAGUUCUUCUCGGACUCCGGGACCAGACACCACAGUCCUCGGCGUCUAGCCCAGAUGCCAUGGGCCUCGGCGUAUGGCCUAGGGCCAGAUGCCAGGGUCCCUGGCGUCUGGUCCCCGACCUCCGCAAAACUUCCUUUUGCACCGACGUAAAGCCCCAUGGGCCUUACCCCUUGGCAUAACCAUAUCAUCCUAUAUAUCAGUCUUUACCUCCGGACCAUUCCGGACCUCGUCGUCAUGUCUGUGAUCUCAUCUGGGACUCCGAACAACAUUCGGUCACCAACAUAUAUAACUCAUAUAAUACUACAUCGUCAACGAACGUUAAGCGAGCAGACCCUACGGGUCUGAGAAUGAUGUAGACAUGACCGAGAUGCUUCUCCGGUCAAUAGCCAAUAGCGGGACCUGGAUGCCCAUAUUGGUUCCUACAUAUUCUACGAAGAUCUUUAUUGGUUAAACCUUUAUGACAACAUACAUAGUUCCUUUUGUUCGUCGGUAUGUUACUUGCCCGAGAUUCGAUCUUCGGUAUCUCCAUACCUAGUUCAUUCUCGUUACUGGCAAGUCUCUUUACUUGUUCCGUAAUACAUCGUCCUGUAACUAACUCCUUAUCCACUUUGCUUGCAAGCUUCUUGUGAUUUUGUAUUACCGAGAGGGCCCAGAGAUACCUCUCUAUCACACAGAGUGACAAAUGCCAGUCUCGAUCCAUGCCAACCCAACAAACACCUUCGGAGAUACCUGUAGAGCACCUUUAUGGUCACCCAGUUACGUUGUGACAUUUGAUGGCACACAAAGCAUUUCUCCGAAGUUUGGUUGAAGAAACAUGUAUUUGACAUUAAGAAAGAAGUAGCAAUAAACUGAACUAUCAUAUGCUAUGCUAAUGGUUGGGUCUUGUCCAUCACAUCAUUCUCCUAAUGAUGUGAUCCCGUUAUCAAAUGACAACUCAUGUCUAUGGUUAGGAAACCUUAACCAUCUCUGAUCAAUGAGCUAGUCUAGUAGAGGCUCACUAGGGACAUGGUAUUUGUUUAUGUAUCCACACAUGUAUUUAAGUUUCCGGUCAAUACAAUUCUAGUAUUAAUAAUAAACCUUUAUCAUGAAUAAGGAAAUAUAAUAAUAACAACUUUAUUAUUGCCUCUAGGGCAUAUUUUCAAUAGUUAUCUAUAAACAUAAUCUAUAUUCACUCAUAUAGUAAAACAAACUAUAAGGUUGGCUACAAGACUAGUAUAUUUAUCAACCUUCUCUUUUACUUUCUUAAAAUUUAUUGCAUUUGUCUAGAAGCACAUGCAGAGCUAUACUCUUCCAAGAUCUUGCAUGGGAGCCCACUUCAUUUUUUUUACGUGUCUCUCCCCACAUAGGUAAAAGUGUCAUGUAAGUGGGUUAUUACUUAUAGGCCCCUUAUUAUGUGUGCUCUAAUGGGUUGGGUGUGCUGACUUGCUUAAUUUCGUUGGGCCUUAGGCGGCCGCACUCCUGGUUGUGACUUAGCGUCGACCCCUGCUUGUGAACAACAUCUUUAAAGUGUGCACCACUUCACCUCGUGGCUUCCGGGCGUUCAAGAAGAUUAGAGUUUUCCCUACCUUCGCUGGUCUACCUCGUCUUUGAUGGCCUUAGGGCCAUGGAGGUGAAGUGGACCCUGGCCCUUGCCGAUGGGAGGAAUCCUGAUUUGGAUUUUAGGUAGAGUUUUGUGUUCGUUUAGGGUUUCUAUCAUGCUCAACGAGGCGUGGCGGCCACGUCUUUGUUAAGAUGGAGUAAUGCCCUUCCCGCCUAGCCCUCAUCCCUGUGGUGUGUCUACUGUUGUCGGAGGGCGUGUGGAGAUGUAUCUCUGGCAGAUCUUACGGGGUCCGACCGGUGUUUGUCUUCAAUGGAUCUGUUUGGAUCCAGCCUUCAUUCAUCUCCGGUGGAUCCAUCUGGAUUUUACAGGAGACAUGGGGUUCUCAGUUUGAACAAACAAAUAACAUAGUUAAAUACCCCUAGCUUGAGAGGCACUCUGGGCCAAUGCGACAUCCGACAUCCAUAAAUCCAGCACCGGGGACGCCACGAGCACAAAGAAGGCGCCUUCAAGAAGGAUAACGACAUCAUGGUGCCAUCUGAUGGUUUCAUGGACUAGGGGGUGCUGACCACGUCGGCCCCCCAAUCAUAGGAUGUGCCGAGGAUCCCCACCCCAAGCAACCAACCUGUGGGCCCACCUACCAGGUCCCAUGGCAUAUUCAAGAUGGAAUCCUCCGAAGACUUGGCACACACUUCAGGACAUGUUUGAAUCAUCGGCAUGUUUAUCCCUUGAUGUAACCAACCUAUGUGUAACCUUAGGUACCCCCAGUGCCUAUAUAACCUGAGGGGUUUUAGACUAUAGGGUUAGAGAGAUUCACAUAUGAUCUCGAGGUAACCAUCCUAUACUUUGUACCCCAUCCACAAUCAAUAUAACAAAAGUAUGUCAUAGGGUUUUACCUCUUCGAGAAGGCCCGAACCCAAGUAAAACUUCGUGUCCCUCUUUGUCCUGUUACCUAGCCAAGAUCACCAGCUCAGGACACCCUACCCGAGAUCCGUCGGAUUCAAUCCCGACACCGUCGACGCUCGAUCCAAAGAAUCAGAACAAUGGUUUCCCUUGGUGCUCGAAGAGGGAUGCAUACAGAGGCCAUGGCAAUGCCUCCAAGGAGGAGACGACACUCACCAGUUUCGCCAUUGCCAACACAGGCAAGUCGAUCAGAAAUUUCUCCCUGACCUAGCUUUCAGCAAUCUCAUAGCCAUCGGAUCAAGAACCAAAAAUCAUAGGUCAAGACGUAGGCCAAAAACUGCCACCAUAAGAAGGGAAGCCACACAAACACAUGAGCCUUGGACAUGAGGGGGCAUUGAGUGUUGGAAAUAUGCCUAGAUGGAAUAAUAUUGUAUUAUUAUGUUUCCAUUUUCAUAACUAAGAGUUUAUAUUUCAUGCUAUAACUGAUAUGAUCUUGGAAUAUGUGAUUCAGUGGAAAACUCAUAUGCACAUGUGGAAUGAUAAAUGACAAAGGAUAGGUUCCUAGUCUUGCCUCUAAGAAUGGCUCAAGUGUUGUUGGUGAUCAUGUUUUUCUGAAUCUUAGGAUAUUGUUAAGUGUAACGAUAGUCCUAAAUCAACAUUGAGAAUAUGACAUUAGAAGAACAAACAUAUUGAGUCGACCCAAACUUGUUUGUUAUACUUUGACAUAAUAUCGUCUGAAAUCAAUUGUUAUAACACAGAGUGUUAGCAUUUGUUUUAGUUCCUCAGACCAUGAGAGCAUUGUAGUCACUUCCUACUGUAUGGUUAACUUUGGGGUUGCUCAAACAUCCUCUAUAACACGGUGAUCAUAGCGACAACAUAUAGGUGCAUCGGAAGGUUUGACAAGGGACUAGAUAGCCCGAGAGUGGGAUUUGGUCCCCCGAUGUUGGAGAGAUAUUCUUAGGGCCCUCUCGGUGUGACAACAUCAAUCAUCGUCUAGACAGACACAUGACUACAACAUGGGAUGUCAGAACACUUCAACGAGAAAGAAGAACAAAAUCAGUAACAAGGAUAUCGAUGCACCUCGUGUUUUAGUGCAAAUCAAAGGGAACAUCAUAUGAUAACCAAAGGUUCACUCGAAUGACAUUUGUGUCAUCAUAGGGAUUGAUAUGGGCGUUCACGGUUCCGCUGUUGGUCAUUGAACGAAGGGGUUUCAUUCAUGUAUAUGAUUUACCGAACCUACGGGGUCACAAGCUUAAGGUAUCAUGAUCUGCUGAGUGUUAUUAGUACGAGAGUACCGAGGAUUCAUUUGUGUAAUUGUUUCAUUAAUAUUUGGAAUAGUUUCGAGAGGAACCAGAAGCAUUUUGGAGUCACCAGAAGGGUUUUGGAGUUUAUUGGACAAUGCUGGUUAUUCUUGAUAAAUAAUAUAUAUGUGAAAAAUGUUUCAGAUGAUGUUAAAUUAUUAAUAAAAGGCUCUAGUAAUUGUUAGGGGGCUUAUAUAUUUAAUUUAGGACCCUGAUAAGUGACACACGUGUGGCAUGAAGCAAUUCCGCCCUAACAUUUUUUGAUGGCAAGUUUGGUUACCGAGGAUGGCAACAUUAGUUGUGAAGCAUGGCCACUUUCUGUUUGGAUGGCAAGUUUCAUUUUUGGGUGUUUUUUUAUGACAAUUUUAUUUGUAAAAACAUUGAAGGCGGUGUUAAUUCAUGCCACACAUGUGGCAUUUAUCAUUUGGGUUAAUUUUAAUAUCAACAAAUCUUAAAAGGCCAAGUGAUGAAAGGAAACUUGGGCCACAAAGGCCUAAGUGGAGGUGGCGCCCCCUUUCUUAAGGGGGAGGCAAAAUUGUAGUGGGGGAGGAAUCCUCCUGCCUCGUUGGCUGGCGCCCCAAUGAGGGGCUUUGCCUCCUUGGUGGCAGCCCCUGUAUCCCCCUCUAACCUAUAUAUACUUGAGUUAUUGGUCCUUUUCAAUACACAAGUUUUGGAGCCUCCUCUCACUAUUUGGGAAAACCCUAAUAGUAGUGCUGGCCAAAGGACUAUCAGUAGUGUGGGGGCCUCUGCUACUGCUAGGGCACUACAACUAAACUUUGAGCAGUAGCAUGGGUCCAGCCCCACACUGCUGCUAUUUAUUUUAGUAGUAGCAUGUGUGUCUACCCGCGCUACUGCUAAAUAGCAGCAGCGUGGGCUUAUGCCCCGCACCACUACUAUUCGCUUGUAUUUCAUUUCUUUAAAAUUAUAUAUUGUACUUAUACACUAUUAUACAAAUUUUGAUACAGUAGCAAUUAAGAGGUUGUUAAUCAUUGGGUGGAAGAAACACGGAUUAGCUUUUCGCAUAUGGAUUCAAGUGACCAAAUUGAUUUAGUAGUACGAUAUCGUCCUAUUGAUCCAGCUUGAUUGGUCACUUGGAUCCAUCGACUUUAAUCUAAUAUGUGUUUCUUCUACCCAAUGUUAUAACAACUCAUCAUUAUCAUAGGUAGACGAGAAUUUGGAGUGAAUGAGUACUAAUAUAUAUAAUAACUCAUCACCAUUCUAGCACAUGACAAGUACUACGUACUCCUCCUUAUCAUCAUCAUAGUUCUAUAACAACUCAUCAUCCGCAGUCAUAUAAUAACUCACCAUCAAUAUAGCACAUGACAAGUUAACCAACACUAGCUAAUUGUUAACCAACACUAGCUAAUUGUUAACCAACACUAGCUAGGACCUACUCCUCUCUCUUAGGUAAAAUAGCAUAAAACAGGUAAACCUGUCAUCUCCAUUAUGGAGUAUAGAGAUCCACCUGUCUCCAACUUGUGGCCUGCGCUAAUCCAUGUUGUCUGCAAGUGGUUUCCUACACACAUUCAUUACUUUGCUCAAUCCUUUGAUUUUGAGGCUUUCAUCUCUUUGAGAAAUUGAGUAUUCACUGUGAAAAGUCAUCGGCAAACUUGGUAGUAAGCUAAUAAUAUCUAAAUGACCUUUGACAAACAUUAGCUCAGGAACAACAUCCGGCGGGAGCUUCUGUUGAAGAACGUAAUAGUAACAUAAUUAGCAAUCUGGUUUUGCGUAAGAAGAAUGUAUGCAAAAGAUGCACUAGUGACACAAUAGUAAAAAAUCUUACCAUUCAUGCUAUCUGCACGGAUGUUAACAUGGUUCAACUUGUGGACUCGUGGCACGUAUCCACUAUUAUUUUGGCCAAUUUGAUAACUGAACUUAAAAUUCUCAAAAUCAUUUAAAAAUGAGACAAGAUAAUUUUUCUCCUCCCAAGUUAGCUUGAAGGCAUAACCAUAGUACGUCUUGUCUACAGCCUUCGAGUAUUUAUUGGAGAAAAGAAAUAAGUUUCAAAUUAUAAAUAAACAAGUCCAGUAGGGGUGAAUACCAACUAUCUUUAAAUAAAAAUAUAAAUUACUUAACGAAUUUGUUUAACAAACUCACAUAGAGGUAGAACUGGAACCAUGUCAACAUCCACCCAAAUGUCGAUAUUGUCUUCACGAUUAUCUUCAAGACUAAUAUCAAAGGUUAUGUUCAUAUCCUCCUCAAAGCCGUAUAGUCCUCUCCAAUUUGAACACCCAAAAUGUGAGUGAUUUACUGCAGUGUAGAGCUUAACCACAAAAGUGAAACCAUGUUUCAUUCUUAAGUGAGCUUUCUUUGUCUCCAUAGUCUCCCUAGUUCUAGUACUAGUUCCUCUAGUUCUAGUUCUAGUUGAUCAAUCUGAGAUUUACUUAGAUCCUCUAAUCCUCAUAAUUAGAAGCCCAGUGUGGUUCUAAUAUCAUCCCUAUAUUUGUGUCGGAUUAAGGGAUCCGCAAACCCUUGAGAGGUUCAAACUCUGGCGUGCGUGCGGAGAUCUCAACCUACCCAGCCUGCCUACUCGCGAUCCUCCUAAGCCCAGUGCGACAAGCUCAGAGAGACAAAGAGACACAACAGUUUAUCCUGGUUCAGGCCACCUUGCGGUGUAAUGCCCUACUCCAACAUUUUUGGUGGAUUGCCUCAGAGGGCUGAGGAUGAACUAGUACAGUGGAUGAACUGGCCUCAGGAGGUGAGGUGUUCUUGAGCUCAAGGGAGCUAGUGUGGUGUGGGCUAGUUCGACUUCUCUUUCUAUGGUGGUGGCUAGCCCUAUUUAUAGUGGCCUUGGUCCUCUUCCCAAAUGUUGGCGGGAAGGGAUCCCACAAUGGCCGGAUUUGAAAGGGGACAAGUAGUACAACUUAUCCUGACAAAAGUAGUCUUCGCCUGUGAAAAGCCUCUGGUCAUGACGUUGCGGUGGGCUCGCCGAUGACCUCCGUCCUGCCGUCCUGGCGGUCUUGGUCUCGUUGCACCAGAAUGGAAACCUUUGGCUGAUUCCUCGGGACUCCGCGCAUGAGGCUUGCCUCCUUUGCACCGAAGAGGAAACCUGCGCUUUGCGCCCGCCUGGCGCCUGCCUGGCGCCCGCCUGGCCUUGGUCAUCAUGGCUCACAUCAGCUGAGCCUCACGAGGUGAACCUUGCAUAGAACUCUCCGCCCCUCGAGAGCCAGCCUGGGGAGGUCGAUCCCCUCGGGGGUCUUGGCGUCGUCCGCCUCGCGAGGCUUGGCCCCUCGCAAGGGUCUUGAGUUGUUGAUGCUGGGCCGUACCAGGCCGUCGAUGGAGCCACGUGGUGGGCCGCAGGCAGGCAGGGCUGGAUACCCCCAUAUCUAGGACGCCGAUAGUAGCCCCCGGGCCCAAGGCGCGCUCGGACUUGGCUUCCAGGCAAAGCCAAAGGGCAAGUGCGGAGCGCCGCGGGCCCUAACAGCCCGCGGCCUUGAUGACAUGUGGCGGUUGAUGGGACGUGGGUGUCUCCACUUCCCCAUGCUGCCUUGAUAUCUGGCAGGACUAGUGGUCGCCCGUUGCCAGUGCAGCUUGCCCUUCGCAGAUUCUUGCGCUUGGGCUUGUUUCCUUCUUCCCAAUGUUGCCGCCUCGUCCAUAGACCCGGCACCGGUGCCUCGCCCCUCUUUUGGCGCUCGUCAUGGCCCCCAAGCCGAGAAGAAGAAGGGAAGCUGCUCGCCCCGGCCGGUCCUCCGCCGGCCCUGGAGCCAGCCCUUGAGCAGUCGACGGUGAUCAAUCAGGAGGGAUUGGACAAGGUUCACCACGCGCUCGCCGCUGAUUCCAAUGAGUGGAGGGCGACGACCGUCCGCCCUGCAUCUUGGCAAGUGAGAGAGAUGAGCGCCACCGAGAUCCCCAUCUAUUUCCAUGCUCUUCUUGCGGGGUUGAUUCCUCACUCCCCCCCCUUUCCUCAAUGCUGUGAUAUCGCAUUACCAGAUCCACCUGCUGCAUCUGGACCCCCGAUCUGUUAUCCUUCUCGCCGUCUUCGCCUUCCUCUGUGAGGCCAUGGUUGGCAUUACUCCUUCCGUGGCCUUAUUUCGCCAUUUCUUCUUGCUUCGGUUGGUCGAUGCCCGCCAAUGCUCUGGGUGGCUUCUCAUGGACACCCGCGCGUUCAGCCCCCUUCUUUUUGACUCCUGGGGCACCGGCCUUGCUUAGCUCCGGUUGGUGCCACGAGAGGCUCUCCGACCGGUGAUACGUCUCCAACGUAUCUAUAAUGUUUGAUUGUUCCAUGCUAUUAUAUUACCACUUUUGGAUGUUUAUGGGCUUUAUUUUACACAUUUAUAUCAUUUUUGGGACAAACCUACUAACCGGAGGCCCAGCCCGUAUUGCUGUUUUUUUUGCCUAUUUCAGUAUUUCAAAGAAAAGGAAUAUCAAACGGAAUGAAACCUUCGGGAGCGUGAUUUUUGGAACAAACGUGAUCCAGAGGACUUGGAGUGCAAGUCAAGAAGCAAUCAAGGCGGCCAGGAGAUAGGAGGGCGCGCCCACGCGCCCCUGUCUCCUGGGCCCCACGAGCAGCCACCGACGUACUUCUUCAUCCUAUAUAUACCUACGUACCCCGAAAACAUCCAGGGAGCCAACGAAAAACAAUUUCCACCACCAUAACCUUCUGUAUCCGUGAGAUUCCAUCUUGGAGCGUUCGCCAGCGCUCCGCCGGAGGGGGAAUCGACCAUCGAGGGCUUCUACAUCAAUACCAUAGCCCUUCUGAUGAGUUGUGAGUAGUUUACCAUAGACCUUCGGGUCCAUAGUUAUUAGCUAGAUGGCUUCUUCUCUCUUUUUGGAUCUCAAUAAAAUGUUCUCCCCCUCUCUUGUGGAGAUCUAUUCGAUGUAAACUCUUUUUGCGGUGUGUUUGUCAAGAUCCGAUGAAUUGCGGGUUUAUGAUCAAGUUUAUCUAUGAGAAAUAUUUGAAUCUUCUUUGAAUUCUUUUAUGUAUGAUUGAGUUAUCUUUGCAAGUCUCUUCGAAUUAUCAGUUUGGUUUGGCCUACUAGAUUGAUCUUUCUUGCCAUGGGAGAAGUGCUUAGCUUUGGGUUCAAUCUUGCCGUGUCCUUACCCAGUGACAGAAAGGGUUGCAAGGCACAUAUUGUAUUGUUGCCAUCGAGGAUAAAAAGAUGGGGUUUAUAUCAUAUUGCUUGAGUUUAUCCCUCUACAUCAUGUCAUCUUUCUUAAUGCGUUACUAUGUUCUUAUGAACUUAAUACUCUAGAUGCAUGCUGGAUAAUGGUCGAUGUGUGGAGUAAUAGUAGUAGAUGCAGGCAGAGUCGGUCUACUUGUCACAGACGUGAUGCCUAUAUACAUGAUCAUGCCUAGAUAAUCUCAUAAUUAUUCGCUUUUCUAUCAAUUGCUCGACAGUAAUUUGUUCACCCGCCGUAAUACUUAUGCUAUCUUGAGAGAAGCCACUAGUGAAACCUAUGCCCCCCCGGGUCUAUCUUUUAUCAUAUAAGCUUUCAAUCUACUUUUAUUUGCAUCUUUACUUUUUGCAUCUAUAUUAUAAAAUACCAAAAAUAUAUUUAUCUUAUCAUACUAUCUCUAUCAGAUCUCACUUUCGCAAGUGGCCGUGAAGGGAUUGAUGUCGGUGUCAAAACCGGCGGAUCUCGGGUAGGGGGUCCCGAACUGUGCGUCUAGGCGGAUGGUAACAGGAGACGAGGGACAUGAUGUUUUUAACCAGGUUCGGAACCUCUUGAUGGAGGUAAAACCCUACAUCCUGCUUGAUUAAUAUUGAUGAUGUGGGUUACAAGAGUAGAUCUACCACGAGAUCAAGGAGGCUAAACCCUAGAAGCUAGCCUAUGGUAUGAUUGUUGUUCGUCCUAUGGACUAAAGCCAUCUGGUUUAUAUAGACACCGGAGAGGGCUAGGGUUACACAGAGUCGGUUACAAUGGUAGGAGAUCUACAUAUCCGUAUCGCCAAGCUUGCCUUCCACGCCAAGGAAAGUCCCAUCCGGACACGGGACGAAGUCUUCAAUCUUGUAUCUUCAUAGUCUUGGAGUCCUGCCGAUGAUGGUAGUUCGGCUAUCCGGACACCCCCUAGUCUGGGACUCCCUCAGUAGCCCCUGAACCAGGCUUCAAUGACAACGAGUCCGGCGCACAUAUUGUCUUCGGCAUUGCAAGACGGGUUCCUCCUUCGAAUAAUUUAUAGAAGAUUGUGAACACCAGGAUAGUGUCCGGCUCUGCAAAAAGAAAUUCCACAUACCACCGUAGAGAGAAUAAUAUUACACAAGAUCAAUCUGCUGACGUAUUCUGCAGCGUGACGUCACACCACUUCCACCUCAGCGCGUUUAGUGAGGCAGUUUCCUUGGCACGUCUUGUCGAAGCAGAGAUAGUGGUCCCCUUAUUCCGGGAUUCCCAUCAAUACGGACGUGGGUAACCCAACCGCACCAUUGAUUGUGACGCUUGGGAGAUAAGCGAGUUUUACCAGGCCGGUGGGGACGCGUGUUUCUGUCCGCCCAUAUAAGGGGAUAAAGAUCCAACCUUUUUACCUGCGCCUUCUUCCUCCUUGGCUUAUCCAUCUCUGCAAACUCGAGCUCUAGCGCCCAAGCUCGCACAUCUCACCUCAACCUUCUCCAAAGAUGUCCGGAGCGGGAGGCAAAUGGAUGGCCUCCUCCGUCACGGAGGGGCAUAUCCAGAAGCUGCGCAGCGCCGGAUACUUGUCCAGCGACAUCGCGCAUCGGCUCCCCGACGAGGGAGAGCUCAUCCCCACCCCCAGGCACCAUGAGAGGGUAGUAUUCCUUCCCCAUUUCCUCCGCGGACUGGGCUUCCCACUUCAUCCCUUUGUCCGGGGGCUUAUGUUCUACUACGGCCUAGAUUUCCAUGAUCUGGCCCCAAAUUUUAUUCUCAACAUCUCGGCAUUUAUCGUCGUGUGCGAGGCCUUCCUCUGCAUCCAGCCCCACUUCGGCUUGUGGCUCAAGACCUUCAGUGUCAAGCCGAAGGUUGUGAAGGGCAGCCAAGCGGAGUGCGGAGGCGCCAUGGUGGGCAGGAUGUCCCACGUUACGUGGCUGGAGGGCACCUUUGUGGAAACCAUCAAGGGGUGGCAAUCGGGGUGGUUCUACAUCACCGAGCCGCGUGAUCUCGAAUGGGCAGCGGCCCCCGAAUUCAGAUCCGGCAUCCCCACACGGCUCACCUCCUGGAAAGAGAGCGGCCGGAUUUUGGGCGAUUCGGAGGAGCUGACCGGACUCCAAGCCUGCGUCCAAAAGCUGGUGGACAAGAAGCUCAAGCUUGUCAACGUAGUCCAGGUCAUGCUCAUCCGCCAGAUUCUCCCGUGCCAACGACGGGGCUUCAAUAUGUGGGAGUUCGAUCCGGCGCAACACCAAACUUUGAAUGGGCUCUUCAACACUACGUACGAAGAGGUCUGGAAGGUGCUGUUCAAGGGCGCUAAGGCUCCCGCAUCCGCUACCGAAGAUCGCGGAUUCAGCUCGCAGCGUCCAGCUGGUGAGGUAAGUGAUAUUGUCCUUUACGGGAUGCUUGUUAUUCAUAGUUUGACUCUAUGCGGGAUCUAAACUCCCUUUCCUUUGACAAGACUGGCUGAAGAAGGCCGCACAGGCUAUCUGUCCGGCCCCAUUGCCAGAGGACCCAGCUGACGCCCGCCUAACGGGGCUGCUGGCUCCGGUACCCCACGUGGUGCCGGAGAAGAAGGCCAAGAAGAAGGCCACGGGGAUCGGAAGAGUUCCCGUUUUCAGGUGCUAUCGGACGAUGAAUCCGAGGCCGACUCCUCCCACCAAGGCGAGGAGGAGAAGAAGAAAGCCUCUCCCCCAGCGGGGGGAGGGAAGAAAAGGAAGGCCUCCCAAACAAGGGAGGCCGAAGGGUCCAAGAGGGGAAAAACACUUCCCCCGGACUGUUCCGCCAAUGCUAGUGACGACGACGAGGACUGGCCUCCAAGGGCCAAGCCUCUGGCGAGAUCGUAAGUAUCCGGACUCCCGAGUAACUUCAAGGUUUUCGUUUUCCGCCACAUUAUGUCUUUCUAAUGCCGCAUACAACCCUGCAGUCCGCCUAAGGAUGAUCUCCCCACUUCGUCGAGCGGGUCCUUAGGGGUGUCGGAUAUGGAUUCUCUUCCGACUGCCUCCACCCCCGUGAUGUGGACGAUGCCGAGGUGGGAUCCCAAGAAGGGACCCACCAGGAGGAGAGGGCCCUGGAGGUGUCGCAGGACAACCUCCCGGACUUUGCACCGGACUCAGCCUCGGAACCCAUAGUGGCUCCGGAGUCCGGCGGGCGACCCCUUCAUAAGAAGGGCAAGACCGUGACGCCGGCUGCCUCCGUCCAACCGGAGGUGUCGGAUAAUUUGCUGGAGGCGCUCAACGGCGCCUCCAUCAAAGAGGAACACUGCACUGUUAUGAGUGCGGUGAUUCAGAAGGUUCAGCUCGCCAAGAGCGGGCUGACCGAAGCCUACAGCAGCCUUCUAACAGGCUUUGAGGUAAGAAUUUCAAUAUAUGUAAAAUGGUACCGCAUAGACAGUAGCCCCUGAUGCUCGGUUCGAUGUUCGGAAAGAAAAGCCGGACUGAAGAUCUUUAGAAAGAUAAACGCAGGAGUCAUGAAAAUAUGUCAAUAUGGGAUUGCAGGCUGUGCUGCUGACCUCUGCCGCACUGACUGCGGAGGUCAAUAUUUUGAAGGAAAACCUCGAGCGGUCCGAGAACGAGCUCGGCCAUGCCAAGAAGCAGCUCGAGGAAAAAGAAGGUGAGUAAUACCUUAUGAAAAUUGUACCUUACAGAAAAGGAUUUGGUUGCAAGAAAAAUGACAAGGAUAACUAGGGUAUUGCAGGGGCCACUAAUGAGGUGGCGACCCUGAAGGAGGCGGUGGCCGUGGCCGAACGCAAUUCGGCUGCGGAGCGCACCGAGCGAGAGAAACAGGAGGCGCGGGUGGUGGAGGUACAGCAAGAGCUCCAGGAUCUCGUGAGGAAACAUGAGAGCCUGGAGCGUGACUCGAAGACUCGAGAGUCUGAGCUUGCAACGACUCUUGAGAGUGCCAAAGCCGCUAAGGCCGAAGCCUACAAGGCCCUCCAGGAGAUAGAGGCGGUGAAGAAAAUAGCAGCGGGUAAGGCAUUUUUCAUGCAAAGUAAGCAUGUGAGUGUUAAUUACCUGUCGCCUACCCGAAUUUGGAGCUCUCCAGGAGCGUUCGCAUAUCUUCCCCGCAGCGUGUCCGAUGCUGCCACAUUCUACCGGGCCGAGGAGGGGAGCUCAAUGGAGAAGGUCUUUUGGUCUCAGUAUGCUGAGGCCGGACAUCCAGUGCCCCUUAGCGACCAGCUGAAGUAGCUGGUCGAGCUCCACAAGGCGGCCGAACAGGCCAUGAAGGGCCUCAUAGUUCGGCUAUGGACUAAGGAGGCUAUGCCUGGGAGCUACUUUGGUCUGGUGCGGCGGCUGGUGGACGCGUGCCCGUGGGUUGAAGUUAUCAAGCACUCCGCCUCUAUCGAGGGUGCGCGUCGGGCCCUUGCCCGCGCAAAGGUGCACUGGGGCAAGAUGGAUGCCCAGAAGCUUGUGACGGACCCCCCACCAGAGGGCAAGGAGCAUCGCAUGCCCGAGAUGUAUUAUAGGAGUGUGCUGAAGGGCGCCCGCAUUAUUGCGGGUGAGUGCUCCAAAGAAGUUUUUGAGUAGACUCGCGUUUUGUUAUCCUGUGCGCUGAAAACUAAGUUCAUAUGUGCGAAGCAACACUUGUUAAUUUAAAAUAUUACCUUCUGUGCGGCUGUUUAUCAAAUCUGAGAGAUGACAAGUCGUCGGCUUCGGCCCCCAUACCACGAGUGCUGGGGUGGUCGGGAUAAAUUUGGGCACUCUUAUUCCCAUAUUUGGGUCCAUCGAGGGAGGCGCUCAACACAAUGAACAAGGCAACCGGACUUAUAAUGCUUGAACACUCUCACUUAGCCAUAGAAUUCUAUAAUUUUAAAUUUCGGCGAAGCCCCUAGUUUUCGGAAGGCCGAAUUUGGGGCGCUAUCCACGCCUUGGCCGGACAGAAUCCGGCUCCUCGCUCGAAGCGGCAUAAGUCUUUAGGGACUCGCAAAGAACCUCUCGAACAGCGACCAGCUCUCGCCUCAUCAUGACGGUCAAUUUUAGCUUUCUCCACUGAGGCGUUAACCCAGCUCAACUGGGGCGCAAUCGCAGUGGUUCUCCCAGUGCUACGUUAGCCGAUAAAACGGAACGUAAGGUACCAAAACAUGGGAGCCGGGCAAACCCAACUAUUGACCCAAGAACAUGAUCCGGAGCCGAUGCAUAGAAUGCUAUAAGUUCGGGGUGCCGCACUUGUGAAAGUGUUCGGACUUAUCACACCAUAACGCGGGAAACAUAAGCCCCUGGUGUAUUUAGCCGUACCAAAACGUAUGGAUGCAACAUGUCAUAGAUGAACAUAUGUGUAAGAAAGAAAUGCAAUUGGAAGCAAAAAUGUGCUGCAUUGCUUUAUUCAAAUAAAAACUGCUGUAAGUGCAGGACGAUACAAGUGGUGCAGUAAGCAAGGGAUGGGACUGUUUAACAUGUCCCCCUCUAGGGGUAGGCUACGGAAUAAUGCAUAAAACAUAUUUAAUGCUCAUAAUGGAGACCACCUGGAUUUUCGUUGUAGCCUUUCUCCUUUCCUGGCUGUUGUAUCGUGGGUUCGGCAUGUCUGCUGCCGGACAGGGCCUCUGACGAACGGAGUCCUGUAGGUAAAAAAUAAAAGGAAAAGAAAAAGAAACGACACACUUAAGAGCCCCUGGUGCGGUUGAGCCGCAGUUUGGGCUUAUCGUGGUCGAGCCCCUUGCCCCAUGCCCAUGGUAUCUUUAGAGCGUAAUGGGGUAUGCGAAGGGUUUGUCUUAAUGUUUUACAUGGGCUGGGGUUGGGGCCGCACUGCUACGCGUGCUCGGAACGUGCCAGGUGGUCGUGUUGUAGGUUACUCCGGGCACGCUUAGUUGUGUCCGGCCGCUUGGUAGCCGGACUCGAGAAUUGCCUUAAAAGGCUGCUUUGUACUUCUGCCGCGAGAGCCGCUGUAUGUUCCUCCGUUUAGAGGGAGCGUUCAGUGUUUCCGUUGACCGUGAUGACUCCUCUAGCGCCUGGUAUCUUGAGCUUGAGGUAUGCAUAGUGGGGCACCGCGUUGAACUUUGCGAACGCGGUACGUCCGAGCAAGGCAUGAUAGCCGCUGCAGAACGGGACUAUGUCGAAGAUUAACUCCUCGCUUCGGAAGUUAUCCGGGGAUCCGAAGACCACUUCCAGUGUAACUGAGCCUGUACAAUUGGCUUAUACACCUGGUAUGACGCCUUUAAAGGUCGUCUUGGUAGGUUUAAUCCUUGAGGGGUCUAUGCCCAUUUUGCGCACCGUGUCCUGAUAAAGCAGGUUUAGGCUGCUGCGGCCGUCCAUCAGGACUCUGGUGAGAUGAAAUCCAUCGACGAUUGGGUCUAGAACCAAUGCGGCGAACCCGCCAUGGCGAAUGCUGGUGGGGUGGUCCCUUCGGUCAAAGGUGAUCGGGCAAGAGGACCAUGGAUUGAACUUCGGGGCAACUGGCUCCAUCACGUAUACAUCCCUGAGUGCAUGCUUCCGCUCCCUUUUGGGUAUGUGCGUGGCAUAUAUCAUGUUCACCGUCCGCACCUGUGGGGGGAAACCCUUCCGUCCUCUAUUGUUCGGCGGUCGGGUCUCUUCCUCGUCGUCGCUAUGUAGCCCCUUGUCGCUAUUUUCGGCAAUUAACUUGCCUGCCUGCUUGAACACCCAACAGUCCCUAUUGGUGUGGUUAGCUGGCUUUUCAGGGGUGCCAUGUAUCUGGCACAAGCGGUCGAGAAUUCAUUCCAAAUUGGACGGACCCUGAGUUGUUCUUUUGAAUGGCUUUUUCUGUUGACCGGGUUUAGAGCCUCUGAAUCCGGCAUUGACUGCAGUAUCCUCACUGUUAUCGCCGUUAAUGUGGCGUUUGUUUUUGUUGCGACGUGACCUGCCACUACGGUCCUUGAUAUCCGGACUGCCAGAAUUUUUGUUGAGGUUGUUGCUGCGUGCUAGCCAGCUGUCCUCACCCGCACAGAAGCGGGUCAUGAGUGAUGUAAGGGCUGCCAUGGAUUUCGGCUUUUCCUGUCCCAGGUGCCGGGCAAGCCACUCGUCGCGGAUGUUAUGCUUGAAGGCCGCGAGGGCCUCGGCAUCCGGACAGUCGACGAUUUGUUUUUUCUUGGUUAAAAACCGUGUCCAGAAUUGUCUGGCCGAUUCGUCUGGCUGCUGAAUUAUGUGGUUUAGGUGAUCUGCAUCUGGUGGUCGCACGUACGUGCCUUGGAAGUUAUCAAGGAAUGCGGCUUCCAGGUCCUCCCAACUCCCGAUUGACUCUACUGGCAAGCUAUUAAGCCAGUGCCCGGCUGGUCCUUUAAGUUUGAGUGGGAGAUAUUUGAUGGCGUGGAGAUCGUCUCCGCGGGCCAUGUGGAUGUGGAGGAGAUAGUCCUCGAUCCAGACCGCGGGGUCUGUUGUGCCAUCAUAAGAUUCAAUAUUGACGGGUUUAAACCCUUUUGGGAUUUGAUGAUCCAUUACCUCAUCUGUGAAGCACAGUGGGUGUGCGGCGCCUCUGUACUGGGCGAUAUCGCGACGGAGCUGAAAAGAGCUUUGUCUGUUGUGUUCGGCCUGGCCGGACUUACUGUGUCCAGGGUGACGGUGAUCGUCACGUAUCGUGGGGCGCCCACGUGAUCCAUAGAUCGAUCUUGAUUGUCUUACCUUAUCCUCCAAUAUGUCUCGCAGGUCCGGAGUGUUCCCCUGUGGCCUUGUGCUUUUCGAGCGAUGCCGGGGUACAUGUCUAGGGCCUUGAGGCCUCUCUGUCGCGACCACGGGGUGGUCGAUCAGCCGUAUUGUCUCCUGGUGAAGCGGGAUCAUAUGCCUCCACCUCUAAUCGGGGGAGCAGCUUAUGUUUGGGGUAGCUUUUGGAGGGGCGUUCGAGUUCAUGCUCUUCGGCCGUGAGGACUUCCGUCCAUCUGUCGGCUAGCAGAUCUUGAUCAGCUCUAAGCUGCUGCUGCUUUUUCUUGAGGCUGUUUGUCGUGGCCAUAAGCCUGCGUUUGAAACGCUCCUGUUCGACGGGAUCCUCAGGCACGACGAAUUCGUCGUCGUCGAGGCUUGCCUCGUCUCCGGAGGGAGGCAUAUAGUCCUCUACCUCUUCUUCGGCCGCUCUCUCAUGAGGGCUGGCGUCCCCCUCCUCCUGUGCUGGAUCUUGCUGGAGUGUGUUGUCUUCGGCGCUAUCCGGUGUAUUAUUGUCUCCGGUGCCGGAAUCCUCAUUCUUGCUAUGGCGGGAUUUAGAGCGGCGCCGCUGACGCCGGCGCUUGGGCUGUUUCUUGGAGGGGUCAUCCUCCGCUAUUCCUUCGCCGUUCCCAUCCUUUGGGAUAUCCACCAUGUAUAUGUCGUAUGAAGAGGUGGCUUUCCAGUGCCCAAUGGGCACUGGUUCUUGGUCGUCUCCGGCAUCGUCGUCCAUACCGUCGAUGUCCUCAGAGUCGUAAUCUAGCAUGUUGGUUAGAUCGUCAACAGUGGCUACCAAGUGGGUGGUGGGUGGGCUCUGAAUUUCCUCGUCGUCCGCAUCCCAACCGUCCUGGCCGCAGUCCGGCCAGGCCUCUCCUGAUAACGAGAGGUACUUUAGCGAACUCAAGAUGUCGCCAAAAGGUGAGCGUUGAAAGAUGUUCGCCGCGGUGAACUCCAUGAUCGGCGCCCAAUCAGAUUCGACUGGAGGGGGCGCGGGAGGUCCGGAGUCCGGCAAGGAGUCCGGCACCUCGAAGUCAUGAGCUUCAUGGGGGACAAGAUAGGUGUUCGGCUCUAUCGCCGUAGAGGUUGCAGCCCCCGAAGCGGUGUCUAGCCAUCCAUCCUUGGUCUGCGCAGCCGGCUCCGUGUCGAAGAUCGGAGCGGGUUCGAGUGCGGCCUCCAGGGUACUGUCCGGCUGCAGAGCUAAAUCAUGACCAUCGUGACAGUAUGUCAUGCUCAGCUGUGGCUCGAAUCCGUCGAGGAUCAAGUCCCCGCGGAUGUCAGCCAUGAAGUUCAAACUUCCAAAUCUGACCUGACGGCCAGGGGCGUAGCCUUCGAUCUGCUCCAGCUGGCCAAGCGAAUUGGCCCGCAGUGCGAAGCCGCCGAAUACGAAGAUCUGUCCGGGGAGGAAGGUCUCACCCUGGACUACAUCGUCGUUGAUGAUCGAAGAAGCCAUCGAGCCUAUCGGUGACGACACAGAGGAACUCUCAAUGAAAGCACCAAUGUCGGUGUCAAAACUGGCGGAUCUCGGGUAGGGGGUCCCGAACUGUGCGUCUAGGCGGAUGGUAACAGGAGACGAGGGACACGAUGUUUUUACCCAGGUUCGGGCCCUCUUGAUGGAGGUAAAACCCUACGUCCUGCUUGAUUAAUAUUGAUUAUGUGGGUUACAAGAGUAGAUCUACCACGAGAUCAAGGAGGCUAAACCCUAGAAGCUAGCCUAUGGUAUGAUUGUUGUUCGUCCUAUGGACUAAAGCCAUCCAGUUUAUAUAGACACCGGAGAGGGCUAGGGUUACACAGAGUCGGUUACAAUGGUAGGAGAUCUACAUAUCCGUAUCGCCAAGCUUGCCUUCCACACCAAGGAAAGUCCCAUCCGGACACGGGACGAAGUCUUCAAUCUUGUAUCUUCAUAAUCUUGGAGUCCGGCCGAUGAUGGUAGUUCGGCUAUCCGGACACCCCCUAGUCCGGCACUCCCUCAAUUGACAACCCCUUUAUUGCGUUGGUUGCGAGUUCUUUGUUUGUUUGUGUAGGUGCGUGGGACUUUUGAGGAGCCUCCUACUAGAUUGAUAUCUUGGUUCUCAAAAACUGAGGGAAAUACUUACGCUACUAUUGCUGCAUCACCCUUUCCUCUUCAAGGAAAUCCAACGCAAGCUCAGGAUAUAGCAACCGACGUCUUGCUUUCGUCUGGAAGAGAUUGGCGAGGCUUCAGGAGCUGGAACUGACUGCUCCAAUGGUGGUGAAGGAAUUCGUCAGGCAGCACAUCGCUCCCCUCCAGCACCAUUCUCGCCCAAUGCGGCACUUCACAUGCGUCGAAGAUCCGAUGAGGCUGCAGAGGCCAUCAAUGACUGCUGGGACCUUGAGGAUGGUGCUCAAACUCCUGAUGGGCGAGCCCGAGUCUGCUGAGGGUGGCUUCCUUCUCUAUCCGUGCUCGAACAAGGCGGCCUUCAUUGGGCAGAUGCCUCUGUUCAAGGAGUGGGGGUUGCUUAUAGAGGGCCUUGAGGGGUCCCGCGAGAACCCCGUAUUUGUGGCUCCUCUCCUGAUCGAUCCUGCCGCGUGCGCCCCGAGUAUGGAAGCAGGGGGGGCACGCCUCCAGCAGCUAUCGAGGGCUCCUCCGGAGGCCUGGCGUCGAUAGAGGCCCUGGAGGCCAAGGCUCCUGAGGCCCUAGAAGGGGUUGCCACAAAGUCGACGCGACCCCAAGCUCUGGAGGCAGAGGCCUCUGAUGCCCGGGGUGAUGGCUCCUGAGUGGCUGCUGACGGCGAGGAGCCCACCAAUGGCAUCGGAGCCAUAAGCUAGGAGAUCUCGUCGGGCGCCCCUGCUCUCGGGGUCCCUGCCCCGGCUGCCCUGCCGAGCGCUCCUCCUCCCGAGGAUUGCCCGUCGGGGUCUGGUCGGCCCCGCCUGUGCCUUGAGUCACUCCUGAAGAGGAAGAGGUCCCCGUGCCGCAGCGAUGGCACCCGUCGGCCACUGAAGCUGAGGAGAUACAUAGCUGCCGAUGAGUAAGUAUCUUUGCUCUUGAUCCCUUGCGCACCUUGUUUUCUCACGAUUGGGGUCUUGUAGGGCUCCCAUGAAGGCGGAACCUCGGGAAGCAGACGUCCCUAAGGAUUCCAGCUUGACGCCCGCACGCAGCUGAUACGUCUCCAACGUAUCUAUAAUUUUUGUUUGUUCCAUGCUAUUAUUUUACCCGUUUUGGAUGUUUAUGGGCUUUACUCUACACUUUUGUAUCAUUUUUGGGACUAACCUACUAACCGGAGGUCUAGCCCGAAUUGCUGUUUUUUUGCCUAUUUAUGUGUUUCGAAGAAAAGGAAUAUCAAACGGAGUCCAAACGGAAUGAAACCUUCGGGAGCGAUCUUUUUGGAACAAACGCAAUCCAGGGGACUUGGAGUGGACGUCAAGUAACAAGCAAGGCGUCCACGAGGGUGCCCGGCGCGCCCUGACCCUCGUGGGCCCUGAGGGAGUCCUGGACUAGGGGGUGUCCGGAUAGCCAAACUAUCAUCAUUGGCCGGACUCCAAGACUAUGAAGAUACAAGAUUGAAGACUUCGUCCCAUGUCAGGAUGGGACUUCCCUUGGCGUGGAAGGCAAGCUUGGCGAUACGGAUAUGUAGAUCUCCUACCAUUGUAACCGACUCUGUGUAACCCUAGCCCUCUCCAGUGUCUAUAUAAACCAGAUGGCUUUAGUCCGUAGGACGAACAACAAUCAUACCAUAGGCUAGCCUCUAGGGUUUAGCCUCCUUGAUCUCGUGGUAGAUCCACUCUUGUAACACACAUCAUCAAUAUUAAUCAAGCAUGACGUAGGGUUUUACCUCCAUCAAGAGGGCCCGAACCUGGGUAAAACAUCGUGUCCCUUGUCUCCUGUUACCAUCCGCCUAGACGCACAGUUCGGGACCCCCUACCCGAGAUCCGCUGGUUUUGACACCGACAUUGGUGCUUUCAUUGAGAGUUCCUCUGUGUUGUCACCGAUAGGCUCGAUGGCUUCUUCGAUCAUCAACAACGACGCAGUCCAGGGUGAGACCUUCCUCUCCAGACAGAUCUUCGUAUUCGGCGGCUUCGCACUGCGGGCCAAUUCGCUUGGCCAUCUGGAGCAGAUCGAAAGCUACGCCCCUGGCCGUCAGGUCAGAUUUGGAAGUUUGAACUUCACGGCUGACAUCCGCGGGGACUUGAUCCUCGAUGGAUUCGAGCCGCAGCCAAGCGUGCCGCACUGUCACGAUGGGCAUGAUUUAGCUCUGCAGCCGGACAGUAUCCUGGAGGCCGCACACGAGUCCGCUCCGAUCUUCAAUUCGGAGCCGGCUGCGCAGAUCGAGGACGGAUGGCUAGACACCGCCUAGGGGGCUGCAACCUCUACGGUGAUAGAGGCGAACACUGAUCUUGUCCCUUGUGAAGCCCGUGACUCCGAGGUGCCGGACUCCUCGCCGGACUCCGAGCCUCCCGCGCCCCCUCCAAUCGAAUCCGGUUGGGCGCCGAUCAUGGAGUUCACCGCCGCGGACAUCUUUCAACACUCACCUUUCGGCGACAUCUUGAGUUCGCUAAAGUAUCUCUCGUUAUCAGGAGAGCCCUGGCCGGACUGCGGUCAGAACAGUUGGGAUGCGGACGACGAAGAAAUUCAAUGCCAGCCACUGUCGACGAUCUAACCGACAUGCUAGACUUCGACUCCGAAGACAUCGACGGUAUGGACGACGAUGCCGGAGACGACCAAGAACCAGCGCCUAUCGGGCACUGGAAAGCCACCCCAACUCACGACGUAUACAUGGUGGAUACACCAAAAGGAAGUGAUAAUGAGGAACAACGGGACGUGGCGAAGGACAACUCCCCCAACAAACAACCAAAACAGCGAUGCAAGCGCCACCCGAAGUCCCGCCUCGAUAAAAAUGGCACCCAUACGAACCCGGCCCUAGAGCAGGGCAAAGCAGUGGACGGCGAACAUGCCACCAAGCAACCAUCCGAAUAUGAUGAACUGGACAAGCAACCCAUCCCCGACGAAAACAAGAGCCUAGACAAUCUCACGCCGAACACAUCACCAGAGGAUAGGAACCUUCAUAAAAGGCUCGUCGCUACUGCUAGAAGUUUGAAGAAGCAAAAGCGGAAGCUCAAAACAGCAGAGGACGCACUCAGAAUGAGAUGGAGCAAAGUACUCAAUACCGCAGAUAAAUAUGAUGCUAGUCGCCAGGCAAAGAGCUACCCGAAGCGCAAGCCGUUGCCCGAAUUUGAUGAGGAGGCCUUAGAGCCCCCGCAGUCAAAAAAGAAAGAGGCCGCCUGGCCGGAUAGACGACCAGAUGACAGGCUAAGAGCAGCAAGGGGCUCCACACACAAGCCGGCACACGAUCAGCAUAAAGAUCCUCGGAAAAAGGAUGACCCGGUCAAUUCUAUCUAUGGGCCAAAAAAGAAGACUCCAGGAAGCAACACAACCCGCCGAGCGUUUGAAGACAACUGCACACCUAAAUACAGGGGCGCCGCACACCCACUAUGUUUCACCGACGAGGUACUGGAUCAUGAAUUUCCAGCGGGAUUCAAACCCGUAAACAUAGAGGCAUAUGACGGAACAACAGACCCCGGAGUCUGGAUUGAGGAUUAUAUCCUACACAUACAUAUGGCCAGAGGAGACGAUCUCCAUGCCAUAAAAUACCUACCCCUGAAGCUCAAAGGGCCAGCUCGGCAUUGGCUCAAAAGCCUCCCAGAAAAUACCAUUGGAAGUUGGGAAGAGCUCGAGGAUGCGUUUCGAGCAAAUUUUCAAGGGACUUAUAUCCGCCCUCCGGAUGCAGACGAUUUAAGUCACAUAACUCAACAGCCCAGAGAGUUAGCACACAAAUUCUGGAACAGGUUCCUCACCAAAAAGAACCAAAUAGUCGACUGCCCGGACGCCGAAGCCUUAGCAGCCUUUAAGCACAACGUCCGAGACGAAUGGCUCGCCAGACACCUCGGCCAGGAAAAACCAAGAACAAUGGCCGCAGUAACAAGCCUCAUGACCCGCUUUUGCGCGGGGGAAGACAGCUGGCUGGCUAGAUGCAGCACCAGCGACCCGAGUACAUCCGAAGUCAGGGAUGGAAAUGGGAAAUCACGACACAGAAAAGAUCAGCGCUGGAAUAAGGAAAAUGGCCCAAAUAGCACGGCGGUCAACGCCGGAUUCAAAAGCUCUCGGCCGAAUAAUAAAACACUGCCCCUCAAGGACAACAGCGACGAGCUAUCCAACCUAAACAAAAUUCUGGAUAGGCUAUGUCAAAUACAUAGUACCUCCGAGAAGCCUGCAAACCAUACCCACAGAGAUUGUUGGGUCUUCAAACAGUCCAGCGGACUUAACGCUGAACGCAAGGGGCUCGACACACCAAGCGAAGACGACGACGAACCCCACAAGCAGCACGCCAAAAAACAGAAGACUUUCCCACUAGAAGUCAAAACAGUGAACUCACUUCAUGUGAUAACACGAAAACACAGUGCGGCACCUGCCAUACCAGGACACCGACCACAGAAUGGGGAUAGACCCUACCAAAAUUCGCCGUAGCAGCACUUCCUUCAAAGGAGUGAUGCCAGGCCUUUAAGCCAAUUGAGUAGGCUUUGUACCACUAGAGGUUGUGUUCGGUUCAUCCGGCAACCUCCGUCGCAAAAAGCUCACUCUCCAUAUCGCCCCAUUUCACAGUGGCCCUCAAGAACUACUGGGACGCAAAGCUUUCGCCCGCUUUAACGCAAUAACACAUUACGCGUCUCUUACGCUUAAAAUGCCCGGUCCACUCGGCAUAAUCUCAUUAAAGAGUAACUCCGAGUGUUCCUCGACCACGGAGAACGUGAGGCCGCCUUGACAGCCACACACUAAUCCGACCUUGUAGGUCAAAGCCUCUAAAAACAGGUCAUUCAGACCUCGGACACGGUUAGGCGAGUCCGGCGUAAAUAAACAAGGGGCUUCCCAGCCGCAUACCCCUUUACAAGGGGCUGCACGUAUAAACGAUGAGAGCCAAUAAAGCUCAAAUUUAUUCAUCUUCCAAAUUAUACUUUAUUUUAAAUACAUCCUUUGCACGAUAUUUCUUCCAAACUAAGUCCUUCUCUUUUACAGAUGAAGCACGUGCUACACCCGUCCAGGAUACAGCACAACAAAGACACAGGCGCAGACGUGCAGCAGGGACCCAUUGCAAGUAUUCUUUUCAGAUUACGACCUUGCGUAAACCUUUCUUACUGUCUCUUGUUGAUACACAUCCCCCGGUUUUCUACCAUAACCGAGGAGGAGGCUGGCGUUUUGGCAUCGGCCGCGUCAGAAGUUCCCGCCUGUACCUGGACACUAGGGGCUUAGGGCAUUGUUCUGCCCAGUAUCAUAAAGACCAAACACCUCAGGGAGUGUUCGGCGUCUCGAGUUAGGCCUUAUAUGCAUCAGCUCCGAAUCAUGUCUUUGGUCAAAUGUUGGGUUUGCCCGGCUCCUGUGUUUUGCUGCCUUAUGUUCCGCUCCAUCGCUAACGCGGCACCAGGAGAACUACUGCGAUUGUGCCCCGGUUCGGCCGGGCGAGCACCUCAGUAGAGAAAGCCGAAAACUGACUGUCAUGAUAUAGCGAGAGACUGGUCAACCACUCGAUCGACUAUUGGAAUGUUUAGAAUUCCUCCACUUUGACGAAGGACCGCUUCCCGGUCAGGCACAUACGUGCCCCGAGUUCGGAGAGCGCGCCCCACCUUCGAGCUCCUAUGGCUAAGUGAAAGUGAUAAAGCAUUAUAGUCCGGUUGCCUAGUUUGCUAUGCUAUCACCUCCUUCAAAAGGACCAAGACGUUGGAUUAAGUGUGAAAAAGCGCUUUUCUUUUUGCAAACACCCCCGCACUAUGUGCGUGGGGGCUGAAGCCAAAGACUGCUAUCUUUCAGGUUAUUCAUACAUAUACGGCCGCACAGGAGAUAGUUCAAUACUUGAACGCACAAGUAUAAAAAGCUAUUGCAUUAUAAACAUGAUCUCACAAAUCAUACACGUCAUUUUAACAUGACAUCUUUCGAGCAUUGCGACUCUAUUAAACGAGCGCCCUGCAGGACUUCCUCAAAAUAGUGCUCGGCGGGUAAUCGGCUUUUGUCCGAACCCCGGGAUGCAACAGCGGUGGCAUCCAUGUCCGCCCAGUAUGUCUUCACACGGGCGAGAGCCAUCCAUGCACCUUCUAUGCAUGCCGACCGCUUCAUCGCCUUGAUAUGCGGCACCGCCCCAAGGAAUUGCUGCAACAAGCCAAAAUAACUCUUCGGCUUGGAACUUCCCGGCCACAGAUGAGCGACCACAUCCGUCAUGGCAAGUCCGGACAAUCUAUUCAGCUCAGCCCACUCAGCCAGCCGAUCAGCCAACGGGAGUGGACACUCCGGACUAUGGAAUUGAGACCAGAAAAGCUCUUCCAUUUCGUGAUCCUCCUGGCUUCGGAAGUGCACGACUGCGUCCGUUGCACUCGCUGCCAAAUCCAGAUAAGGAUCCUCCACACCACACAAUUGGCCCAACUGAGCAUACUUCGGAUCCAUAAACUUCCUACGCAGUAGAAAGGGCUUUCCAGCCGCAAUGUCUCCGGCCUAACGCAGUUCCUCCUUCAUAGCCCGCAUCGCACCACGGGCAUCCUUGGCUUCGGCGGCGGCCUUCUUCAGGUCCUCUUGCUCCGCUCGGUGUUCUCUUUCAAGAACGUCAUAGCAGUCGGCAACAUCUUUUAAUUUCGCGGCCAUUCCGGCCAUCUCCUCCCUGCUUCGGCAGUGAGCAGCCUUUUCGGCUUUUAGCUCUUCCGCUGCCUUUGAGGCAGCCGCAUCACUCUUCCUGGCUUGCUCCUUGGCUCGAGCAAGCUCUGCUCGAAGGUCUUCCACAGUAGCGGCACCAUCUGCAUCAAGCAUACAAAUUGUAAGGAACGGGCAUCAUCUCCCUUACUAGGCAACCGCGGAGCAACCACCUACCUUGCGACUCAUUAAGUCGCUUAUUGACCAGCGUGAUGUCCGCAUCCGCAACAUCGAGUUGCUUCUUCAGUCCGGCAACUCCAUCAGUCCGGCUGGCCACCGAACGUUUUGCCACCUGCAUAGGAAAGGCGACAUUCUAUAACUGAGAUUAUGAUCCUUGGCACACUAUCGCUUUCGACACCAUACCAAGUCUCAGGGGCUACUAUCUAUACAGGGCGCACUCCAUGUGCAAAACUGUCAAAAGGUAUGUCAUUUUUUGCAUACCUCAAACCCCGUCAGCAAACUUCCGACGGCCUCAUACAACCCGCUUUCGGCGGGUGAGAUCCUCUCAAUUACCAUACUCAUUAAUGUGCGGUGAUCUUCCGAGAUAGACGUCCUCUUGAGCAAAUCCUGCAGCUCCACCGGCUGUACUCCAAUGGGUGCCGAACUCUUCGGCCCCGCCGGACUCGGGGAGACCCUCCGUGACGACACCUCAGGGUCGUCCGCCCCGCCCGACGGGGCGGCAGAUGGAGGCGUCUCGCUCUCCAUCAUCUCCGGACGAAGGUCCCCCGAAGAUGAGCUCUGCUGAGAUGGGCUGAGAUCCGAACUACAAGGUGAAAACUUCGGUUACCUUUGGAAAUAAUACAGGGGCGUUCCCUAUUACAAAAUUCCCCCUUUUUACUUACGGCUCGCUGAAGGGAUGAUUCCUCUGGGGAGACUGUGCGGCCGGGGCUCUUCCCAGUGCAGGACCUUCCGGCGCAGAUUUCCUUCCCCGCUUUGAGGCCUUGGCCUCCGGGUCUUUGGAAGCGGUCCUCUUCUCCCCCUGGAAGGAGGGAUUCUCGAUUCCCCCCUUACUGAAAGCCUCCUUGGCAGAGGUGGUAGUUUUCCUGUGCCCCCCUUCGCUCUCAUCCGAAGGCGCAACCUCCAACAUCUUGACUAACACGGGAUCCGGCGUGGUCUUAGGGAGGGGGGCCGGACACCGUAUCAGUUUUGCUUGCGCUAUCCACUCCUGUCCAAGGGAUAGCUGGUUAAAAGGCAAACCCAUGAUAAAUAAAUGGACAAUAUGUCCGGACACAGGGCUACUUACUUGAGUAUCCGGGCGAUUGCAGCUUAGGCCAGCGUCCUCGGUCAAGUCCGGACGCAUCUCUUGCGAUCCGAAGAACAGUUUGUACAUCUCCGCGGGUGUCAAACCCAUGAAGUGUUGGAGAGCUCGUGGCCCCUCCGGAUUAAAUUCCCACAGGCGGAGGGGCGACGUUUGCAGGGCAGAAGGCGCCGAAUUAGCAUAACCUGUGCCACUACGACCAGAUUAAUCUCCCUUUCUUGGAGGCCUCGAAUCCGGUCCUGCAACAGGGGUACGUCUUUGGACGACCCCCAGUUAAGCCCCUUGUUGACCCAUGACGUCAGCCGUUGUGGAGGGCCCGAGCGGAAGACGGGCGGCGGCCUCUGCCUGCUGCCCCUGGGAGCGGUGAUAUAGAACCACUCCUGUUGCCAUAAGCCGAGCUCCUCCUGAAAAGAGCCCUCGGGCCAUGGAGCAUCGGCCCUCUUGCUUAUAACCGCCCCUCCGCACUCUUCCUGACGCCCCUCAAUCAUCUUCGGCUCCACGUUGAAGGUUUUGAACCACAGGCCGAAGUGAGGGGUAGUGCGGAGGAAGGCUUCGCAGACGACAAUGAAUGAUGAGAUGUGGAGGAUGGACUCCGGAGCCAAGUCAUGGAAUUCCAGCCCAUAGUAAAACAUGAGCCCCCUCACGAAGGGAUCCAUCGGGAAGCCUAAACCCCGACGGAGGUGAGACACGAACACGACGCUCUCACCAGGCUCAGGAGUAGGAAUAACUUGCCCUCGGGCAGGCAACCUAUGCGAAAUCUCGUAGGUCAAGUACCUGGCGUCUCUCAGCUUUAGCACGUCCUCUUCCGUGACGGAAGAGGGCAUCCAUCAGCCUCGUAGGUCGGAGCCGGACAUCAUCGAAAGUCGAAAGUACCCGAAUCUGGAGCCCGGGAUGUUGGAACUCGGGGCAAGGGGCGGAUUCGAUUGAGGAUUGAAGAAAAAGAACGGGCCUUGGUCUCAUUAUAAAGAGGAAGAAUGCCAAGAGCCGUCCCCGUGACCGUUUGGAACCCGCCUUCGAUGGAGGGGGCAUGGCAACGGGCGCGGUUGGGUUACCCACGUCCGUAUUUAUGAGAAUCCCGGAAUAAGGGGAACACGAUCUUUGCUUCGACAAGACGUGCUAAGGAAACCGCUUCGCUAAACACGCUGAGGUGGCACAAUAAAAACGAUUCAAGAAAAGGCUUGGUAGUGGUGUGACGUCACGCCACCAAAUACUUUAGCAGAUUGAACUUGUGUAAAUAUUAUUCUCUCUACGGUGGUACGUGGAAUUUAUUUUGCAGAGCCGGACACUAUCCUGGUGUUCACAAUCUUCUACAAAUUAUUCGGAGGAGGAACCCACCUUGCAAUGCCGAAGACAAUAUGUGCGCCGGACUCGUCGUCAUUGAAGCCUGGUUCAGGGGCUACUGAGGGAGUCCUGGACUAGGGGGUGUCCGGAUAGCCGAACUAUCAUCAUUGGCCGGACUCCAAGACUAUGAAGAUACAAGAUUGAAGACUUCGUCCCGUGUCCGGAUGGGACUUUCCUUGGCGUGGAAGGCAAGCUUGGCGAUACGGAUAUGUAGAUCUCCUACCAUUGUAACCGACUCUGUGUAACCCUAGCCCUCUCCGGUGUCUAUAUAAACCGAAUGGCUUUAGUCCGUAGGACGAACAACAAUCAUACCAUAGGCUAGCCUCUAGGGUUUAGCCUCCUUGAUCUCGUGGUAGAUCCACUCUUGUAACACACAUCAUCAAUAUUAAUCAAGCAAGACGUAGGGUUUUACCUCCAUCAAGAGGGCCCGAACCUGGGUAAAACAUCAUGUCCCUUGUCUCCUGUUACCAUCCGCCUAGACGCACAGUUCGGGACCCCCUACCCGAGAUCCGCCGGUUUUGACACCGACAGGCCCCUUGAGCGUCCACCGACCUACUUCUUCCUCCUAUAUAUACCCAUGUACCCCGAAAACAUCCAGGAGCACCAUGAAAAACUAUUUCCACCGCCGAAACCUUCCUUAUCCGCGAGAUCCCAUCUUGGAGCCUUUGUCGGCGCUCCAUCGGAGGGGGAAUCAACCACGGAGGGCCUUUACAUCAUCUCCAAGGCCUUUCCGAUGAGUUGUGAGUAGUAUACCAAAGACCUUCGGGUCCAUAGUUAUUAGCUAGAUGACUUCUUCUCUCUCUUUGAAUCUCAAUACAAAGUUCUCCUCGAUCUUCUGGAGAUCUAUUCGAUGUAACUCUUCUUGCGGUGUGUUUGUCGAGAUCCGAUGAAUUGUGGGUUUAUGAUCAAGUAUAUCUAUGAGAAGUAUUUCAAACUCCUCUGAAUUCUUUUAUGUGUGAUUAAGUUAUCUUUGCAAGUCUCUUCGAAUUAUCAGUUUGGUUUGGCCUACUAGAUUGAUCUUUCUUGCAAUGGAAGAAAUGCUUAGCUUUGGGUUCAAUCUUGAGGUGUCCUUUCCCAGUGACAGCAGGGGCAGCAAGGCACGUAUUGUAUUGUUGCCAUCGAGGAUAAAAAGAUGGGGUUUAUAUCAUAUUACAUGAGUUUAUCCCUCUACAUCAUGUCAUCUUUCUUAAUGCGUUACUCUGUUCUUCAUGAACUUAAUACUCUAGAUGCAGGCAGGAGUCGGUCGAUGUGUGGAGUACUAGUAGUAGAUGCAGAAUCGUUUCGAUCUACUUGUCAUGGACGUGAUGCCUAUAUACAUGAUCCUGCCUAGAUAAUCUCAUAACUAUGCGCUUUUCUAUCAAUUGCUCGACAGUAAUUUGUUCACCAACCAUAAUACUUAUGCUAUCUUGAGAGAAGCCACUAGUGCAACCUAUGGCCCCCGGGUCUAUCUUUUAUCAUAUAAGUUUUCCAUCUACUUUUAUUUGCAUCUUUUAUUUUCCAAUCUAUAUCAUAAAAAUACCAAAAAUAUUUAUCUUAUCAUAUUAUCUCUAUAAGAUCUCACUUUCGCAAGUUACCGUGAAGAAAUUGACAACCCCUUUAUCGCGUUGGUUGUGAUGUUCUUGUUUGUUUGUGUAGGUGAGUGGGACUUUUGAGGAGCCUCCUACUGGAUUGAUACCUUGGUUCUCAAAAAACUGAGGGAAAUACUUACGCUACUUUGCUGCAUCACCCUUUCCUCUUCAAGGGAAAAACCAACGCAAGCUCAAGACGUAGCAAGAAGGAUUUCUGGCGCCGUUGUCGGGGAGGUCUUCACUCAAGUCAAGACAUACCAAGUACCCAUCGCAAACUCGUCUCCCUCGCAUUACCGUUUGCCUCUCGUUUUCCUCUCCCCACUUCACCCUUGCCGUUUUAUUCUCCCUCUCCUUCCCAAUCUUCUUCUCUCUCUCUCUCUCGCUUGCCUUUUUGUUUGCUUGUGUGUUGGAUUGCUUGUCACGAUGGAGCAAGAUAAUACCAAAUUAUGUGACUUUUCCUAUACCAAUAAUAAUGAUUUCCUUAGCACUCCGAUUGCUCCUCUUAAUGAUGUUGAAUCUUGUGAAAUCAGUGCUGCUUUGCUGAAUAUUGUUAUGAAAGAUCAAUUCUCCGGCCUUCCUAGUGAAGAUGCCGCUAUCCAUCUAAACAAUUUUGUUGAUUUGUGUGAUAUGCAAAAGAAGAAAGAUACGGAUAAUGAUAUUGUUAAAUUGAAGUUAUUUCCGUUUUCACUUAGAGAUCGUGCUAAAACAAUAGGUGUAGAAAUCAAAGCUUUCUUAAGUAUUUCAAAUGAUUCUACACAAUCAUCAUCAAAGACAAAAGGAAUAUCUUUUUGCAAUAAAUUAGUUAGAGGCCUAGAGAUUUUAGAAAAGUCCUUAAUGAACCUCCUAUAAAAACCGGCAUGACCAAGGAAACUUAUUAUACCUUUAACGUCCUUGGGAUAUGGCAUUUUUUCAAUAGCAUCAACCUUAGCUUUAUCAACUUCAAUACCUCUUUUAGAAAUUUUAUGCCCCAAGACAAUGCCUUCAUUAACCACAAAGUUUUCUCCCAAUUCAAGACGAGACUAGUGUCUUUGCAUCUCUGCAAAACUCGAUCAAGGUUGCUCAAGCAAUCAUCAAAAGAGGAUCUAUAAACGGAGAAAUCAUCCAUGAAUACCUCACAAAUCUUUUCACAAAAGUCAGAGAAUAUAGCCAUCAUGCAUCUUUGAAAGGUUGCAGGUGCAUUACAUAAACCAAAAGGCAUACUUCUAUAAGCAAAAGUACCGAAAGGGCAAGCAAACGUAGUCUUUGCUUGAUCGUCCGCUGACACAGGUAUUUGAGAGAAACCAGAAUAACCAUCUAGAAAGUAGAAAUGUGUAUGUUUGGAUAGUCUUUCUAGCAUUUGAUCAAUAAAAGGUAAAGGGUAAUGAUCUUUCUUAGUAGCUUUAUUUAAUUUGCGGAAAUCAAUUACCAUCCUAUAACAUGUAAUAAUUCUUUGCGGGAUCAAUUCAUCUUUAUCAUUAGGAACAAUAGUAAUACCUCCCUUCUUAGGGACACAAUGGACAUGACUUACACACUCACUAUCAGCAACGGGAUAAAUUAUACCUGCCUCAAGGAGGUUUAGUAUUUCUUUUCUUACCACUUCUUUCAUCUUAGGAUUUAACCGUCGUUGAUGAUCUCUAACUGGUUUGGCGUCUUCAUCCAAUUUAAUUUUGUGUUGGCAUAGAGUGGGACUAAUGCCCUUAAGAUCAUCAAGAGUAUAUCCAAUAGCAGCACGAUGCUUCUUCAGAGUUUUCAAUAAUCUUUCCUCUUCCUGCUCUGAAAGGUUAGCACUAAUAAUAACAAGAUGUAUCUUCUUUUCAUCAAGAUAAGCAUAUUUAAGAGUAUCAGGUAAUGGUUUAAGCUCAAACACGGGAUCACCCUUGGGUGGAGGAGGAUCCCUAGGAUUUCAACAGGCAAGUUGUGUUUCAGAAUAGGUCCCUAUUUAAAUAAUAUUUCAUCUAUUUCCCUUCUUUCAUUCAUAAACAUAUCAUUUUCAUGGUCUAGCAAAUAUUGUUCUAAAGGAUCAGUAGGAGGCACGACAAUAGAAGCAAGACCAAUUAUUUCAUCCUUACUAGGAAAUUCUUUAUCAUGGGGUUGUCUACGAAACUUAGCAAAAUUAAACUCAUGUGUCGUAUCCCCCAAACCAAUAGUAACAACAUCCUUUUCGCAAUCUAUCCUAGCAUUAACAGUAUUCAAGAAGGGUCUACCAAAUAUAAUGGGACAAAAGCUAUCUUGUGGGGAACCAAGAACAAGAAAAUCAGCAGGAUAUUUAACUUUCCCACACAAGACUUCGACAUCUCUAACAAUCCCAAUUGGUGAAAUAGUAUCUCUAUUGGCAAGCUUAAUGUAACAUCAAUAUCUUCUAACUUAGCGGGUGCAAUAUCAUGCAUAAUUUCUUUGUAUAAGGAAAUAGGUAUUGCACUAGCACUAGCACCCAUAUCACAUAAGCCAUGAUAACAAUGAUCUCCUAUUUUAACAGAAAUAACAGGCAUGCCUACAAUAGGUCUAUGUAUCUUAGCAUCGGGUUUAGCAAUAUUAGCAGCUUCAUCAUAGAAAUAAAUAACAUGCCCAUCAAUAUUAUCAGCCAAGAGAUCUUUAACCAUAGCAAUACUAGGUUCAACUUUCAUUUGCACAGGAGGUGUAUAUGUUCUAGUAUUACUCUUAUGAGCCACAGUUGGAGCUUUAGCAUGAUCCUUUAUCCUAACAGGGAAAGGUGGUUUCUCAACCUAACUAGUAGGAACAAUAGGAUCAGUGUAAGUGAUAGUCUUUUCUUCAACUGUAACAGGUGCAACUACUUUUACUUUAGUGGGAGGAUUAUAUUUAAACCAAUUCUCCUUAGGGAGAUCAACGUGACUAGCAAAAGAUUCACAUAAAGAAGCUACUAUCUCAGAGUCAAGUCCAUAUUUAGUGCUAAAUCCACGAAAAGCAUCGGUAUCCAUAAAACACUUAACACAAUCAAACUUAGGUGUCGUAACUGACUCCUUACCAUCGUAGGAACCCGAGUCUUCAGAGUUGCAUUUAAUUCUUUCCGAUAAGUCCCUCUUGAAUUCAAUAGUCUUUAGCAUAUAAGAACCAGCACAAGAAGUAUCGAGCAUGGUGCGAUCAUUGAGAGAAAGCUGAGCAUAAUUUUUUUGAAUAAUCAUUUCUCUUGAGAGCUCAUGAUUGGGGCAUGAAUAUAACAUUGACUUAAGCCUCCCCCAAGCUUGAGCGAUGCUUUCUCCUUCGCGAGGCCAAAAAUUAUAUAUAUAAUUACGAUCACGAUGAACAAGAUGCAUAGGAUAGAACUUCUGGUGAAAUUCCAAUUUCAAUCAUUUAUAGUCCCAAGAUACAGUAUCAUCAUGUUGGUGUACUAGAGUAGGGGUACCCUAGUAUCCCGAACUUGUGCAUGGGCAGUUGCAGCGCCCCGCGGCAAGGCUUGCCGGGUGACCGCCAAGGUCCUCCGUGGUUCCUUUGGAGCCAUUCAAGAACAAAGUAUUCAAGCCAAGGAGACAAGGCCCCGGCAAGAGGAGCUUGCCGGGUAGGCCAACCAAGGCAUCUCAAGGAAUUUACCGCGACGCGCCUCGCGUACCGGCAAGGCCCGGUGAGCGACAAGCUUCCGGACGCGGCAAGACAACGACCGCGGCAAGGUGCUUGCCGCGGAAAGCGACCACUCUGUGCCCAUGCUCCAGCACAUCCACCAACGUGUCGUCCUGGGGCCUUUCCAGGCGCGCGUGGUGAGAGGUUGUGCAGCCAGCGGGGCACGGUGGCAUGCGACGCUGACAAGAUAGCCAUCGUGGCAAGCGGUGGCGUCCCUGACGGUCCUUUUCUGCACUGUUUGGACGACACAGACGGGCAUUUAAUGCCUUUGUCCCCUGCCGUCAGGGUUAGGUAGGAUACACUGUACAGGUAGCUGUACCAACCACCCCUCUUUUUCCAUUUUUACCCUUGCCUACGUUGUCACCUGUCGGUGACCCCUUUAGCAUAUAAAAGGAGGCCCAUGCGCAACGUAAAGGGGGUUCGGUUCGAAACCAGAAAACACUCACGCUCGGUCUCGUUAGCAGCUGGUGUGUACUGUAGCACUCAGCGCUCCCGAGCAAGAACUCAAUACAAUCAGAACCGCAGCAGUAGGAGUGUUAUCUCUCCGGAGAGCUCCGAAGCUGGGUAAACUGCUCGUGUGCUUCGCCUCGAUCCGCUCUUCGUGUGAUCUCCGCCCCCCGCCGAACCGAAAGGGGCUCGGUCCGCCGGUCCCAUAGGUGUUCGUGGAUCAGCUACCUGUACAGUGUAUCCUACCUAACCCUGACGGCAGGGGACAAAGGCAUUAAAUGCCCGUCUGUGUCGUCCAAAUAGUGCAGAAAAGGACCGUCAGGGACGCCACCGCUUGCGACGAUGGCUAUCUUGUCAGCGUCGCAUGCCACCGCGCACCGCUGGCUGCACAGCCUCUUGCCACGCACGCCUGGAAAGGCCCCAGGACGACACGUUGGUGGAUGUGCUAGAGCAUGGGCACAGAAUGGUCGCUUGCCGCGGCAAGCACCUUGCCGCGAUUGUUGUCUUGCCGCGUCCGGAAGCUUGUCGCUCGCCGGGCCUUGCCGGGACGCGAGGCGCGUCGCGGCAAAUUCCUUGAGAUGCCUUGGUUGGCCUUCCCGGCAAGCUCCUCUUGCCGGGGCCUUGUCUCCUUGGCUUGAAUACUUUGUUCUUGAAUGGCUCCAAAGGAACCACGGAGGACCUUGGCGGUCACCCGGCAAGCCUUGCCGCGGGGCGCUGCAACUGCCCGUGCACAAGUUCGGGAUACUAGGGUACCCCUACUCUAGUAGACCGACAGGAGCCCCCGGGCCUGGGCCACACACGGUGCCGAGCGCUGUUGGGUCAGGCCCAAAAUAGGGCACGGGCACACGCAGCCUGGGUUACGCCGUAUCUUACUCCGCAUCCACCGCGCCCUCCCCCAACGGCACGCGUCGAAUGCGGCGUCGUGGGAGAGAUCGUGGGUGGAUUCUUUAUUCGGAAGGACGUAACGUUCGCCCCCUCCCUCUUUAUAAGCAGGAGAAACAGGGGCAGUUCGCCCAUCUUGCCGGUUGUUACUCCAAUUUCACAAAUCUCCGCCGCUCCCCCCUUCUUCCCGAAGCUGAAAGAUAGCAGCGCUCCGCCCCCAUUGCCACCAGCACCACCAACGCCGUCGAUCCCCCCCACCACCUCCGCCAUGGCUCCGAAAGCCGACAAGGGGAAGGGCUUGAAAUCGGUCGAGGCGCAGCGGCUCGCGGCGCUGCGAAAGGAGCGGGCCAUCUUCCCCCAUCAGCUUGCCGCGAAGGAGCUGAGGGAGUACUACUACCUUUUCUGGUCGACGGAGAAGCGAGCGCAUCCACGCACGAGGGUACUCCCGGCUGCCGCUUCGGAACUGGAUCCAAAUGGGUACCCCUUCUUCGCGCUGUUCUUCUACUGCGGGCUCUGCCCACCCUUCUCUGAAUUUUUCUGCGACAUCAUGAACACCUACGGGUUCCGCCUCCUUGACUUCACCCCCAACGCCGUUUUGACCAUGGAAGUUUUCGCACAUCUCUGCGAAAACUUUGUCGGAGUCCACCCAAACGUUGAACUUUUUUGCCACUUCUUUAUGCCCCGAGUUGAGAGAGGAGAGCCUCUUGCCGGCGGGAUCGCCUGGAUCUCGAGAGUCGGCAAGAAGGAAGCUUAUCUGGAGGGGGAGCUCCGCAGCAAAUGGGAGGAAUGGAGAGCAGAGUGGUGCUGGAUUGUCGAGGAGAACCCGCAGCCAUUUACUGCCCUGCGCCAAGCCCCAAUAGUGCGUGGCAAUGAUUGGAGCAACGUGGACCUGGAAGACGAGAGGCUGAAGAUUGCCGUCACCCGAUCCUACGCCUCAGGCUUGCCGGGCUCACCGUAGGCGCCGUUGGCGCAGAUUUUCUUCGCCGCUGCAUCGCCCCCUUGCAGGAGAGGAGGAGACCCGCCUGGGAGUUCCAGAACUCGACGGAUAUCAUGAGGCUGCGCCCGGGCCUCAACUUCAACUUCACCGUCCUGGAGCUGGAUGUGAUGCUCCUGGAGCUGUUCAAGCGCGAUCCUCAACAUCCAUUCAUGUUGCCGAGGAGUGUCGUUCCGUUGUGCAACAACUCUUCGCUCGACCGCAUCCGCGCAAUGAUGCCGCUGUGCGACUCGCACGGAAUCGUCCCGACUUGGCAAGAGCCUACAGACAACGUCGUGCGGGAUUUCUUUGACGGCUUGGUAGAAGUGCCAGUCCACGCCGACGAGUAGAAGAGCCUUACUCGCGACACCACCGACGCAGAGAUGCAGCGCAUCGCCACUAGGCUGGAGGAGGCGGCGGCAGCCGCUGCCGUGGGUGAGUUUGGAUUCACCAUGGAGGAGGCAGAGGCAGCGGAGGCGGCAAGCCUUGCCGAGCGCGAGGAGUUUGCCGGCGAGGAAGAGCUUGCCGGGCCCGAAGAUGAGCCGAGUGAGCCCGCCGAGGAGGAGCUUGUCGGGCCCGAACCUUCAGACAGCUUGCCACAAGCGGAGCCCCCAGCUCCACCAAGAAGGCGUCUCCGCAGGGCCGGGGACGUAGCGGGGCGGCAAACGAGUCAACAGCCGCCGUGCCGCGCGACAUGCUCUACCGUGGCAAGCACAGUUGCCGCGGGAGCGCCUCACGCCGCCGCGGCAACUGGAGCGGGGUCUUCCCGGUCCACCGCUGCCGCCCCUGCCAAGCAGGCAAGGGAACCUACUCCUCCGCCUCGUCGCACCGGAGGCGAGCCGGACUUCGAUCUCUCCGCGCUCAGCUCCGACGAGGAAGAAGAAGAGUAAGAUUCUUUGCUGUUCUUGUAACUCUUCAAUUUUGUUGCUUUGUCUUGUAUCUGACUUGCUUUUACUCUGAACCUAUUUCUUUUCAGGACGCUGGCCCAGAGAGCGGCGAAGAGAGCCAAGGCCCCGGUGAUUGUCAUCGAGGAUGAUCCCACCGCGACGGCAGAGGACAUGUCUGAGACCACCUUGUUGGACCCGGCAACCAUUCCCCAAAGCAGCCCCCAGCGCAGCCCUCAGCGUAAGUAUAUGGUUUACUUCCUGCUGUCAGGCGCGCAUAGGUGAUCUUUCCUUGCUGAUAUCUGAUUGCUGGUUCAUGCAGGAGCAGAGCAGCUCACCAGGAGGGCCCAGAGGCCGCUCCCGAAAUGCCAUCUGCUUCUACUACACCGCCAAGGGAGGAUUCCCCAGCAAGGGAGCGUUCUCCGGCAAGGGAGAAUUCUCCGGCAAGGGGUAGUUCUCCGGCAAGAGACAGCACUGGCGAUCCUCCGGUGGUUGAGACCUCGACCGCAGAUCCUAGCACAGGUAAUCCUCUUGCUUGAAAACUUCCCUUGGGUUCUUCUUCUUAUUUUCUUUCUGGAUAUUUUCUUGAGUUUUCUCCUUUUCCCAUUCGUCAGAUCCAUCUGCCAUGGAGCCGAUGGAAACUGAAGGAGAAGCCGGCGCUGAUGAUCCCGCCGACGAAGAGGCCACCAAAGCCGCCGGCACAGAAGCUGGCGAGGGAUCCGGCGAUCGCACUGACGGCCCCGAGGCCGCAGGAGCACCAGGCUCUACGCCGACCGCUGAUCCCUCCGCCGCUGCUGCAGCGCCAGGCUCCGAAGAGCCCCAGCCUGGCGCCUACUUGAAGGCCGGCGACGACAUCUUCAUCAAGCUCCCCUGGGCGUCAAGCUCCAGGGCGCCAGUCGAAGGAGAAAUCUUGGAUGGAGAGGUGCUUGCCUCCGCUGGGCUGACGUUGGUCGACACGCGAAGCAGCAGUAGCGACGAGCCUGAGGAGGAGCGGCUGCUGCGGAAGCUGCUGUCGCUCUACCGCGCCCGACAAGCCAAGCUGGCAUCCCGAGAGGCACUCGUAGCGAAGGCGGGAGUGAAUAUCGAGAAGCGUGCGGAGGAGCUCCGGGGUCUCAGGCAGGAAGCUCUCCGGUCCCUAGCGGAGGAGCAGGAGCAAGUUCUCGAGGAGCGGAAAGCCUUCCUCCUCGAGAAGGCUGAAGUUGAAGAGAAGCAACGGCUUGUCGCCGAAAGUCUAUUUGCGCAGGAAGGAGAGUUGGCGCAGCGCAAGGUCAACCUUGACAGCCACGAGGAGGAGCUUGCUGCGCGCGAGCAAGCAAUUGGUGGGGCUCUCAAGGAAGCAAAGGAUGCUGCCGCAGCUGCCGAGGCCGCCAAGAAGGAGCUGGAGACAAAGGUAGCGCAGCUGGAGGCUGAUCUCAGGGCGAGCGGCGAGGAGCUUGCCGCGCUCAAGCGUGAGCGCGAGAAGGACACUGCCGCUCAUGGUGAGCUGUAGGGCCUUCUUGCUGAGAGGAGCAAGGAGCUCAGCUCCACCAAGGAUUCCAAUGCAGAUCUCGAGUUGAAGCUGGCUACUUUGACUCAGACGCUGGACGACGCCAAGGAGCGGGAGGUGGCCUUGUAGGAGAAGAUCAAGGCCGACGAGGCACUGCUGGCGAGUGCUACUGCCGCCCAGGAUGCUUUUAGGGAGACUGUGGAACACUGGACCGAGGGUCUGGUGAAUGUUGCCGCAGCCAUCGACAGGGAGCUGGCGCAGCUGGGGAUGGAGGAUCUCGGGUACUCCUCCGAUGAGCACCUCCAACCCAGCGCCAAGCUCAGCUUGUUCUUCAAAGGCGUGGCGACGACACUCCAGCGACUCCGGGAGAAGAUCCCAAAGCAGCUGGCCGACGAGUCGCGCAAGAUUUGCGCGGGAGUUCUUCAGAAGGUGCUGGUGAAGGUGGCCUUCCGCAACCCAGGCCUCAACCUCACCAACGUCCUCAGGUACCUGCCUCCGGAUGCUGAUCUGGAAGCGCUCAAGGCCCUUGUCACACCCAUUGUGGACAAGGUGAGCGAGAUCAAGAGGGUUGAGGGCGAUCGCGUAGAUUAGGCCGCCCGUUUUCUCUUUUUCUUGCCACUGUUGGUCAUGUUAUGAGAACAAUCUAUUAGAGCUGCGACAAGUUAUCUUGUAAUAUAACUCUAUUUUGGGUAGAGAUUGCUAUGUUAUUUCCUUUACUUGAUUCCUUCCUUUGUAUGUUUUUGCCCUGCGCUUUUAGGGAACUUGUCGGCGCAGGCACCUGUGCCGCGAGCACUGAGUGCGGGACAUCAGCAGCCUGCUGGCAGUGCCGCUUCCGACAAGUAACCUUGUCGCAACUAGUCGCAGCUCACUUAAGUUGUUGAGCGGACUCGAAACAAAGUAAGGGCGCAACUAGCUACGAGUUGGUUCCUUUGCGCACAGGUUUUCCAUACAAAGUAUGGUCGUUCGAGGAAGAUAACUUAAAAAUUAAAACUAAUUGGUCAAACUUUGGCAACUUAGCUUUUCUGUCGUUCGCUUUCCGGUAAGGCGAAACUUCCUUGAACGAUGCCUGGUCCACACCAUUAUCUUCUCCUUUCCCCCCGGCAAACUUGUGGGCGAGGGAACCUUCUUUUCCUUUUUGAGAAAAAGAGAGAAGAGAAAGUAAAGAUAUGGAGCCUUACGGCUCGUUAUUGCUUACCGGGGGUAGGCUCUGCACAAAGUGUCAGAUAAUGCGUGCAAAGAUAGUAGAAAGCAUGAAAUUGACAAGAUGUGCGGAGCACAUGAGCUUUACUUAUGCACGGGUUCUGCGCCCGGCUUCGUACAAAGGAUUACAUGCAACAUCGGCAAGACUUGUACAAAAGGUGGUUGCCGGAACAGGUUCCAGCAACCGCGCCUUACGGGUAAAACUUACAAAGAUGCUCAAUGUUCCAGGAGUUGCUCACCGGAAUGCCAUCUCCGGUCUCAAGGCGGACAGCGCCAGGCCUAGUGACUCGUUUCACCCGAUAAGGGCCUUCCCACUUUGGCGUCAACUUGUUGGAAUUCUUGGCGGACUGAACGCGCCGAAGAACAAGGUCGCCUUCCUCGAAACUUCUGGCAUUAACUUUGCGGCUAUGGUAGCGGCGCAAAGCUUGCUGGUAUCGAGCAGCUCAUACAGCAGCCUGAAGACGGUCUUCCUCAAGGAGCAGCGCGUCAUCUUGUCGCAGCUGCUCUUGCUCAAGCUCAUCAUAAGCGAGCACUCGAGGCGACCCGUAUACGAGUUCCGUGGGGAGAACUGCCUCCGCUCCAUAGACUAGAGCGAAAGGUGUCUGGCCAGUGGCUCGAUUUGGCGUCGUCCUGAUCGACCAAAGAACCACCGGCAGCUCCUCAAUCCAGUUCUUUCCGCACCUGUGCAGCCUGUCGAAAGUCCUGGUCUUGAGCCCACGCAGCACUUCAGCAUUUGCCCUCUCCGCUUGACCGUUGCUUCUUGGAUGAGCAACAGAAGCGAAGCAGACCUUGGCGCCAAGAUCUUGGACGUACUGCAUGAAGGUGCGGCUCAUGAAUUGUGUGCCGUUCUCGGUGAUGAUCCUGUUAGGGAUCCCGAAACGGCAAACAAUCGACCUGAAGAACUUGACUGCUGACUGUGCUGUCACCUUCCUCACUGGUUCCACUUCCGGCCACUUUGUGAACUUGUCGAUUGCAACGUACAAGUACUCAAAGCCCCCGACAGCUCGAGGAAAUGGGCCGAGGAUGUCGAGCCCCAGACCGAAAAUGGCCAGGAUAAAGGGAUCGUCUGGAGAGCUUGAGCUGGCUGGUGUAUCUGCUUGGAAUGGAACUGGCACGCUUCACACUUGGUUACUUGUGCAGUUGCAUCCUGGAGGGCUGUCGGCCAAAAGAAACCUUGCUGGAACGCUUUGCCGGCAAGUGCUCUUGCGCCAAUGUGGUGACCACAUAUGCCUCCAUGUAUCUUUGCCAACAGCUUUUGUCCGUCUUCCCGGUGAAUACACUUCAAUUUCACACCGUUGAGUCUUCUUCUGUACAGUAUGUUGUCGACAAACUGGUAGAUACUUGACUGCCGGGCUACUCUUUCCGCUUCUUCUUGCUCUUCGGGGAGUUCUCCUGUCUGAAGAAAAAGGACUAUCUGCUGUGCCCAUGCUGGAGCUUGUGGCUCGACAACAAGGACUAAAGGCACAUCUGCUGCUGUGGGAACAUCCGCUUCUAUGGCGAGAACCUGUGGCUCAGCCGGAGCUUGAUGUUCCCCGGCAAGCUUGCCGGAGCAACACUUGUCGGGAGCGUCUGCUUCAACGGAACAAACCCUAGGGCUCGCCGGAGCAGACUGCUCCUCAGCACCCUUGGUGUUGAUUUUGAUGACCUUCUUGGCGGCGGCUUCGAGGAGCUCUGCCGGAAAAUAGUCACCAGAAAUCAACUUCCUCUUGAUGGCGUUACGGAUGGUUGAGUCAGCUUGAGCACAAAGAUCCCUGGUUCCACAGGUAACUUAAGUGCAGCGCACUUCGACAGGCCAUCGGCAAUGUCGUUCUGAGCUCUUGGAACAUGUUCCAUCUGCAGGCCGUCAAAGUGCUCUUCUAGCUUUCUCACUUCAUCAACGUAAGUUUCCAUCAACGGACUCUGACAAUUCUUGUUCACUUGGCGGACGACAAGCUGUGAGUCACCCCUGACAAUGAGCUUCUUGAUCCCAGGUCUGCUGCGAUCCUGAGACCGGCAAGCAAACCUUCAUACUCUGCGGUAUUGUUCGUUGCUUGCUCCUUGGGAAAGUGCAUCUGGACUACAUACUUGAGGUGCUCUCCGAUGGGUGCAACAAGUAGCACGCCCGCACCGGCGCCUUGUAGCGAGAAGGCACCAUCAAAGUACAUCAGCCACUCUUUGCUUGCUUCCUUGACGGGGAUGCUUGUCUCUGGGAUUUCUUCAUCUUGUGUUGGCGUCCACUCUGCUAUGAACUCCGCCAAUGCUCUGCUUUGGAUAGUUGAAGUACUCUCGAACUUGAGGCCAAAGCUUGACAGUUCCAGUGCCCACUCGACAAUCCUGCCUGUUGCUUCUGGAUUUUGCAGUAUCCUCUUCAGCGGAAAAAGAGUGACGACUGUGAUCUCAUGUGCUUGGAAGUAAUGGCGCAGCUUUCUCAGGCCAUGAGAAGGCCGAAAAGCAAUUUCUGCACACCAGAAUACCUUGACCUAGCCCCCUGCAGAAGGGAACUGACAAAGUAAACUGGGAGCUGCACUAUUUUUUUCUGCAUUUCCUUAUGCGCCUGCGCAGAUCCAUCUUUGUCGGGACCAGAGCUUGCCGGUGAAGUCCCCUGCUUGUCGCUGGAUGCAUCUGCCAUGGUUGCUGGCUCAUCAUCCGUCUCCCUCUCCGCUACUAAUGCAGCACUAACCACUUGAUUGGUUGCCGCUAUAUAUAGCAGCAACUUCUCUUGUGGCUUAGGUGCGACAAGUGUUGGAGUAGAGGACAGGUACCUCUUCAAGUCCUGCAGCACAGCCUCCGCCUCAGGAGUCCAUUUCAUUGGACCUGCCUUUUUCAAUAUUUUGAAAAAUGGCAGGGCGCGCUCAGCAGAUCUAGAGAUAAACCUGCUGAGAGCAGCCACGCAACCGGCAAGUCUUCGUACAUCCUUGACGCGCUUUGGUGCUUCAAUCUGCUCAAUGGGCUUGAUCUUGUCGGGAUUGGCUUCAAUUCCCCGCUGAGACACGAAGAACCCGAGAAGCUUGCCGGAGGGGACUCCAAACACACACUUCUCGGGGUUAAGCUUGAGGUUGAUCUUGCACAGGUUUGCAAAGGUUUCGUCUAAAUCUUGAAUCAGAGUUGCCUUGUCCUUGCUCUUGACCACUAUGUCAUCCAUGUAGGCUUCCACAUUUCUGUGCAUUUGCGGCUCAAAAGUGUCAUGGACUACCCUUGCAAAUGUUGAACCAGCAUUCGCCAAGUUCUUCACGAAUGACAGCAAGAAGAUGCUCGCACUCGCAUCAAGCGCCGAAGAGAACGCGACGUCAAUCCGACCAGCGCGCUGGGCCCUCUGUCGACAUGCAUGCGCCAAGGGAACCAGGCGACUUGCCGUACGCGGUAGGUUGCCCUGCGUUCACCCGUGAGCUACGGCAAGUCCAGUGGCCCAGCAAGAAGAAUUUCAAACCGGACGUACCAGAGAAGUAUGACGGCAAGUCGCAUCCGUCGGAGUUCCUCAGCAUCUACACCAUUGCGGUGCAAGCUGCCAAGGGACGGGACGACAAGAUCCUUGCCAACUACUUCCUGCUGGUGCUCAAGCCCAAUGUCAGAUCCUGGCUCAUGCACUUGCCGGACAACUCCAUAUCCUCCUGGGCAGAUCUAUGCCAUCAGUUUGUCGGCGCCUUUACAGGCGGCCACAAGCCUCAUGGCCAAGAGAGUGACCUUCAUCUGCUCGCCCAGAAGGAAGGAGAGCCCCUGCGCAAAUAUAUUCAGAGAUUCAGCCGCGUGCAGCACAACAUCCCAGAUGUCCACCCUGCCGCGGUAAUCAGCGCGUUCCAUCAGAAGGUGCGAAACCGCAGGAUGCGGGAGGAGAUGGCGAUGUGCAAGAUCAGGGACGUCAGUGAGCUAUAUGCCCUGGCCGACAAGUGUGCACGUGCUGAGGAAGGGAGGAAACUCCCCGGAGAGAAUACAGAAGCAGGAGGAUCUGAUAGUGAGGAUGCUGCCACGGCAAGUAAAAACCGGCGGUGGAACAACAGGAAGAAGAAAGGCAAAGAUGUGCUAGUCGUUGAGCAGUCCGGCAACGGAGGCGGCGCCAAGAAAGCCAAAGCUGGUAGCUCCGGCAAGGAGACUGCCGCAGGCACCAACUACCAGGCUGUGGCGGUCGCAGACAAGCAGGACGACAACAACAAACAGUACUGCAAGAUCCACCGCACCAAGGGCCAUGACCUCCAGAGUUGCAAGAAAGUCGAGCAGCUUGUCGAGCAGCAAAAGGCUGAAUACGAGCGACGCGACAAGGAGAAAGCCCAGGAAGGUGCUGGGGGAGCUAGCAAGAAACGCCCCGGCCGAGGAGGACGCCGCGGCAAGGCCAAGCAGCGGCAAGGAGACAGACCUCCUCGCGGCCGCGACAAGGAUGAAGAUGACGACGACGAUGAAGAUAUGGAUGAUGACGAGACCGAUGAGCAGGAGUUCCAGAAAGCUACAGAGGUCCUGUGCGUUGACGGUGGUGCUUCUCUGCAUACUUCGCACCGCCAGCUCAAGCAGUGGGUGUGGGAAGUCAAUGCGGCAGAACCACCCGUCGAGUCACGCAGGCCUCUGAAAUGGUCCAGCACGCCUAUCAUCUUUGAUAUUGGGGAUCACCCUGAUCGCAUAACUGCGGUCGGCUGCUUGCCGAUGUUGGUUUCACCAACUAUCCGCAACCUCAAGGUCACUAAGAUGCUAGUUGAUGGCGGAGUCGGCUUGAACCUGAUCUCCUCCGCGGUACUCCAGAAACUCCAGAUCCCUGACAGUGAGCUCGAAGAGACCGGCACAUUCCAAGGAAUCAAUCCGGGAAGGAGCAAGCCGAAGGGAAAUAUCACGUUGCUGGUGACAUUCGGCAGCGAAUUGAACUUCAGGACUGAGAGGGUCACUUUUGACGUUGCUAACUUUCCAUUGCCUUACAAUGGGAUACUCGGCCGUCCAGCACUCGCCAAAUUCAUGGCAGCCUCUCACUAUGCGUACAACGUGCUGAAGAUGCCAGGCCCGAUAAGUGUCAUCUCUGUCUCUGGCGACAAGAAGGACUCUCUUAUCUGCGCCGACAAGAUCUACCGGGAAGCAGCAGCCGCAACAGAUCAAAAAUCACUUNNNNNNNNNNNNNNNNNNNNNNNNNNNNNNNNNNNNNNNNNNNNNNNNNNNNNNNNNNNNNNNNNNNNNNNNNNNNNNNNNNNNNNNNNNNNNNNNNNNNNNNNNNNNNNNNNNNNNNNNNNNNNNNNNNNNNNNNNNNNNNNNNNNNNNNNNNNNNNNNNNNNNNNNNNNNNNNNNNNNNNNNNNNNNNNNNNNNNNNNNNNNNNNNNNNNNNNNNNNNNNNNNNNNNNNNNNNNNNNNNNNNNNNNNNNNNNNNNNNNNNNNNNNNNNNNGUUCUGAUGCCCACUCCGGCAAGCGCACCUCUUCGGAGUGCUGCGCUACCGUCGAGGACGCACCAUCGAGCUCCACCGGCAAGUGUAAGAAGGCAAUGGCAGCUCCACCAGAGACCAAGAAGGUGUCCGCCAAGGAGGACGGCACUGGUGGUACCUUAACCAUCAGUGCCAUUCUCGACCCUAAAUAGGAAAGCGCGCUCGUUACUUUCCUGGGGGCGAACGUCAACGUGUUUGCGUGGCAACCGUCCGACAUCCCCGGUGUUCCCAGGAAAGUAAUUGAGCACCAUCUUGCCGUCUGUCCUCAUGCGCGGCCCGUCAAGCAGAAAGUCAGAAAGCAGGCAGUGGAGCACCAAGAAUUCAUCGCAGAAGAAAUCAAGAAAUUGGAAGCAGCAGGCCUUGUCAGAGGGGUGCUCCAUCCUACGUGGUUGGCCAAUCCUGUAGUCGUGCGUAAAGCAAACGGGAAAUGGAGGCUUUGUAUCGACUUUACUGAUGUCAAUAAAGCUUGUCCCAAAGACCCAUUUCCCUUGCCGCGCAUCGACCAGAUUGUGAACUCCACGGCCGGAUGUGACUUGCUUUCAUUUCUUGAUGCAUACUCAGGGUACCAUCAGAUCUUCAUGGCAGAAGAGGAUGAGGAGAAGACCACAUUCAUCACCCCAUGUGGCACAUACUGUUUCGUAUGGAUGCCCUUCGGUUUGAAGAAUGCUGGUUCAACAUUUGCAAGGGUAGUCCAUGACGCUUUUGAGCCGCAAAUGCACAGAAAUGUGGAAGCCUACAUGGAUGACAUAGUGGUCAAGAGCAAGGACAAGGCAACUCUGAUUCAAGAUUUAGACGAAACCUUUGCAAACCUGCGCAAGAUCAACCUCAAGCUUAACCCCGAGAAGUGUGUGUUUGGAGUCCCCUCCGGCAAGCUUCUCGGGUUCUUCGUGUCUCAGUGGGGAAUUGAAGCCAACCCCGACAAGAUCAAGGCCAUUGAGCAGAUUGAAGCACCAAAGCGCGUCAAGGAUGUACGAAGACUUGCCGGUUGCGUGGCUGCUCUCAGCAGGUUUAUCUCUAGAUCUGCUGAGCGCGCCCUGCCAUUUUUCAAAAUAUUGAAAAAGGCAGGUCCAAUGAAAUGGACUCCUGAGGCGGAGGCUGUGCUGCAGGACUUGAAGAGGUACCUAUCCUCUACUCCAACACUUGUCGCACCUAAGCCACAAGAGAAGUUGCUGCUAUAUAUAGCGGCAACCAAUCAAGUGGUUAGUGCUGCGUUAGUGGUGGAGAGGGAGGUGGAUGAUGAGCCAGCAACCACGGCAGAUGCAUCCAGCGACAAGUAGGGGACUUCACCGGCAAGCUCUAGUCCCGACAAAGAUGGAUCUGCGUAGGCGCAUAAGGAAAUGCAGAAAAAAAUAGUGCAGCGCCCAGUUUACUUUGUCAGUUCCCUUCUGCAGGGGGCUAGGUCAAGGUAUUCUAGUGUGCAGAAAUUGCUUUUUGGCCUUCUCAUGGCCUCGAGAAAGCUGCGCCAUUACUUCCAAGCACAUGAGAUCACAGUCGUCACUCGUUUUCCGCUGAAGAGGAUACUGCAAAAUCCAGAAGCAACAGGCAGGAUUGUCGAGUGGGCACUGGAACUGUCAAGCUUUGGCCUCAAGUUCGAGAGUACUUCAACUAUCCAAAGCAGAGCAUUUGCGGAGUUCAUAGCAGAGUGGACGCCAACACAAGAUGAAGAAAUCCCAGAGACGAGCAUCCCCAUCAAGGAAGCAAGCAAAGAGUGGCUGAUGUACUUUGAUGGUGCCUUCUCGCUGCAAGGCGCUGGUGCGGGCGUGCUACUUGUUGCACCCACCGGAGAGCACCUCAAGUACAUAGUCCAGAUGCACUUUCCCAAGGAGCAAGCAACGAACAAUACCGCAGAGUAUGAAGGUUUGCUUGCCGGUCUCAGGAUCGCAGCAGACCUUGGGAUCAAGAAGCUCAUUGUCAGGGGUGACUCACAGCUUGUCGUCCGCCAAGUGAACAAGAAUUAUCAGAGUCCGUUGAUGGAAACUUACGUUGAUGAAGUGAGAAAGCUAGAAGAGCACUUUGACGGCCUGCAGAUGGAACAUGUUCCAAGAGCUCAGAACGACAUUGCCGAUGGCCUGUCGAAGUGCGCUGCACUUAAGUUACCUGUGGAACCAGGGAUCUUUGUGCUCAAGCUGACUCAACCAUCCGUAACGCCAUCAACUGGACAGAGCAAGAAGAGGAAGUUGAUUUCUGGUGACUAUUUUCUGGCAGAGCUCCUCGAAGCCGCCGCCAAGAAGGUCAUCAAAAUCAACACCAAGGGUGCUGAGGAGCAGUCUGCUCCGGCGAGCCCUAGGGUUUGUUCCGUUGAAGCAGACGCUCCCGACAAGUGUUGCUCCGGCAAGCUUGCCGGGGAACAUCAAGCUCCGGCUGAGCCACAGGUUCUCGCCAUAGAAGCGGAUGUUCCCACAGCAGCAGAUGUGCCUUUAGUCCUUGUUGUCGAGCCACAAGCUCCAGCAUGGGCACAGCAGAUAGUCCUUUUUCUUCAGACAGGAGAACUCCCCGAAGAGCAAGAAGAAGCGGAAAGAGUAGCCCGGCAGUCAAGUAUCUACCAGUUUGUCGACAACAUACUGUACAGAAGAAGACUCAACGGUGUGAAAUUGAAGUGUAUUCACCGGGAAGACGGACAAAAGCUGUUGGCAAAGAUACAUGGAGGCAUAUGUGGUCACCACAUUGGCGCAAGAGCACUUGCCGGCAAAGCGUUCCGGCAAGGUUUCUUUUGGCCGACAGCCCUCCAGGAUGCAACUGCACAAGUAACCAAGUGUGAAGCGUGCCAGUUCCAUUCCAAGAAGAUACACCAGCCAGCUCAAGCUCUCCAGACGAUCCCUUUAUCCUGGCCAUUUUCUGUCUGGGGGCUCGAUAUCCUCGGUCCCUUUCCCCGAGCUGUCGGGGGCUUUGAGUACUUGUACGUUGCAAUCGACAAGUUCACAAAGUGGCCGGAAGUGGAACCAGUGAGGAAGAUGACAGCACAGUCAGCUGUCAAGUUCUUCAGGUCGAUUGUUUGCCGUUUCGGGAUCCCUAACAGGAUCAUCACCGAGAACGGCACACAAUUCACGAGCCGCACCUUCAUGCAGUACGUCCAAGAUCUUGGCGCCAAGGUCUGCUUCGCUUCUGUUGCUCAUCCGAGAAGCAAGGGUCAAGCGGAGAGGGCAAAUACUGAAGUGCUGCAUGGGCUCAAGACCAGGACUUUCGACAGGCUGCACAGGUGCGGAAAGAACUGGAUUGAGGAGCUGCCGGUGGUUCUUUGGUCGAUCAGGACGACGCCAAAUCGAGCCACUGGCCAGACACCUUUCGCUCUAGUCUAUGGAGCAGAGGCAGUUCUCCCCACGGAACUCGUAUACGGGUCGCCUCGAGUGCUCGCUUAUGAUGAGCUUGAGCAAGAGCAGCUGCGACAAGAUGACGCGCUGCUCCUUGAGGAAGACCGUCUUCAGGCUGCUGUAUGAGCUGCUCGAUACCAGCAAGCUUUGUGCCGCUACCAUAGCCGCAAAGUUAAUGCCAGAAGUUUCGAGGAAGGCGACCUUGUUCUUCAGCGCGUUCAGUCCGCCAAGAAUUCCAACAAGUUGACGCCGAAGUGGGAAGGCCCUUAUCGGGUGAAACGAGUCAGUAGGCCUGGCGCUGUCCGCCUUGAGACCGAAGAUGGCAUUCCGGUGAGCAACUCCUGGAACAUUGAGCAUCUUCGUAAGUUUUACCUGUAAGGCGCGGUUGCCGGAACCUUUUCCGGCAACCACCUUUUGUACAAGUCUUGCCGAUGUUGCAUGUAAUCCUUUGUACAAAGCUAGACGCAGAAUCCGUGCAUAAGUAAAGCUCAUGUGCUCCGCACAUCUUGUCAAUUUCAUGCUUUCUACUAUCUUUGCAUGCAUUAUCUGACACUUUGUGCAGCGCCUACCCCCGGUAAGCAAUAACGAGCCGUAAGGCUCCAUAUCUUUAUUUUCUCUUCUCUCUUUUUCUCAUAAAGGAAAAUAAGGUUCCCUCGCCCACAAGUUUGCCGGGGGGAAAGGAGAAGAUAAUGGUGUGGACCAGGCAUCGUUCAAGGAAGUUUCGCCUUACCAGAAAGCAAAUGACAGAAAAGCUAAGUUGCCAAAGUUUGAGCAAUUAGUUUUAAUUUUUAAGUUAUCUUCCUCGAACGACCGUACUUUGUAUGGAAAACCUGUGCGCAGAGGAACCAACUCGUAGCUAGUUGCGCCCUUACUUUGUUUCGAGUCCGCUCAAAAACUUAAGUGAGCUGCGACUAGUUGCGACAAGGUUACUUGUCGGAUGCGGCACCGCCAGCAGGCUGCUGAUGUCCCACACUCAGCGCUCGCGGCACAGGUGCCUGCGCCGACAAGUUCCCUAAAAGCGCAGGGCAAAAACAUACAAAGGAAGGAAUCAAGUAAAGGAAAUAACAUAGCAAUCUCUACCCAAAAUAGAGUUAUAUUACAAGAUAACUUGUCGCAGCUCUAAUAGAUUGUUCUCAUAACAUGACCAACAGCGGCAAGAAAAAGAGAAAACGGGCGGCCUAAUCUUCGCGAUCGCCCUCAACCCUCUUGAUCUCGCUCACCUUGUCCACAAUGGGUGCGACAAGGGCCUUGAGCGCUUCCAGAUCAGCAUCCGGAGGCAGGGACCUGAGGACGUUGGUGAGGUUGAGGCCUGGGUUGCGGAAGGCCACCUUCACCAGCACCUUCUGAAGAACUCCCGCGCAGAUCUUGCGUGACUCGUCGGCCAGCUGCUUUGGGAUCUUCUCCCGGAGUCGCUGGAGUGCCGUCGCCACGCCUUUGAAGAACAAGCUGAGCUUGGCGCUGGGUUGGAGGUGCUCAUCGGAGGAGUACCCGAGAUCCUCCAUCCCCAGCUGCGCCAGCUCCCUGUCGAUGGCUGCGGCAACAUUCACCAGACCCUCGGUCCAGUGUUCCACAGUCUCCCUAAAAGCAUCCUGGGCGGCAGUAGCACUCACCAGCAGCGCCUCGUCGGCCUUGAUCUUCUCCUACAAGGCCACCUCCCACUCCCUGGCGCCGUCCAGCGUCUGAGUCAAAGUAGCCAGCUUCAACUCGAGAUCUGCAUUGGAAUCCUUGGCGGCGCUGAGCUCCUUGCUCCUCUCAGCGAGAAGGCCCUGUAGCUUACCACGAGCGGCAGCGUCCUUCUCGCGCUCACGCUUGAGCGCGGCAAGCUCCUCGCCGCUCGCCCUGAGAUCAGCCUCCAGCUGUGCUACCUUUGUCUCCAGCUCCUUCUUGGCGGCCGCGGUAGCUGCGGCAGCAUCCUUUGCGUCCUUGAGAGCCCCGCCAAUUGCUUGCUCACGCGCAGCAAGCUCCUCCUCGUGGCUGUCAAGGUUGACCUUGCGCUGCGCCAACUCUCCUUCCUGCGCAAAUAAAUUUUCAGCGACAAGCCGUUGCUUCUCUUCAACUUCAGCCUUCUCGAGGAGGAAGGCUUUCCGCUCCUCGAGAAGUUGCUCCUGCUCCUCCGCCAGGGACCGGAGAGCUUCCUGCCUGAGACCCCGGAGCUCCUUCGCGCGCUUCUCGAUAUCCACUCCCGCCUUCGCGACGAGUGCCUCUCGGGAUGCCAGCUUGGCUUGUCGGGCGCGGUAGAGCGACAACAACUUCCGCAGCAGCCGCUCCUCCUCAGGCUCGUUGCUGCUGCUGCUUGGCGCGUUGACCAACAUCAGCCCAGCGGAGGCAAGCACCUCUCCAUCCAAGGUUUCUCCUUCGACCGGCGCCCUGGAGCUUGACGCCCAGGGGAGCUUGAUGAAGAUGCCGUAGCCGGCCUUCAAGUAGGCGCCGGGCUAGGGCUCUUCGGAGCCUGGCGCUGCUGCAGCGACGGAGGGAUCGGCGGUCGGCGUAGCGCCUGGCGCUCCUGCGGCCUCGCGGCCGUCAGUGCGAUUGCCGGAUCCCUCGCCAGCUUCUGCGCCGGCAGCUUUGGUGGCCUCUUCAUCGGCGGGAUCAUCAGCGCCGGCUUCUCCUUUAGUUUCCAUCGGCUCCGUGGCAGAUGGAUCUGACGAAUGGGAAAAGGAGAAAACUCAAGCAAAUAUCCAGAAAGAAAAUAAGAAGAAGAACCCAAGGGAAGUUUUCAAGCAAGAGGAUUACCUGUGCUAGGAUCUGCGGUCGAGGUCUCAACCACCGGAGGAUCGCCAGUGUUGUCUCUUGCCGGAGAACUACCCCUUGCCGGAGAAUUCUCCCUUGCCGGAGAACGCUCCCUUGCCGGGGAAUCCUCCCUCGGCGGUGUAGUAGAAGCAGAUGGCAUUUCGGGAGCCGCCUCCGGGCCCUCCUGGUGAGGCUGCUCUGCUCCUGCACGAACCAGCAAUCAGAUAUCAGCAAGGAAAGAUCACCUAUGCGCGCCUGACAGCAGGAAGUAAACCAUAUACUUACGCUGAGGGCUGCUCUUGGGGCUGCUUUGGGGAAUGGUUGCCAGGUCCGACAAGGUGGUCCCGGACAUGUCCUCUGCCCUCGCGGUGGGAUCAUCCUCGAUGACAAUCACCGGGGCCUUGGCUCUCUUCGCCGCUCUCUGGGCCAGCGUCCUGAAAAGGAAUAGGUUCAGAGUAAAAGCAAGUCAGAUACAAGACAAAGCAACAAAAUAGAGUUACAAGAACAACAAAGAAUCUUACUCUUCUUCUUCCUCGUCGGAGCUGAGCGCGCAGAUAUCGAAGUCCGGCUCGCUUCCGGUGCGACGAGGCGGAGGAGUAGGUUCCCUUGCCCGCUUGGCUGGGGCGGCAGCGGUGGACCGGGAAGACCCCGCUCCAGUUGCCGCGGCGGUGUGAGGUGCUCCCGCGGCAACUGUGCUUGCCGCGGUAGAGCGUGUCGCGCGGCACGGCGGCUGUUGACUCAUUUGCCGCCCCGCUACGUACCCGAGCCUGCGGAGACGCCUUCUUGGUGGAGCUGGGGGCUCCGCUUGUGGCAAGCUGUCUGAAGGUUCGGGCCUGACAAGCUCCCCCUCGGGACGACGUCGUCUGUAGGCUCUUGGCAAGUCGGGACGAUUCCGUGCGAGUCGCACAGUGGCAUCAUUGCGCGGAUGCGGUCGAGCGAAGAGUUGUUGCACAACGGAACGACACUCCUCGGCAACAUGAAUGGAUGUUGAGGAUCGCGCUUGAACAGCUCCAGGAGCAUCGCAUCCAGCUCCAGGACGGUGAAGUUGAAGUUGAGGCCCGGGUGCAGCCUCAUGAUAUCCGCCGAGUUCUGGAACUCCCAGGCGGGUCUCCUCCUCUCCUGCAAGGGGGCGAUGCGGCGGCGAAGAAAAUCUGCGCCAACGGCGCCUACGGUGAGCCCGGCAAGCCUGAGGCGUAGGAUUCGGGUGACGGCAAUCUUCAGCCUGUCGUCUUCCGGGGCCACGUUGCUCCAAUCAUUGCCACACACUAUUGGGGCUUGGCGCAGGGCAGUAAAUGGCUGCGGGUUCUCCUCGACAAUCCAGCACCACUCUGCUCUCCAUUCCUCCCAUUUGCUACGGAGCUCCCCCUCCAGAUAAGCUUCCUUCUUGCUGACUCUCGAGAUCCAGGCGAUCCCGCCGGCAAGAGGCUCUCCUCUCUCGACUCGGGGCAUAAAGAAGUGGCGAAAAAGGGCAACGUUUGGGUGGACUCCGACAAAGUUUUCGCAGAGAUGUGCGAAAACUGCCAUGGUCAGAACGGUGUUGGGGGUGAAAUCAAGGAGGCGGAACCCGUAGGUGUUCAUGAUGUCGCAAAAAAAUUCAGAGAAGGGUGGGCAGAGCCCGCAGUAGAAGAACAACGCGAAGAAGGGGUACCCGUUUGGAGCCAGUUCUGAAGUGGCAGCCGGGAGUACCCUCGUGCGCGGAUGCGCUCGCGUCUCCGUCGACCAGAAAAGGUAGUAGUACUCCCUCAGCUCCUUCGCGGCAAGCUGAGGGGGGAAGAUGGCCCGCUCCUUUCGCAGCGCCGCGAGCCGCUGCGCCUCGACCGAUUUCACGCCCUUCCCCUUGUCGGCUUUCGGAGCCAUGGCGGAGGUGGUGGGGGGAUCGACGGCGUUGGUGGUGCUGGUGGCAAUGGGGGCGGAGCGCUGCUCUCUUUCAGCUUCGGGAAGAAGGGGGGAGCGGCGGAGAUUUGUGAAAUUGGAGUAACAACCGGCGAGAUGGGCGAACUGCCCCUGUUUCUUCUGCUUAUAAAGAGGGAGGGGGCGGACGUUACGUCCAUCAGAAUAAAGAAUCCACCCACGAUCUGUCCCACGACGCCGCAUUCGACGCGUGCCGUUGGGGGAGGGCGCGGUGGAUACGGAGUAAGAUACGGCGUAACCCAGGCUGCGUGUGCCCGUGCCCUGUUUUGGGCCUGGCCCAACAGCGCUCGGCACCGUGUGUGGCCCAGGCCCGGGGGCUCCUGUCGGUGUACUAGAGUAGGGGUACCCUAGUAUCCCGAACUUGUGCACGGGCAGUUGCAGCGCCCCGUGGCAAGGCUUGCCGGGUGACCACCAAGGUCCUCCGUGGUUCCUUUGGAGCCAUUCAAGAACAAAGUAUUCAAGCCAAGGAGACAAGGCCCCGGCAAGAGGAGCUUGCCGGGAAGGCCAACCAAGGCAUCUCAAGGAAUUUGCCGCGACGCGCCUCGCGUCCCGGCAAGGCCCGGUGAGCGACAAGCUUCCGGACGCGGCAAGACAACGACCGCGGCAAGGUGCUUGCCGCGGCAAGCGACCACUCUGUGCCCAUGCUCCAGCACAUCCACCAACGUGCCGUCCUGGGGCCUUUCCAGGCGCGCGUGGCGAGAGGCUGUGCAGCCAGCGGUGCGCGGUGGCAUGCGACCCUGACAAGAUAGCCAUCGUGGCAAGCGGUGGCGUCCCUGACGGUCCUUUUCUGCACUGUUUGGACGACACAGACGGGCAUUUAAUGCCUUUGUCCCAUGCCGUCAGGGUUAGGUAGGAUACACAGUACAGGUAGCUGUACCAACCACCCCUCUUUUUCCAUUUUUACACUUGCCUACGUUGCCACCUGUCGGUGACCCCUUUAGCAUAUAAAAGGAGGCCCAUGCGCAACAUAAAGGGGGUUUGGUUCGAAACCAGAAAACACUCACGCUCGGUCUUGUUAGCAGCUGGUGUGUACUGUAGCACUAAGCGCUCCCGAGCAAGAACUCAAUACAAUCAGACAAGCAGCAGUAGGAGUGUUAUCUCUCUGGAGAGCUCCGAAGCUGGGUAAACUGCUCGUGUGCUUCGCCUUGAUCCGCUCUUCGUGCGAUCUCCGCCCCCCGCCGAACCGAAAGGGGCUCGGUCCGCCGGUCCCAUAGGGGUUCGUGGAUCAGUUUCCCCGACACAUCACAUAGCCUAUACCAUGUCAAUGUGUAUCCCUUCAAAGAUAAAGGGAAGACCUUCCUCUUACCAACAUCAUCGGGAAUACCUGCAAGCAUAAAUAAUCCACAAACUUCAUCCACAUAGAUAAGGUGUAAAUCGGGAUGCAAUGUUGCAUCUCCUGCAAAAGUAUUAGCUAGCAGUUUCUCUAUCAUACCCGAAGGAAUCUCAAAGUAAACAUUUUUAGUAGGUUCAGUAGGUUGAUGAGAAACUCUUUGCUCUACUGGUCAUGGCGAAGAUGCCUCGAACAAGCACCUCAAAGGAUUAGUUUCCAUAGUAACAAGUGACAGUAAAUUCCAGCACACUAUAUAAAUGUUUCCUUACAAUGUUCCACUCACCAAAGGCGCUUCACUCCCCGGCAAUGGCGCCAGAAAAGAGUCUUGAUGACCCACAAGUAUAGGGGAUCUAUCGUAGUCCUUUCGAUAAGUAAGAGUGUCGAACCCAAUGAGGAGCAGAAGGAAAUGACAAGCGGUUUUCAGUAAGGUAUUCUCUGCAAGCACUGAAAUUGUAGGUAACAGAUAGUUUUGUGAUAAGAUAAUUUGUAACGGGUAACAAGCAAUGAAAGUAAAUAAGGUGCAGCAAGGUGGCCCAAUCCUUUUUGUAGCAAAGGACAUGCCUGGACAAGUUCUAUAAUGAGAAAAGCGCUCCCGAGGACAUAUGGGAAUUAUCGUCAAGAUAGUUUUCAUCACGCUCAUAUGAUUCGCGUUCGUUACUUUGAUAAUUUGAUAUGUGGGUGGACCGGUGCUUGGGUGCUGUCCUUUCUUGGACAAGCAUCCCACUUAUGAUUAACCCCUAUUGCAAGCAUCUGCAACUACAAAAUAAGUAUUAAGGUAAACCUAACCAUAGCAUUAAACAUAUGGAUCCAAAUCAGCCCCUUACGAAGCAACGCAUAAACUAGGGUUUAAGCUUCUAUCACUCUAGCAACCCAUCAUCUACUUAUUACUUCCCAAUGCCUUCCUCUAGGCCCAAAUAAUGGUGAAGUGUCAUGUAGUCGACGUUCACAUAACACCAGCAGAGGAGAGACAACAUACAUCUCAUCAAAAUAUCGAACGAAUACCAAAUUCACAUGACUACUAAUAGCAAGACUUCACCCAUGUCCUCAGGAACAAAAGUAAAUACUCACAAAGCAUAUUCAUGUUCAUAAUCAGAGGGGUAUUAAUAUGCAUUAAGGAUCUGAACAUAUGAUCUUCCACCAGAUAAACCAACUAGCAUCAACUACAAGGAGUAAUCAACACUACUAGCAACCCACAGGUACCAAUCUGAGGUUUUGGUACAAAGAUUGGAUUCAUGAGAUGAACUAGGGUUUGAGAGGAGAUGGUGUUGGUGAAGAUGUUGAUGGAGGUUGACCCCCUCCCAAUGAGAGGAUCGUUGGUGAUGACGAUGGUGAUGAUUUCCCCCCUCCCUAAGGGAAGUUUCCCCGGCAGAACAGCUCCGCCGGAGCCCUAGAAGGUUCCGCCAAGGUUCCGCCUCAUGGCGGCGGAGUUUUGUCCCGUAAGCUUGCCUAUGAUUUUUUCCAGGGUAAAAGACUUCAUAUAGAAGAAGAUGGGAACUGGAGGGCCACCAGGGGGCCCACGAGGCAGGGGCGCGCCCUGUAGGGGUGGGCUCUCCCCCCACCCUCGUGGCCAGGGUGUGAUCCCCCUUUGGUACUUCUUUCACUCAAUAAUUCUUAUUAAUUCCAAAAAUGACUUUCCUAGAGUUUCAGGACUUUUGGAGCUGUGCAGAAUAGGUUUCCAAUAUUUGCUCCUUUUUCCAUCCCAGAAUCCAUCUGCCGACAUUCCCCCUCUUCAUGUUAAACCUUGUAAAAUAAGAGAGAAUAACCAUAAGUAUUGUGACAUAAUGUGUAAUAACAGCCCAUAAUGCAAUAAAUAUCGAUAUAAAAGCAUGAUGCAAAAUGGACGUAUCACACACCGAAAGAUCUACUAGUAAAAAAGUGCAUGCUAUAGAAGAAAUUAAUGUUUUGAGUGGAAAGAUGGAUGAUCUUAUGAAAUUGUUUGCUACUAAGAGUGCCCCUAUUGAUCCUAAUGAUAUGCCUUUGUCUACCUUGAUUGAGAAUACUGAUGAACCUAUGGAUGUGAAUUUUGAAUUUUGGUAACAAUGCUUAUAGAUGAAACUUUAAUCCUAGACCGUUUCCUAGUAAUUCCUCUAAUAAUUAUGGUCAUUCCUACAACAAUUCUUAUGGAAAUUUUAGUAAGAUUCCCUCUGAUCUUGAGAAUAGUGUUAAAUAAUUUAUGAUCUCUCAAAAGAAUUUUAAUGCUUUGCUUGAAGAAAAAUUGCUUAAACUUGAUGAAUUGGCUAGGAACGUUGAUAGACUUCCUCUUGAUGUUGAUUCUUUGAAACUUAGAUCUAUUUCACCUAAGCAUGAUAUCUAUGAGUUUCUCAAAUCCAUGAGAAUUUCCAUUGAUGAGUGCAAAGAAAGAACCGCUAGGUUGCAUGCUAAGAAAGAUUGCUUUGUAAAAGCGUGUUCUUCUAGUUUCCAUGAAAAUAAUGAUGAAGAUCUAAAAGUUAUUGAUGUGUCCCCUAUUAAAUCUUUGUUUUGCAAUAUGAAUCUUGAUAAUGAUGGGACUGGAGAUGAGUCAACUUUAGUUAAAAGGCGUCCUAAUAAUUCGGAGUUUUUAGAUCUUGAUGCUAAAUUUGGUAAAAGUGGGAUUGGAGAGGUCAAGACUUUAAAUAGCAUUGAACCCACUAUCUUGGAUUUCAAGGAAUUUAAUUAUGAUAAUUGUUCUUUAAUAGAUUGUAUUUCCUUGUUGCAAUCCGUGUUGAAUUCUCCCCAGGCUUAUAGUCAAAAUAAAGCUUUUACCAAACAUAUUGUUGAUGCCUUGAUGCAAUCUUACGAAGAAAAACUUAAUUUGGAAGUUUCUAUAACUAGAAAACUUUAUGAUGAGUGGGAACCUACUAUAAAGAUUAAUAUUAGAGAUCAUGAGUGCUAUGCUUUGUGUGAUUUGGGUGCGAGUGUUUCCACGAUUUCAAAAACUUUAUGUGAUGUGCUAGGUUUCCAUGAUUUUUAUCAUUGCUCUUUAAACUUGCACCUUGCGGUUUCCACCAUUAAUAAACCUAUGGGAAGGAUAAAUGAUGUUCUUAUUGUUGAAAAUAGGUAUUAUGUGCCCGUAGAUUUUAUCGUUCUUGAUAUAGAUUGCAAUCUUUCAUGUCCUAUUAUUCUUGGUAGACCUUUCCUUAGAACGAUUGGUGCAAUUAUUGAUAUGAAGGAUGGGAAUAUUAGAUUCCAAUUUCCAUUAAGGAAAGGCAUGGAACACUUUCCAAGAAAGAAACUUAAAUUACCUUAUGAAUCUAUCCUGCGAGCUACUUAUGAAUUGAAUGCCAAAGAUGGCACUACUUAGAUCUAUCCUCGCUUUUAUGCCUAGCUAGGGGCGUUAAACGAUAGCGCUAGUUGGGAGGCAACCCAAUUUUAUUUUUGUUUCUUACUUUUUUGCUUAUGUUUAGUAAUAAAUAUUUUAUAUAGCUUCUUUUUAGAUGUGUUUUCAUGUUUUAAUUAGUGUUUGUGCCUAGUAGAACCUAUAGGAUAACCUGUGGUGAUAGUUAAUUUGAUUCUGCUGAAAAACAGAAACUUUGCGCGCAUGAAAAUAAUUUUAGUAAUUCACAGAAACGUUCUUUUGUGUUGAUUCUUUUUGCUGUAGAUAAUAGAAAAAUUGCCCAGGACUUCCUAUUUUGGUAGAGUUUUAGAGUUCCAUAAGUAUUCGGAGGUUACAGAUUGCUAUAGGCUGUUCUGUUUUUGACAGAUUCUGUUUUUCGUGUGUUGUUUGCUUAUUUUGAUGCAUCUAUGGCUAGUAUCAGGGUGUAUGAACCAUAGAUAAGUUGGAAUACAAUAGGUUUAACACCAAUAUAAAUAAAUAAUGAGUUCAUUACAGUACCUUAUGUGGUGGUUUUUCUUUCUUGCACUAACAGAGCUUAUGAGAUUUGCUGUUGAGUUUUGUGUUGUGAAGUUUUCAAGUUUUGGGUAAAGAUUUGAUGGACUAUGGAAUAAGGAGUGGCAAGAGCCUAAGCUUGGGUAUGCCCAUGGCACCACAAGAUAUUCAAGGAUAACCAAAAGCCUAAGCUUGGGGAUUCCUCGGAAGGCAUCCCCUCUUUCGUCUUCGUCUAUCGGUAACUUUACUUGUAGCUAUAUUUUUAUUCGCCACAUGAUAUGUGUUUUGCUUGGAGCGUCUUGUAUGAUAUUAGUCUUUGCUUUUUAGAUUUCCACAAUCAACCUUUCUGUACACACCUUUUGGGAUAAGCCCACAUGAUUUAUAAUUUAUUAGAAUAAUGUAUGUGCUUCAAUUAUAUCUUUGAGCUAGAAAGUUUUGCUCUAGUGCUUCACUUAUAUCUUUUAGAGCACGGCGGUGGCUUUAUUUUGUAGAAAUUGUUGAUCUCUCAUGCUUCACUUAUAUUAUUUUGAGAUUCUUCUAGAACAGCAUGGUAUUUGCUAUGGUUAUAAAAUUGGUCCUAGAAUGAUGGGCGUCCAAGUUGGGUAUAAUAAAAACUAUCAUAGGAAGUGAAUUGGAUGCUAUGAUCAAUUUGAUACUUGAUAACUGUUUUGAGAUAUGGAGGUGGUGAUAUUAGAGUCAUGCUAGUUGGGUAAUUGUGAAUUUAAAGAAUGCUUGUGUUGAAGUUGGCAAGUCCCAUAGCAUGCAUGUAUGGUAACCGUUGUGUAACAAAUUUGAAACAUGAGGUGUUCUUAGAUUGUCAACCUUAUGAGUGGCGGUCGGGGACGAGUGAUGGUCUUUUCCUACCAAUCUAUCCCCCUAGGAUCAUACACGUAGUGCUUGGUUUUUGAUGACUUGUAGAUUUUUGCAAUAAGUAUAUGAGUUCUUUAUGACUAAUGUUGAGUCCAUGGAUUGUACGCACUUUUACCUUUCCAUCAUUGCUAGCCUCUUCGGUGCAGUGCAUUGACCUUUCUCACCUUGAGAGUUGGUGCAAAAUUUGCCGGUGCAUCCAAACUCCGUGAUAUGAUACGCUCUAUCACACAUAAACCUCCUUAUAUCUUCCUCAAAACAUCCACCAUACCUACCUAUUAUGACAUUUCCAUAGCCAUUCCGAGAUAUAUUGCCAUGCAACUUUCCACCAUUCCGUUCAUCAUGACACGCAUUAUCAUUGUCAUAUUGCCUUGCAUGAUCAUGUAGUUGACAUCAUAUUGUGGCAAAGCACCUUCAUAAUUGUUCAUACAUGUCACUCUUGAUUCAUUGCCCACCCCGGUACACCACCGGACGCAUUCAUAUAGAGUCAUAUCUUAUUCUAGUUUUGAGUUGUAAUUCAUGGGUUGUAAAUAAAUAGAAGUGUGAUGAUCAUCAUUAUUAGAGCAUUGUACCUUGAAAAAAGAAGAAGAGAAAGGCCAAAUAAAAAAGGAAAGGCCAAAUAAAAAAAGAUAAAGGCCAAAUAAAAAAAGAAAGGCCCAAAAAAAGGGGGGGCAAUGCUACUAUCUUUUUCCACACUUGUGCUUCAAAGUAGCACCAUGUUCUUCAUAUAGAGAGUCUCAUUUGUUGUCACUUUCAUAUACUAGUGGGAAUUUUUCAUUAUAGAACUUGGCUUGUAUAUUCCAACGAUGGGCUUCCUCAAAAUGCCCUAGGUCUUCGUGAGCAAGCAACUUGGAUGCACACCCACUAGUUUCUUUUGUUGAGCUUUCAUACAUCUAUAGCUCUAGUGCAUUCGUUGCAUGGCAAUCCCUACUCAUCAUGUUGACAUCAAUUUAUGGGCAUCUCCAUAGCCCGUUGAUUAGCCUUGUUAACAUGAUACUUUCUUCCUUUUUGUCUUCUCCACACAACCUCCAUCAUCAUAUUCUAUUCCACCCAUAGUGCUAUAUCCAUGGCUCACGCUCAUGUAUUGCGUGAAAGUUGAAAAACAAUUGAUAUUACUAAAGUAUGAAACAAUUGCUUGGCUUGUUAUCGGGGGUGUGCAAGAUGAGAGCAUUUUUGUGUGACGAAAAUGGAGCAUGACCAAACUAUAUGAUUUUGUAGGGAUGAACUUUCUUCAGCCAUGUUAUUUUGAGAAGACAUGAUUGCUUUAAUUAGUAUGCUUGAAGUAUUACUAUUUCUUAUGUCAAUAUGAACUUUUAUUUUUAACCAUUUGGAUCUGAACAUUCAUGCCACAAUAAAGAAAAUUACAUUGAGAAUUAUGCUAGGUAGCUUUCCACAUCAAAAAUUCUAAUUUUAUCAUUUACCUACUCGAGGACGAGCAUGAAUUAAGCUUGGGGAUGCUUGAUACGUCUCCAACGUAUAUAUAAUUUUUUUAUUGUUCCAUGGUAUUAUAUUAUCCGUUUUGGAUGUUUAUGGGCUUUCUUCUACACUUUUAUAUCAUUUUUGGGACUAGCGUACUAAUCGGAGGCCCAGCCCGAAUUGCUGUUUUUUUUUGCCUAUUUCAGUGUUUCAAAGAAAAGGAAUAUCAAACGGAGUCCAAACGGAAUGAAACCUUCGGGAGCGAUCUUUUUGGAACAAACGCAAUCCACAGGACUUGGAGUGGACGUCAAGCAACAAGAAAGGAGGCCACGAGGGGGCCUGGCGCGCCCCUGGGGGUGGGAGCGCCCCCACCCUCGUGGGCCGCUCGGGCAUCCAACGACCUACUUCUUCCUCCUAUAUAUACCCGCGUACCCUGAAAACAUCCCGGAGCACCACAAAAAACUAUUUCCACCGCCACAACCUUCUGUAUCCGCGAUAUCCCAUCUUGGAUUCUUCACCGACGCUCCGCCGGAGGGGGAAUCGACCAUGGAGGGCCUCUACAUCAUCUCCAAGGCCUCUCCGAUGAGUUGUGAGUAGUUUACCACAGACCUUCGGGUCCAUAGUUAUUAGCUAGAUGGCUUCUUCUCUCUCUCUUUGAAUCUCAAUACAAAGUUCUCCUUGAUCUUCUUGGAGAUCUAUUCGAUGUAACUCUUUUUGCGGUGUGUUUGUCGAGAUUCGAUGAAUUGUGGGUUUAUGAUCAAGUUUAUCUAUGAGAAGUAUUUGAAUAUCCUCUGAAUUCUUUUAUGUGUGAUUAAGUUAUGUUUGCAAGUCUCUUCGAAUUAUCGGUUUGGUUUGGCCUACUAGAUUGAUCUUUCUUGCAAUGGGAGAAGUGCUUAGCUUUGGGUUCAAUCUUGCGGUGUCCUUUCCCAGUGACAGCAGGGGCAACAAGGCACUUAUUGUAUUGUUGCCAUCAAGGAUAAAAAGAUGGGGUUUAUAUCAUAUUGCAUGAUUUUAUCCCUCUACAUCAUGUCAUCUUUCUUAAUGCAUUACUCUAUUCUUCAUGAACUUAAUAUUCUAGAUGCAGGCAGGAGUAGGUCGAUGUGUGGAGUAAUAGUAGUAGAUGCAGAAUCAUUUCGAUCUACUUGUCACGGACAUGAUGCCUAUAUACAUGAUCAUGCCUAGAUAAUCUCAUAACUAUGCGAUUUUCUAUCAAUUGCUCGACGGUAAUUUGUUCACCCACCGUAAUACUUAUGCUAUCUUGAGAGAAGCCACUAGUGAAACCUAUGGCCCCCGGGUCUAUCUUUUAUCAUAUAAGUUUUCCAUCUACUUUUAUUUGCAUCUUUUAUUUUCCAAUUUGUAUCAUAAAAAUACUAAAUUUUUUUAUCUUAUCAUAUUAUCUCUAUCAGAUCUCACUUUCCCAAGUUACCGUGAAGGGAUUGGCAACCCCUUUAUCGCAUUGGUUGCGAGGUUCUUGUUUAUUUGUGUAGGUGCGUGGGACUUUUGAGGAGCCUCCUACUGGAUUGAUACCUUGGUUCUCAAAAAACUAAGGGAAAUACUUAUGCUACUUUGCUGCAUCACCCUUUCCUCUUCAAGGGAAAAACCAACGCAAGCUCAAGACGUAGCAGCAGCCCCCGAUGCCCUGAUCCUGUGCAAGGCGUGGGGCCGACUCCAGUUGCCGCAACGCCGUGAGGGUGCCCCAAAACCGGGCUCCCUGCUCCAUCUCCCCAUGACUUAGCCCAUGAGACGGGGGAUGCACCGGUGAUCCUUUCUCUUGCCAUUGCCGGUAGGGGGUGCCUCCUGGGCGGCCUUCGUCUUCAAGUUGUGGGGCUACGCCAGCCAGCCCCCAGCCGGCGGCUGGCGGGGCAUCCAGCGCCUCCCGGGCAGCCUCCGGUGCUGACGAAGAUCUUGGCGACGAGCUUUCGCUUGCUUGUGGGCGCAGUGUCGUGCGCUUCAGACUUAUUGGUGAAGCGAUGCGUGCGAUGAUCCAUCUUGGCGGGGAGCUCGCCAAUGUUGACACCAGGCUCGAGGCAGAAAACUGCCGCCUGGAGCAUGAGUGGCAGCGGCUGAAGGUUGCCAUUAAUCUUGGGAAACUUCAGCAUGACGAAGCCGAAGCGCGCGCAGCAGCCUCGCUCGCAAUUUCUUGCGAAGCUUGCGCCCGCGCCAUGGAAGAGGCCGAGGCAGCCAACCACCGCUGCGAGGUGGCCGAGGAGCGGGAGCAAGAUCUUCUGUCUUCAAAUGCGGCUCUUGAGCGCAAAGUCGAGGAGCGUCGCUCCCUUCUGGCCUCCUCACCAGGCGAGGCGGUCCUUGCCGAGACAGAGCUCCUGAGGUGCCAUGGAGAUUUGAUGUUGGAGACCAUGGAUCACAACAUUGCAUUGGAGAGGCUGGAGGUGAGGGAGCAGCAGGCUGCCACGGCUAAGGACGCCAUCGCCACCCGGGAAGCUCGGGUCCAGCUGGAGGUGGAGGAGAGGGUGGUGAAGGCGUGUGCUGAGUUGGCCGAGAGGCACCGCCUGGAUCUGGAGCUGCUCGAGGCCAAGCUUGAGGGCCGGACCUCUGCCCUGAAGGCUAAACUGGAGUCUAUGGAGCAGCGUGAGAGCGCUACCCGAGGAGCCCUGACUUCCUUCGAAUCUUCCCUGAAUUCUGCCCGUGCUGAGAUAUCCUCUCUCCGGAAGCAAGUCGAAGACACCGCCUCCCUCCUGAACAAGGCCACGAGUGAAAAGUCGCGGCUUGACAUUGGAAUGUGAGCACGGCUCCAUGCUCCAAGGCCCGCGCGUCAGAGCCAACAACGCCUUGGGUGCUAUCUGUGACGAGAGUGCUCCUCACCCGCACGGGAGCGACUAUGCCAGCCAUGUCAACUUCUUCACUGAUAUCAUGACCCGCCUGGAAGAUCAGGCCGUGAAGGCUCGACAGCUUGUUGAGGAGAGGAGCCGGGGCCUCCUCGGGCGUGCACUCUCGCACAUCUUCAGCAGCCUCCUGAACCUCAAUUCCCACUUUGAUUUCAGCAUCGUGCUAGCCCCCAUGCUUGCGGCUACCCAAGACAAGCUUGCCAAGUGGGUGGAUGGCCAUGUGGACGCCUUAGUGAAGGAGUUGACUCCUGAGGAUAACACGGCUGUGCUCGUGGCCGAAGAAGCUGGCGCGGGUGGCGAUGGCGAGGAGGAUGGCAGCUACGGCGCAAGCAGCGCGGAUGGGAGCAACGAAGAAGGCGCAUCCAGCUAGGCCCGUGUUUCUUUUGCUUUGACCUGUAUGACAAAAACUUGAACGCAUUCUUGUGAGAGAAUUUUGAAAAGGGGGUGCCCCUUAUGAUGUGUGAGAUUGUGAAAUGCUUUUGAAGUAGCACCCAGAGCAGGGCCUCGCAGGGCUGCGGGUCACCGAGCAAGGUAGUUGUUUAUGACUUAUCUUUGAUUUCGUGGGUCUCGAGUGAGGCCUGGUGUCGUGGCUGCACUCCUUCUCCUGAGGCGAGCCUACCGCGAGCUCGCGAGGUUCUAUGCCUCCUGAGGGGCCUACUGGUCUGCCGUAGAGUGCCUCGUGAGGAGCCAACUGCCGGACUGUGGUGAGGUGGGUGCGCGGGGUGGCCGCACCCUUGAGCCCCCCCCUCGGGGGGGGGGAUCGGCACCAGCGCAUGCACCAUACCCAGCCCCCACUCGUUAGGCGCUUGAGGGCAGAGCAACAGUCACGAGCUCUAGAAAGAACACAAUAAGUGAAGGCAAGAGAGCGACACGAAACGAGAAAACUCCCCCAUUUUUAUAAAUGCACGAAAAACAAACUGCUUCAAGAAGUCGACGAGCAAGUACAAAAAGGAGGGAAAAAGCAAAUGGCCACGUCCGGCUUCUAGCUAGUCUUCAGUCUUCAAGUCUUCUCACUACCGCGGAGCUAAGUGCUUCCACUGGCUGGGCAUAGUCAUUGGGGACAGUGUCGACGGCCAGCGUGGAGCAUGGUGCUUCCACUAGGACGUGGGCGGGAGCCCCCAUGAGGCCCCAGGGCGGCACUCAGGAGACUCCGGGGCGUGUAUAAACCCACUCAUUAUUAAGUGAGAGUGUCACGAGCGGAGACCUUCACAGGCCAGAGCCUUGCUUCAUGUCGCCCGACGAGGACCCCACCGUGCGCCACCCCCGACCACCGUUGGGGAGACCAGAAACCAGGACAAGACCAAGGGGCCAGGGGGACGCUGGCGGCGUCCUCGGCGACCAUAGGCCCCCCACCGGGAAGAAGGCCUCGCUGGCGCCUUCCCCGGUGGGGAACCUACCUCCAGGCAGGGCCCUGCUCCGUGUGGUGCAAGGAGGGCCCUGCCACCUAGCUUCCCCCGCGCUGCUCCCAACGUCCUUCAUGCUCCUGCGGGGGAUCCGUCGUCCUGAGAAUCCUGGCGGCAGCUGCACCCUGCUUCACUUGCAAUCCAUGGUCAGCGUAAGGAUGCUCCUGCGGCGUUAGUUGUACCCAGAGGCUGUCGCCGUUGGAGAUGUCGGCGGGGCUUGGUGGCGGCUCGAAGAAGAGCUCGGCCUCGUGUAUAUGCAGCGCUCAGCCUGGCGUGAGGGAUCGGCUGGGGCCCUCUCCCAGCGUGUGCCUUGGAUCCAUCGUGACGGGGACAUAGGCUUCCGGGAUGUCCGCACCAGAAGCGCCGCCCGGUUGCCUCACGUUCCCGCCUUCUUCAGUCGCCCUCUGGUCCUAUUGGCUAGGGACCAAUACUCCAGCGCGGCCCUUGGUGAUGUCGCCUGGAGCAGCCCCGCGCUUAGGUGGCACAUUCGGAGGGGUGCGGGCUGCUCCGCGGGGCUGGUCGGCGAUGAGAGGCUCUCCAGGGGCCCUGGGAGCACUACAAAAAAAAGACACAUCCAUGACAUUUUGGGCCGAACGAAAUUUUUUCUGUCAUACAUAUGACACUUCUAUGACGUUGUGACAAAACCCGGUAUCAUCAUAGAUGUGGUGGGCUCCUACUUCUAUGACAAAAAAUUAUGACAGAAAAUGGGCUUUUCGUCCUGGGCGGGACGGAGACGCAACUGCAUGACAUUCUUUGGGCCGUCCAUGACAGAAAAAACCAUGGUAGAAGCGUGGGGAGGAAAAUUUCGGGGAGUUGCCGGUUACGGUGGGAGGUCGGGGGCCGACCGAUGCGCGUUUCUCUCGUACACGUACGUGCGUGUGUGCGAGGCGUUGGUUCUAACUGAAGCCGAGCGAGGCGUUGGGCUCUAACUGAACCCGAGCAAGGCAUUGGGCUCUAACUGAACCCGAGCGAUUGCACUGCAGGCUACGCGUUACUGAACCCGAGAAAUCGAUCGAUGGCUGUUAAAUGAACCCGAUCGAGCGAUUCCUUCGCUACUGCUACUAACUGAAGCCGAUCGAUUGGAUGAACAGUGAGUGUUGUGGGGGGGGGUUGGAUGAACAGUGAGCGGUGGCGUUGCCUCUGGAUGAACAGGACCCCGUGGUGUGGAGGGCUGGAUGAAUAGUAGACGGUGGAGGGGUGGAUGAACAGGACCCCGUGGUGUGGAGGGCUGGAUGAACAAUAAACGGUGGAGGGGUGCCCGUGGAGGGGUGGAUGAACAGGACCCUAUGGUGUGGAGGGCUAGAUGAACAAUAGACGGUGGAGGGGUGCCCGUGGAGGGGUUGUUGAACAGUAGCCGGUGGAGUAGCGCACAGUGGAGGCUGGAUGAACAGGAGCCCGUGGAGGUUGGAGGAGGUCGACGGUAGCCCGUGCAGGUUGGAGGAGGUCGAUGGUGGAGAUGAACAGUAUCCUGUGGAGUCCCAUUUUGUGGUACGCCACACCCCUCCCGAUGAACAGGACCCCCGUUUCGACCAUAGGAGGUCCAUUUCAUCAGUUUUGCGGUACGCCACACCCCUCCCGAUCAACAGGACCCCGUUUCGACCGUAGGAGGUCUGUUUCGUCUGUUUUGCGGUACGCCACACCCCUCCCAAUCAACAGGACCCCCGUUUCGACCGUAGGAGGUCGGUUUCCUCCGUUUUGCGGUAUGCCACACCCCUCCUGAUCAACAGGACCCCCGUUUCGACCGUAGGAGGUCCGUUUCCUCCGUUUUGCGGUACACCAGGCCUCAUUUCCAUCGCCUGUUCCGUCCAAGCCCUCCUGAUGAACACGGCCACACAUUCCGUUCCGACCCAGCCGCUUGGCUCCCACGCGUUUCGUUGCCUCCCGAUGAACACGACGUAGUCCAUUGCCUCCCCAUGAACACGACACAUUCCGUUGCCUCCCCAUGAACACGAGCCCUCGCCGUACGUAUGCGCGAGUAGGCGUUCUAGACCCCACCCGUAUGUACACAUACGUGGCCGUAUUUUCUUUCUUGCACCCUGAUCGUUGUACGUACGUGUACAUGCUACGUGCGCGCCUCUACUAUGACACGUGCGCGCCUCUACUACGACACAUGCGUGCCUCUACUACGACACGUGCGCACCUCUACAUCGACCAGUAUGUACGUACACGUUCAUGGCCAUGAUGACAACACUACGUACGCUUCGACCAGGUGGGUCCCGACUGUCAGGCACUUCCUUGCCUAUGAAGAUGUAGCUGGUGAGUCCGAGUAGUUAGGGGGGUUGUCGGUGUCAAAACCGGCGGAUCUCGGGUAGGGGGUCCCGAACUGUGUGUCUAGGCAGAUGGUAACAGGAGACGAGGGACACGAUGUUUUUCCCAGGUUCGGGCCCUCUUGAUGGAGGUAAAACCCUACGUCCUGCUUGAUUAAUAUUGAUGAUGUGUGUUACAAGAGUAGAUCUACCACGAGAUCAAGGAGGAUAAACCCUAGAAGCUAGCCUAUGGUAUGAUUGUUUUUUGUCCUACGGACUAAAGCCAUCCGGUUUAUAUAGACACCGGAGAGGGCUAGGGUUACACAGAGUCGGUUACAAUGGUAGGAGAUCUACAUAUCCGUAUCGCCAAGCUUGACUUCCACGCCAAGGAAAGUCCCAUCCGGACACGGGACGAAGUCUUCAAUCUUGUAUCUUCAUAGUCUUGGAGUCCGGCCGAUGAUGAUAGUCCGGCUAUCCGUACACCCCCUAAUCUAGGACUCCCUCAGUAGCCCCUGAACCAGGCUUCAAUGAUGACGAGUCCGGCGCGCAUGUUGUCUUCGGAAUUGCAAGGUGGGUUCUCCCUCCGAAUAAUUCAUAGAAGAUUGUGAACACCAGGAUAGUGUCCGGCUCUGCAAAAUAAUUUCCACAUACCACCGUAGAGAGAAUAAUAUUUACGCAAGUUCAAUCUGCUGACGUAUUUGAUGGCGUGACGUCACACCACUACCAAGCCUUUACUUAAAUCGUUUUUAUUGUACCACCUCAGCGCGUUUAGCGAAGCGCGGUUUCCUUGGCACGUCUUGUCGAAGCAGAGAUCGUGUUCCCCUUAUUUCAGGAUUCCCAUCAAUACGGACGUGGGUAACCCAACCGCGCCAUUGAUUGCGGCGCUUGGGGGAUAAGCGAGUUUUAUCAGGCCGGUAGGGACGCAUGUUUCCGUCCGCCCAUAUAAGGGGAUAAAGAUCCAACCCUUUUACCUGCACCUUCUUCCUCCUUGGCUUAUCCAUCUCUGCGAACCCGAGCUGCAGCGCCCAAGCCCGCACAUCUCACCUCAACCUUCUCCAACUAUGUCCGGAGUAGGAGGCAAGUGGAUGGCCUCCUCCGUCACGGAGGGGCAGAUCCAUAAGCUGCGCAACGCCGGAUACUUCUCCAGCAACAUCGCGCACUGGCUCCCCAACGAGGGAGAGCUCAUCCCCACCCCCAAGCCCCAUGAGAGGGCAUUAUUCCUUCCCCAUUUCCUCCGUGGACUGGGCUUCGCACUCCAUCCCUUUGUCCAGGGGCUCAUGUUCUACUACAGCCUGGAUUUCCAUGAUCUGGCCCCGAAUUUCAUCCUCAAUAUCUCGGCGUUUAUCAUCAUGUGCGAGGCCUUCCUCUGCAUCCAGCCCCACUUCGGCUUGUGGCUCAAGACCUUCAGUGUCAAGCCGAAGGUUGUGAAGGGUAGCCAAGCGGAGUGCGGAGGCGCCAUGGUGGCAGGAUGUCCCACGUUACGUGGCUGGAGGGCACUUUUGUGGAAACCAUCAAGUGGUGGCAAUCGGGGUGGUUCUACAUCACCGAGCCGCGUGACCCUGAUUGGGCAGCGGCCCCCGAAUUCAGAUCUGGCAUCCCUACACGGCUCACCUCCUGGAAAGAGAGUAGCCGGAUCUGGGGCGAUUCGGAGGAGCUGACCGGACUCCAAGCCUGUAUCCAAAAGCUGGUGGACAAGAAGCUCAAGCUUGUUAACGUAGUCCAGGUCAUGCUCAUCCGCCAGAUUCUCCCGUGCCAACGACGGGGCUUCAACCUGUGGGAGUUCGAUCCGGCGCAGCACCAGACUUUGAAUGGGCUCUUCGACACUACGUACGAAGAUGUCUGGAAGGUGCUGUUCAAGGGCGCCGAGGC